AAUAAUUUAGGAGGUUCACUCCCAGAUUGUUUGGGAAACUUGUCAUCUUUACAACUAUUAGAUGUUUCUGAAAACCAGUUUACUGGAAAUAUUGCCUCUGGUCCUCUUACCAACCUUAAAUCCCUUAAAUUCCUCUCACUAUCUAAUAACCUCUUUGAGGUUUCCACUUCAAUGAAGCCUUUUAUGAAUCACUCAAGCCUCAAGUUCUUCUCUAGUGAGAACAAUAGACUUGUAACAGAACCUGCUGCCUUUGAUAAUUUGAUUCCAAAGUUCCAACUAGUUUUUUUUAGCUUGUCGAAAACAUCGGAAGCACUCAACGUAGAAAUUCCCGACUUCCUCUAUUACCAAUACGACUUAAGAGUCCUUGAUCUCUCCCACAACAACAUCACCGGAAUGUUUCCAUCGUGGUUGCUUAAGAACAAUACACGAUUGGAGCAACUAUCUUUAAGCGAGAACUCCUUUGUUGGUGCUUUACAAUUGCAAGAUCAUCCAUAUCCGAAUAUGACCGAAUUAGAUAUAUCCAACAACAACAUGAACGGUCAAAUUCCAAAAGAUAUUUGUUUAAUCUUUCCAAAUCUGAAGAGCUUAAGGAUGGCUAAGAAUGGAUUUAAAGGUUGUAUUCCUUCUUGUUUGGGAAAUAUUAGCUCUCUUUUAAUUUUAGAUUUAUCCAACAAUCAAUUUUCCACAGUAAAACUAGAACAACUAGCAACAAUAAGUUUUCUCAAGCUAUCAAACAACAUUUUGGGUGGGAAAAUACCGACCUCGGUGUUCAAUUCUUCUACCUUAGAAUUUCUCUAUCUAGGUGGUAACAACUUUUGGGGUCAGAUAUUAGAUUUUCCAUUAUAUACGAGGAAAAGCUGGAUUGUAUUGGAUUUGAGUAACAAUCAUUUUUCAGGCAUGCUUCCAAGGUGGUUUUUCAAUACUACAGGCCUUAACAUAGUUGAUUUGUCCAAAAAUCAUUUUAAGGGUUCGAUUCCAAGAGACUUUUGUAAGCUUGACUCGCUUGUAUAUUUGGACUUUUCUGAGAACAACUUGUCUGGAUAUAUACCGUCUUGUUUCAGUCCACCACCUCUAACCCAUCUGCAUCUAUCCAAAAAUAGAUUGAGCGGUCCAUUAACAUAUGGAUUUUAUAACAGCUCUUCUUUGGUUACGAUGGAUCUUCGAGAUAACAGCUUCAUCGGUUCCAUUCCAAAUUGGAUUGGCAAUCUUUCAUCGUUGAGUGUUCUUCUUCUGAGGGCUAAUCACUUUGAUGGUGAGCUCCAUAUUCAGUUAUGCUUGUUAGAACAAUUAAGCAUUUUGGAUGUUUCACAAAACCAGCUCUCUGGUCCACUACCCUCCUGUUUAGGCAAUCUUACUUUCAAGGAAAGUUCCCAGAAAAUGUUUACGGAUUUCUGGGGUCAUUUUCCAUCAUCGUCCGCAUACAAAGCUUAUGUUGAAACCAUGGGUACACCACUGGUGGAUAGUGUGUACAGCUUGGAAAAGGAAUUUUGGCCUAACAUUACAGAAGAAGUGAUAGAAUUUACAACUAAAAAUAUGUAUUAUGGUUACAAGGGGAAAGUUCUCAGCUACAUGUCUGGUAUUGAUCUCUCCAAUAACAACUUCAUAGGAGCAAUCCCACCAGAAUUUGGAAACUUAAGUGAGAUACUAUCAUUAAACUUAUCACACAACAAUCUCACUGGAUCUAUCCCUGCAACAUUCUCAAACCUAAAGCAUAUUGAGAGUUUGGAUCUUUCUUACAAUAAUUUGAAUGGUGCCAUCCCUCCACAACUUACUGAAGUUACCACACUGGAAGUUUUUAGCGUGGCGCACAAUAACUUGUCAGGUAGGACACCCGAGAGAAAAUAUCAGUUUGGGACCUUCGAUGAAAGCUGUUACGAAGAAAAUCCUUUCUUGUGUGGGCCUCCAUUGCAAAACAAUUGUAGUGAAGAAGCAGUGUCGUCCCAGCCAGUGCCUAAUGAUGAACAAGGAGAUGAUGGUUUCAUAGACAUGGAGUUUUUCUACAUCAGUUUCGGUGUAUGUUACACAGUUGUGGUGAUGACGAUUGCAGCAGUUCUCUACAUCAAUCCAUAUUGGCGACGCAGGUGGUUGUACUUCAUUGAAGACUGCAUAGAUACUUGCUACUAUUUUGUGGUGGCUAGUUUUCGCAAGUUCUCCAACUUCAGAAGGUGAAAUUGGGGAGACGGCCCGUUCCUAGUUUGUGAUGAUUGUUUGUCUAGCUAUUGGUAAUUUGUAGUGUACUGUCUCUAAGCUCAGUCUUUCUAUUUUAUUAGUUAUUUGGGCUAAAUAUAUAAGCUGGACUUCUCAUUCAUGAAUCAUUAGGAAGGAAACUGAUUUGGAUCGGUCAUUGACUCGGGUGUGAUUACUCUUUCAACUCUCAAGACUUGUCUGAAAAUAAAUUGCCAAAACCACUACUAAAGUAUAAACAAAAUAUUCUAUGCCUUUGUUUCAAGGGCGACCCCACCUCAGUUAUUCAAUCAAAGCAUUGAAAUCGGAGCAAGAAGAUCCACCUUCUUCAACAUCCUUCCUGGCCGUUUCUUUGCUCUGCUUCUCAUUUCCUCUGCUUCUUCACCCAUCAUAAUUUGAGUGAUUGCCUUCUCUACAGCUUCACUUUUAACAUGAUCUCCAUGCACUCUAAGCCAUUCCUUAACUCCAGUUUUUAAAACAUCAGUCACCAACUUUUCAUUAUAGAAUUGCUCAGCAAAUAUUGGUCUCCUAAGCACAAAAAAAUAAUUGUCCUUCUCAAACAUGCAGCUGUGACUUGAGACAUUCAGAAUUUCAACCUCAUUUUCUAUAAAAUUCAACAAUACUGGAUAUGGUCAUGAUUAUACUGGAUAUGGUCAUGAUUCAAUGGAAUAAUCCCCACUUAUUUUCUUGAGACCUUUUUCCAUUGAAAUCUUGCAAGACUAUGGCAUAAUGAACUCCAUCUAAUGAACAGUAAAUCAAAGAAAUUACCUUCUGAUAGAUCUCCUCUUGCCAAUCAGCGCCUUUUGCAUGUCCAGUCUGUGCUGUAGAAUCUAGGGAUGCUACAAAAAUUUCAAUGCAGACAACAAAAUGUUAGAAUUCAUGUAUUUUUGUGUGUUUUCCAUCUACAAGGGUAUUUCUGUAAUUUUAACACUUGCUGAAAAUUAUGAAAUAUUGCAAGUCUCAGUUUUAUUUUCCAUUUAGUAUUUAAUUAUUCCCAAAGUAUAGCGAGCUUCAUUAGGUUUUUCCUAUUCUAGAUAGGUCUAUUAGUAUUUUCCUAUAUAGGAAUACAAGUCCUUUUUGUAUUAGGAACUUCAUCUAAAUGUUAUGUAAUCAUAUAAAUGCAGAAUCAGAGGGUGAACAGCUGGUGCAAUGCACUGGAGGGUAUGAUGUGGUAACAAAUGCGUGUGUGAUUGCAAUGGUUUCAAUAGCAGUGGCAUUACUAAUGCCACAAGUGGCAGCAGUGGCACAUAAAGCUACCUAAAAGAGUAUUGCUGACUUGAACCAUUAUGAGAGGUGAACAGUUGGUGCACCGCACUGUAGGGCAUCGUGUGGUUACAAAUGCAUGUGUGAUUGCAAUAGUUCCAAUACCAGUGGCAUUUCUAAUGCCAUAAGGGGAAGCAGUGGCACAUAAAGCUACCAAAAAGAGCAUUACCUGGCAUUUGUCUCUGAGAAUUGACAAACAUAGUGGAGGGAAUCCCUUGUCCCAUUGAAUUCCCCACUGAGUUCUGUGAAACACCAGGGAUACUCUGCAUGUUAGGAUUCUGGACAACAGUGUUGGGGAUAGUCUGGGUUACACCAGAGACAGGAGGCAGUGCCGCUUGUAAACCAGCAUAACUUUGAACUCCAUUAGAUGCCAUGCAAUUCUGCAUGUUCUGUGAUACCAACUGCUGACGUGCUUGAGACUGAUCAGUGGACAAUAGGAUAGGGAGAAACAGCCCUUGAUUCUGAACUUCAGGGGACAUACUAUGGGAUGCUGUUCAAGAUAAAAGGCAAAAGGGAAAACCAUGUCACAGAAAAAAAGAAGGCACUGAACAAGGAAGACAAAUGAAACAUCGGCAGUCCACACAUAAAGUUAUGAGCGAAAGAAUUGGGAUGGAUUUGAUUCAAAGCAUAAAAGUGUCCUCUGACAAUUUUCGGGGAUGGGGGAAGAAGAGGCGGCUGAAAACAAAAAUAAUAUGACAAUUUUCAGGGUGGGGGAAAGAAAAGGAGGAGGCAGAAAACAAAAACAAUCUGUAAUAUUCUUGCAUAACAUUCAUCAAUUACUCAACUUUUUGAUUAAAGCAUGCCAUACACAUAGCAAUAUGUUGCAAUAAAAUGCAAAAGAGUUUGAUAACAAUGUGACAAACAAAACAAAAGGUAAGAUGUUUAGAAAUUCAAUGCUCGGCAGCAUUAUUAUAUAUGAAAAAAGGAUCAAAUGCUUUUCUCUCGGAAGAAAGCAAGAAAGUGACGUCUUACCUCCUAAACAGGAAAAUCUUUAAAAUCUACCAUCUCAAUCAUAAAAUAUAAAAUACCAUGCAUCACAGUCCUUGUUGCUUAACAAGUUAAGGAUGGAACACUUCACAUGCAUUAUAGAAUUAGCAUCGUGGAGGUGAUCAUGAGAUUUUUCCAGCAAGGCGAUAUACAUAGCAAUAUGCAGCAAUAAAAUGUAAAAGAGUUUGAUAACAAUGUGAGAAGAAAAACAAAAGGUAAGAUGUUUAGAAAUUCAAUGAUCGGCUGCAUUAUAACCUGCUGGAUCCAUGGGGGCAGUGGGCAUGGUGUUUUGAGACCUGAUCUCCAUUGAAAGCAUCUCCAGAGAUAUUUUACGCAGAUAAUCAUACUGAAAUCAGAUAUUAAUAACAAAACAUUAGAUCUCAGAGCAAUCCAUGUUACAAGAGGAGGAAAAUGGAUAAAUGCUCUAUCAUUUCAUCUUUUGUGAGGAUAUACUUCUGUUUCCUCUCUUUUUAUUUAAUUAUUUAGGUAUUGAUUUGCUAUUUUCUUUUUGCACACUUCCCUUGUACUUGAACUUGUUCACUCUAAAUAAAACACUUGUCAAGAGAAUUAACAAAAAGAUGCGAACUCCCAAUCAGCCUUGCAUACAGAGUGAACGGUGAGGAAGUGUAAGCACACUACACACACAUUUGUACAUGCAUAAAUGCAUGUGUAUAUUCAUGUCAAGAGAAUAUCAUAAUUAUUGAACCUCGCAUUAGGCAAAUACCUGAUUGGUGGCGGUAGUAUAAAUCUUUUCCUCAAAACGUAUGGCCAAUUUCUUGAGUUCUUGUAAUCCCUCCUGACCAGAAACAAAAGAUGCCCCUUUAUUGUCUCCAUUCUGCACAUGCAAAUCAUUACGUUUCAUUUUUAAUGACCAGGCAAGUAUAGAGAAGUUAGCAACAGCGAGCAAAUAAUGAGAUAAGCAAGAGUUGGUCAAGUAUUAUAAGACAUCAAAAUACAUAGACAUCCUUUCCCUGUAUUAUUCCAGAGGUACAGAUUAUAGGAGUUUACUUGGCCACCCUUCUGUCUAAAAUUCUAGCUACGAGCUUCAUUUAUUAGUGACUUAGUUGCAAAGCAGGGGAGUCUGUGAAAACAUUACAAUAGCAUUUACUCUGAGUAACUUCUAUGCAUGUGCUGUAAUUGACAAAGAAAAGAAGAGAAAUCCUUUCAAUAUAUGAAAAUGCAACGAGUUAACCUUAUCUCACACUGCAAUAUAUACUCUACAGUAUUCAAUGACCAAUGCAAGUGCCAGCAGAAGCUGUCUAUAUGAUUUUGGAUGUAGAGAGGUCAACAAAACAUUCAACUUUAUGCUGAGAAUCUAGGAAACCAUGCACCAUUGUGGCUAAUUGAUUUUUGUCUACUGCUUUUCAACUUUAAGAUCACUAUCAUUUCAACCCUGUAGAAGUUAAAACAAAUAGAAGGCCCAAAUCCAACACCAUUCAUUUAAGUUCAGUUGCAACUCGAGUUUUAAAUUGAAACACGUAUGCUCAUAGCAAUAGAUUAACCUUGAAAUUAAAAGCAGAACAAGCUUCAUGCAGCCAUCCAAGAGGUCAUCAUCAAAAGAAGAGAUUACACAAGAAAUUCCAACAAAAAUUACUUCCCAGCACUUUAUGUUCCCUCAAGUUUGCUUCUCGUGAGAAACACAUGAAAAGAUGAAACAAACAAAAACAAAAAAAAGAGGUGUGUGAUACUUGAUGUUGCCUCAUGGCAAUCCUGCUGAUUUUAAUUAACCCUUUGUCGUUCUCCUUUUCUUUCAUAUAAAUAAAAAAUUUACUAUUUUGCAGCACUUGCACAUACAUUUUGUCGACUAUUCUUUUCCGUGAGUCAGGCCGCAAUUGAAUUCUCCAAUCACCCGUGUCCAUGACAGGUUCUCCGCCUGGGACAGUGGGCCAACCAAAAAGAAAAAAAAAAUCAUAUUGCAUGUUAGAAUAGACCCUAAAAAGAAAGUCAGGAACGGCAAGAAGAGCAAAAGCACAUCAAGAACAUGAAAAAUGGAAUAUCAGUUGAUUCAGACUUGAAUAGAUUUAAAAAGAACUUCCGUCUAAUAUCAUGUACUUUAUUAAAGAAUUCAGCCAAAUAUGGAUGCAUAACAAAUAUACACAACCAUUCAGGUCAAGGUGCUAGGAUCCUGGGUAUUCGGCCAUUCAAAGCAAAGAAUCUUCAUGGUGCUUCUAAACCAAAGAAGCAUUCCCAUCUAAGCAAAUACUUACUGUCAAACCCCACUCCACUUUCCCUCCUGUUCUUGUUAUUUAUGCAUAUAUUUACUUCUCUGAAAGAAUAAAUAUUGUAGGGAGCAAAUAGUGUAAAUAGAAAGAGGAAAAUACCACAUCCCCAAAAGAAUAAAGAAAUAAGAAGAAGGCAAAACAAAGUCAUAAAACGAGGCCUUUCAAUCCCCAAUGAAUAUCAGCAGACUAAAUACCACAGCACAAAUAGAAGAUGAAGAGGCCAGAAACACUAAUCCAUCCCGAAGAGAUUGUCUAGGAUGUUUUAGUCUAGGAAAAAGACAAAGAAAAAAACGAGCAUUAACAAUGAAUAUUUCAUGUUAUCAUCAACUCUAAAGAGCAGACUGAUAAGAAUCAACUUAACAAAUUUACAGGCACAUCUUUCUUUGAACAGACAACACAAUAACCCUGACCAUACUAAAUGCUCCACCCACAGUAGAAUCGGCUGAUUGCGCCUUUCUUCGAGUUGCGUUCACGAGCAGCGAUUUCAUCGGGUCCGAUUAUAUAUCUUUUUUAAUUUACUUAUUAAAAUUGAAUUUUUCUCUCUGGAUAGUAAUUUCAAUUAAAUAAAUGGAAACGCAGACGUAAAUCUUUUUUUUUUUAAAAAAAAAAAACAUAAUAGAAAAUGAAGCACCUGGUGGAGAUUUGAAGCCUUAUUGGUUGAGGGGGCGGCGGUUUCCUAGAGCGGAGGAGGGAAAGAGAGCUCAGGUGGAAAGAGGUGAAGAAUGUCGGACCAAAGUGAACAGAGCUUGACAGAUGACUCUUUUUUUUUAAUAUGAAUAUUCUAGUUAACUUAGUAUACCUCUAAUAAAAUUCACAAUCAUAUAAAUAUUUAUAUAAAUAUCUAAAAAAAUUUAAUACUCAAAUUAGUGAUAUGCAGGUAGCAAUAUUUUAUUCUUUCCAGAUUUGCUAACAAACUAAAAGAAAUGUAUUCACUGUGCUGCUUUACUGUUCAUAACUAACAAACUAAAACUAAAAUUAUUAAGGCGGGGUGCUAUGCGCGCGAGGAGAUGUCAGCCGACGGGAAAUCACCUGCAUCGGCUGGGAUGGCUUCAUUGAAGCUGUCCUCUUGGUCUGUGGCGGGCCUACUCAUUAAUGAAAAAAUUAUUCUAACAGAGACAUUGUUUUUGUUUUUGUAAAAUCUUUUCUAUUAUAUUUUUUUUAAUCCAAAUUUUUAUAGAAAACAUCAUAUAAAUUCUGGUGUGAUAUUUAUUCUUGGUUGUGCUGAUAAUAAAUUGUUUUAAAACUACAGAAUUAAUCAUUAUCUCAAUUUAAUUUUUAUUUUGAUUAUUGAUUUAUGUGCAUGUUUUAUAUUAGGUGGAAACUUGAUCAUUGUAGUAAAAAGGAACAAUAAUUUUAUGAAUUAUUCAAAACAAUUUAUUUGUUCUAUGCAUAUGUAUGAUGAUCUGGUUAUACAUGAAAUAGAUAAUUUGUCAAGAACAAAUUGAUUAUAUGUUGACAUAGAUUAAAAAAAAGUUUAAUUUUAACAGGAAAAGUAAAGUGUAUAUAUCUUUUGUUAUCUAUGUACUUAUAUAUUGCCUUGAUUCUAUGGGGAAAUAAAUUUUAUGUUGCAUGGUAUUUUCCUUUGUUGUUGCGUUGAUAGAAAAAAACAAAGAAAACAGAAGAUGGGAAAAAAAGUUGCAUAUCUGGAUAAUAAUUAUCGGUGAAAUAAUAUAUGUAAAGUGAAAUUCUAUUUAAUUGGAAUUAUUUUGUUUAUGUUGCAUAUAUAGCUAUAUAUGAUUAAAGAGUGAUUAACAACUAAUACUCCUAGCAUUGAUGAUGCAUUAUUACCAAGAAAAAAAAAAUUUAGUGUAGGAUUCAUCAAAGGCAUUCUAUUUUUCACUUGGAUUGGUAAAAGACUAAAAGACUCAAAUAUAGUUAUUACUUAAGAUGUGGUUGUAGACUUACCAAACCACAUUAGAAAAUGAGUUUGCAAUCUUUAAUUAUGUUAUAUAUGUUUAGAGUGUUUAUUUUCAUUAUUUUGAUAUAAUUACCAUGUCAGAAUUACCUAUAAAAAGAGACAAUUCUGACAUGGUUUUGACAAUAAAAAAAACUUCUAAUCUUUUUAAAACUCUUCUCUUUAUAUCUUUUUAAUUAAAAUUCUUAUAAAGAGUAACAUAAAAAUUUUAGUUCACCAUUUAUUCUUGGUUGUGCUAUAAAAAAUCAGAGAUUGAGUAAGCUUGAAAAAUAAUAUUACAAUUAUAUUGCUAGCACUAAAGAGCAUGUAAUAAAUUGUUUUAUGAUAAUUUAUAGUCAAUAUUUUAAUUUGUGGCUAUCCGUACAAAAUAUUUUAAAAUGACUAAAAUAAUUAAUAGUUUAUUAGUUUGGAUGUUUUUAGUAAUGUUGAAAUUAUAGAGAAGUGAUCAUUAAGUUGAUUUUUUUAUAUGCGUAGAAAUCAGGUCAUUAUAAAUUUAAUAAACUAUUUAAAGUGUUCCAAUGAAAAGAAAAUGGUGUUGUGAAUUUGAGUCUGCAUUUUUCUCUUUCUUUUUGGUUUUUUUUGUUCGUCCCUUCCUCAAAAUUUAGGGUAUUAAAUUUCUUUGUUUCUUCGGAAGAUGCCUUACUCUUUGUUGAUCGUCUUUCUGUUUUUAGUUGCAUUGUUAGGCUAUAUGUGUGUUUAUUGAGGCUUUGGCUGCCUUUUUUGCUACAGUUAUGAGGUUUCUUGGAGUGUUUUAGUUAACUUCAGCCCUCUAUUAUCCAUUCUUUAUAGAGGUGGUGUUGUCUUUGUUUCGCACAAGGCGGCAUGUGUCUUGAAAGGAAGUUUACUUGGUUUUCUUUACAUGUGUUUCUUGCAUGCUACUUGUUUGGCAAAAGUCUCCUGAGAGAUCGACCUUUUUUCUUUGUUUUGGUUAGGCUGGGUGCUUGAUUUGUGUUAGGCUGUUAAAGUUUUUUCCCUUUCUUUAUAAGAAAAAAAUAUUUCUUUUGUGCUUGGGAACACACCUUUGUAGCUUUAGAGAUGAUAGAAAGCUUUGCUUUUAAAGGCAACAUUGUUCUUUAUGGUUUUUUCAACAUGGGUUUCCUUAACAAAAAUUAAGUUUUGCAUGUUUAUUUAUGUUGCUCAUCCACAUGUAUUGCAACAGGUCUUUCUAGAGGUAACUUGGGUGAGGAAAAAACUUUGUGCCACGAAAAUAAGAGGCUGGAGUUUUAUUUUGCUUUAGAUUCUUCCCUUAAUUCCAACCUUGGUUUGUUUUCAAUUCUUUGGUCUUUCUUUUCAUUAGUCUAUGAUUUUUGUUGGCUUCUUGCUUUGUGUAAGGUUGUACGAGGAUUUUCCUUUUUUAAAAAAAAAUCAUCUUGUGUUUGGGAACACAGCUUUGUACCUUUGGAGAUGAUAGAAAGCUUUGAUUUUGAAGACAACACUUUUUCUUUAAGUUUUUUGGACUUGGGUUUCCCUGAAAAAUGUCUUCUUUUUGCUUGUUUGUUUGUUUUGGUCAUACAUAUAUGUUACAGCAGGUCUUGUUUGUGGCUUGCACAUUGGUUGCUUAUGUUUAUUGAUGAUAGCUUUUAUUGUCUUUUUUCUUUUCAUUUGUAAUUCACAACAAUAGAGUGGGUUUGAUUAUCUUGGUUUGGAAUUGACAUGAAAAAAAGAGAGAAACUUACAUUCUCUACUUUAGAUGGCUUGAGCAUUGUUCGCUAGAAUAAUAGAAUGGGUUUAAUUAUCUUGGUCUGAAAUUGGCAGGAAAAAAAGAAAAGGAACUUGCAUUGUUUGCUUUAGAUGGCUUGAUUAUUGUUCGCUAGAACAACAGAUUGGGUCUGAUUAUCUUGGUCUGGAAUUGGCAGGAGAAAAAAACAGAAACUUGCAUUGUCUGCUUUAGAUGGCUUGAACAUUGCUUGCUAGAUGUUCAUUAAUUUCUCUUUUUGCAAUGAACUCUUGCAUAGUUGACAGAUCAUGCUACAUUAUUCACGCUAUUAUUGUUCUUUAUUGAACUACCAAGAUUAUUGGUUGGAUAAUAGCCACUGUGAUUAGAGAAACUGAAAUAAUUUAUAGUCUGCAAGUCUAUAUAUUCAUUACGGCAGUCAUGUUUUUAUCCAAACAUUGCCAAGAGUCAAGACCAAAGUUAAUCAAUAACAAAAAGAUGGAAAAAAACCCCGAAGAUAAAAGUGACAAAAUUCAUAAAACUCAAACGCCAAUAAUAUAAUUAAUGUCAAAUGAUAAGAUUACAAAAAUCAAUUAAAGAAAAAAAUAAAUCAACCUAUGUUAACUUAACUUAUCCACGACCUGAGAUAUGAAGUAGAAAUAAUCAUACAAAAAAAAAAAACCAGAACAAAUAACAAAGUUUAAAGCCUCAAGGUUGAUGAUAAAAAAAAAAUUUAAUUUUAAAAAAGAACUUAAAAAAAAAUACCAAACUUAAAACGAGUUGAUAUUCAAAAUUGGUAUGGUGAGUUAUGAGACCAGGAUUAGUGUAUUCAUACAGUUUUGACCUGUCUUUUUUUAUUGUUUUUUUUGUUUAUUUUUUUAUUCAAUGUUGGAUAUGACUUUUUUGUUAUUUUUUAUCGAAGCAUAUGGUUGUUUCAUAAAAAAAAAAAAAAACUAUAGGAAACAUAGUUGUUAAAACACAACGAAGCACAUGACCUAUGUCAUGAUAUCAAAUAUCUUAAUCUUAGUUAUCUAUUUAUCAAAUAUUGAUCUAGUUACUAAAUACAUGUAUAGGCAUUUUGAUUUGUGAUUGAAAAAAAAAACUUAUAUUAAAAAGCACAUUAUAAGAGUCUGCUUAUUUUUUUUACUUAAAAAAAUAAUCACCCUGCUGCAAACCGCCAAUAUGAAACUAGUUACUUAUAAUAUAAAAUAUGUGGGGUGAACAUUGUGUAGCCACUCACUUCACCACCUCCUGUUUUAUAGUGGACACAAUGGUCACUGGUUUUUUAUUAGGUUUUGCUAUAAAUUUAAAGGGAAAAUAUGUAAGGUGAACAAUAUACAACCAUAUUGUUCAUCCCCUCAUGUUUGAUGUGCUAAGGAUAUAAAACCAAGUAAUUGUUUCUUCCUUUAGACUAAGAGUCAAUGCGUAGCAGAAUGAGCCUUCCUUCUCUCAUUCUGAUCAAUCAUCUUAGAGAGCCUAUGUUCUUGCCUUGAUCAAGAAUCCUAUCUUAGUUAUUCAACACGUAUAAAGAAAUUUUCCAAAAUCAUUUCUUGACAUACACAUCUUAGUUAUUCAACAGGUUUAGUGGGUUAAUCCAGUUGAAUUAUUUUUAUUUUUUAAUUAAUUUCUUAUUAUUAUUCAAUAUUAGAUUGAUUAAGAAUUAGAUUUCAUAAUUUUUUUAAUUUGCUUUCUAUCAAGAUUCUCCUAAUAUAUUGUUAUAUCUCAAGUUAAAAUUAUGGGGCAAUUGGAGUUUAGAAAGGCCUUACAAGACUGCUAGUGACAUUUUCAUAAUUUUGUUUUGAAAGGUUAUUUUUUGUGUUUUUUUUAGAUUUUUUUCUUCAAUUUAACCAUUCAAUAAUAGGUUUAUUAAGAAUUGAGAUUUAGAAUUUGUUUUGAUUUGCUUUAUUUUGAGUUAUUAUGGUCUCAUAACCUAGAUUAUGGAUUUAGAACGUUAACUUGAGUUGAUCCGGGUCGAUCCAAUAAGUUGUCAUCUCAGUAUUGUUUUUGAAAAUAUGUCAUUUUAAAAUUUUUUUAGUCAAACUCUAUUCUUACUAGUUGUUGUCUUUGGACCCAUAAGUCGAUCGGGUCAUAUCGGUUCAACUCUCACUUUUUUACUUGUGUUUGAAAUUUAAAUUGCAUAAUUUCAAGUUAGUUUAUAUUUAAAUUUGAAUUGAACUUAUGUUUAUUGAGUUUAAUCUUGAAUAUAUAUAUAUAUAUAUAUAUAUAUAUAUAUAUAUAUAGUAUAAUCUUGAAAUAGCACGCUGAAAUGCUCUGAAACCAAAAUAUACAGUUUGAAUUAAAAAAUAAAACACUAUCCGGAACGAGAUUGAUAACCUGACGUGAUAUGUUUAAAAUGAGCAUCAUCGAAUCAUCUAGAGCAACCGUGUACAUAACAAGGGCGUCCCCUUCUCCGUCCAGAGAUUAGGCACUGAAUCUUUCGUUACAGUUAGAGUAGGCGAAGCUUGUCAAUCUUACAAAGGUGGUAGAAUUUGAGGAUUUUUAUUGUUCUGUCUCAUUUUUUGAAUGAAACUGUACUAUCUUACAUAAAAUUUAAAACAACGCUGAGAAUUCUCUGUUAUUAUUACUUGCUUAAAUGGAAGGAGUAUGGAGAUUUGAAAUUACAAUGAUUGUUACAAACCAAACUUUUAAAACCGACAAUUGUUCGUUCCUUCCAUUAAGCCCACGUGAUUCAGAUGGGAUGCAAUCAAUCCAGUUUACACCCAAAGGUGGAGCCUUUCUCUUUCAAUGGUAUAAGUCUUCAGCGGGUGGAGGAUGAACGUGAGGUGGAAUCACCAGGUUCACUGGAUUCAGAAAAGGGAAUCUUCGUUAUAUCAUAACUUACAGUUCUGCUGCAACUGCAGAAUGUAUUGUUGAAGAUGAGGUGCAGAGGAUGUUGUUUGCUGGGCAGGCUUUGGGAAUGCUGAGGACUAGACAGUUUUGACAGCAGACAUUAGAAGCCAGGUGGAUAUAUAAGAAGAUUGCAGAUCGGAAUGCAGCCCAAUAAUUCCAUUUUGCAGUAUAACUUGGUAAGGUUUAAAAUCAUUUAUCAAUGAAGAUUUUAUUCUGGAAUAGUUGUGGGUUGGGUAUGUCUGCUAAGAGGGCCUCUGUUAGGAAUACAAUAACGCAUAGUGAUAUUGAAGUGUGUUUUUUGGAUAAAAUAUUACGUGUUGAAUGUCACGUAUAAUGGGGCAAGGAAUUAUGAACCUGGAGAGGAAAAACAUCUUGAAAUUCUUUCAAAACCACACUUAUUUCUUCAAGUGCUUUCUCUGAAACUUUCUUAGCCACUAAAGCAAAUGAAACAAACUGUUCAUGAACCUGAUUCUCAAAAUCAUUUGGGCUUAUAAGAUUAAGUCCUUUUCCUUUCAUUUAUUGGAGUUACAUCACACUCUCAUCAUGGUAAAUUGAGAAAUUAAUAGGAAAAAUAUAUAUCUUUUUUUGACCCAUGAUUUUUAUCAAUAAUGUAGUCUAUACCCAGCACUUUCUGUUUUUUUUUGGAGGAACCACCGAUGACCAAGCGGUUACAAGUUUAAAUUUCACCAUCCUUAUUUAUUAGCUCUUUGAGAAUUUUAGAGUUAUCCAACAAUCAAUUGUCCACAAUAAAACUAGAACAACUAAAAACAAUAUGGUUUCUCAAGCUGUCAAACAACAAUUUGGAUGGGCAUUUACCGACCUCGGUGUUCAAUUCUUCUAUCUUAGAAUAUCUCUACCUAGGUGGUAACAAUCUUUGGGGUCAGAUAUCAUAUUUUCCAUUAAAUGAGUGGAAAGUGUGUACUGUAUUGGAUUUGAGCAACAAUCAAUUUUCAGGCAUGCUUCCAAGGUGGUUUGUCAAUUCUACAAGCCUUGGCGCAAUUGAUUUGUCCAAAAACUAUUUUAAGGGUAUGAUCCCAAGAGACUUUUAUAAGCUUGACCAACUUUUAUAUUUCAACCUUUCUGAGAACAACUUGUUUGGAUAUAUAUCAUCUUGUUUCAGUUCACCAUCUCUAAUCCAUGUGCAUCUAUCCAAAAAUAGAUUGAGCGGUCCAUUAACAUAUGGAUUUUAUAACAACUCUUUCCUAGUUAUGAUGGAUCUUCAAAAUAAUAGCUUCAUUGACUCCAUUCCAAAUUGGUUUGGCAAUCUUUGAUGGUGAGCUACUUGUUCAGUUAUGCGUGUUAGAAGAAUUAAGCAUUUUGGAUGUUUCACAAAACCAGCUCUCUAGCCUACCACCCUCUUGUUUGGGCAAUCUUACUUUUAAGGAAAGUUUCUGGAAAACGUUCACGCUUCUCGGAGUUCUUUCUCUAUCAAGGUCCAUAGAAAAAGCUUAUUAUGAAACAAUGGAUCCACCACUAGUGGAUAGUAUUUACAGCUUGGAAGAGGGUUUUCUGCUUGACUUCACAAAAAAGUGAUAGAAUUUACAACUAAAAAUAUGUAUUAUGGUUACAAGAGGAAAACUCUCAGCUACAUGUCUAGUAUUGAUCUCUCCAUUAACAACUUUGUAGGAGCAAUCCCACCAGAAUUUGAAAACUUAAGUGAGAUAGUAUCAUUAAACUUAUCACACAAUAAUUUCACUAGAUCUAUCCCUGCAACAUUCUCAAACGUAAAGCAGAUUGAGAGUUUGGAUCUUUCGUAUAACAACUUGAAUGGUAUCAUCCCUCCACAACUUACUGAAAUUACCACACUUGAAGUUUUUAGUGUGGCGUACAAUAACUUGUCAAGUAAGCACCUAAGAGAAAAAAUCAGUUUGGGACCUUCGAUGAUGAAAAUUGUUACGAAGGAAAUCCUUUCUUGUAUGGACCUCCAUUGCGAAACAACUGUAGUGAGGAAGCAGUGCCGUCACAACUAGUGCCUAAUGAUGAACAAGGAGAUGAUGGUUUCAUAGACAUGGACUUUUUCUACAUCAGUUUCGGUGUAUGUUACACAAUUAUGGUGAUGACAAUUGCAACACUUCUUUACAUCAAUCCAUAUUGGCGAUGUAGAUGGUUGUACUUCAUCGAUACUUCCUACUAUUUUGUGGUGGCUAGUUUUCGCAAAUUCUCCAACUUCAGAAGGUGAAUUUGUUACUGGGGAGAUGGUCGUUCCUACUUGCUAUUGGGUGCUUAAUUUGUACUGUACUGUCUCUAAGCUCAGCCUUUCUAUUUGAUUAGUUACUUGGGUUAAAUAUAUAAAGCUUGACUUCUCAUUCCUGAACCAUUAGGAAGGGAACUGAUUUCCUCUGCUUCUUCACCCAUCUCAUUCUAUUUGAUUAGUUACUUGGGUUAAAUAUAUAAAGCUUGACCUCAGCCUUCCUGGCCGUUUCUUUGCUCUGCUACUCAUUUCCUCUGCUUCUUCACCCAUCAUAAUUUUAACAUGAUCUCAAUGCACUCUAAGCCAUUCCUUUAACUCCAGUUUCCUUUUCACCAACUUUUUAAAACAAUCUUCCUCGUCUUCUUGACUCUUUUUGUUUCUUCUAACUACCUGCUGCAAUCUCCUUAAGCUGAGAGGCAGUGAGGUUUGCCAUGCUUCCAAAGCAAAUAUAAACAACUGAAUUUUGGUUUCUUUGAGUCGAGCCACUUCAAACACUCAUGUUGAGCGAUUGAGGCUUCUUUUCUCUUCGUACUUUAUCUUCAAUGUCUCUACUGCAUAGUGAAACCGGGCCUACGUUAAUUCACACCCUCUUUAAUUGACCCAACAAGACUAUAUCCUAACCAUACAGCUUCUUCUUCUACAGAUUCAUGGAUCACUUUAUGCAAAGCAGAGGAAUGAUUUUCUGGAAAAAGAGUGUCUUGGGAACUUACAGUAGAGUUUAUUCGAACUCUUGUCUCAGGACAGUAGCAUAGCUUCUUGAAUCUCUGUUUCUAAUCGAACAGGGGAGCCACGAGAAGCUUGGAGUGUAUAUAUCUUCUGUUAAAUUCCAUGACUAUGUUAAAUUCCUUAUCGUUUGUUAUUUGUGUACUUGUUGCAUUGAUUGUACAGGGAAAUAAAUUUUACGUUGCAUGGUAUUUUCCUUUGUUGUUGUGUUGAUAUGAAAAAAAAUAGAAGAUUGGGAAAAAAAGAAGUUGCAUUAAUAUAAAUAUAAUCCCAAGGAUACAGUUAAAUUUUUAAAGACGCAGCGUGAAUACUAAAACAUAAGAGAGAAGAUGGGGAGGGAAAAAAUACUUUGUCGCCACUGAACCAACGCGAAUAUGGCAACACACGCCAUACCAUCAACUACACCUUCACAUUACACGUUGAACUAUCACACGUCUCCUUGAUAACGUGGUGGCCUAUCAUGCACUGACAUGUGCUAUGCACAUGUCAAUCUUUUUUAUUGAUUUAUUAAUAUUUUAAUACUUUAAAUUACUAAAUCGCUUUUAAAAGCGUAUAAAUAUUACAAAAAAAAGCCAUAUUGCAAGGAUGAAAAUGUUAUCCCAAGCCAACUUUAGAUUUUUUUUAUUCCAAGGUUAACAUGAAAACAUGAAAAAGACUAAAAAAAUACCUCUUGUCAAGGUCAAUAUUUUUGAACUCUCAAUGGUAUUGACGUCAUUUUUCUAUCUAAAUAAAAUAAAAUAGACAAAAAUAAACCCUAACCAAAAGGUCAAAUGUUUUUUUGAUUGCAAGGGCAAUGAUGUAGUUUUAGUGUGCGAAAAAGGAGUAAACCUAUUAAAUUAUCCCCAAUCAAUUUACAAAUAACCUUUAGAUCACUUGAAAAAGAUAAUUUUACCUCGUUAGCAAGUCAAUUGUUUUGUGUAGAGAAGGGCAAAAGAUAAAUAUAUUGUACUAAUCCACGAUAUUUUACCUCACAGUCUAUAAUGAAUCACUUGAAUCAUUGAUCUCUUUUAAGGGGUUUUUUUUUGUAUAUAAUUCUACUUUUUUUUAGUUUAUGUUUAGAUCUUUAGCAUGCAUUUUCAAAUCAAAUCUCUAUUCUCUUGCACAUGUAUAAUUGUUUUUAAAAUAUAUUUUUUUCACAUUUGACAAUGCUUUUGCACUAAAAAAUUUAGGAUUGCCGGUAAUGUGAGCCACUUAUCUAGUUAGGUACUAUAAUAGUGUUUCAUUUUUAUAUGAAUAGUGAAACACUUUAUUUUAAAAAAAAUUCUUUCUUUUUUAUUUGGUUUUGUUUUGUUUUCUUUUUUACAAAUUAGUCCUUAUUUUUUAUUUAAUUCUUUUUUUGGCCUCAUUAUAUAUGAUAAAGCUUUCAAUUUAAUUAGAAAUAAACUACUAUACUAAAAAAUUAUGCUUCUCUUUAUAUAUAUUUUUUGUUUUUUUAAGUAGUCCUUAUAUUUUUUUUGCUUCUUGAUUUAGUGUUUUUUUCAUUUUAUUUCCUUUCUUAUUUUUACAAAUCGGUCUUUAGACAUUUUCUUCCCUUUUUUAUUUAACUUUUUUUGGGUCUAAUUGUAUAUGAGAUAAAGAUUUUAAUUUAAUUAAAAAAUUAUUUAUUAUACUAAAAAAGUUAGGGUUUUCCCUCCUACUUCACUAUUCAUAUCCUCUUUUUUUUUUAAAAAAAUAAUAAUCUAUCUUCUAAUUUUUUUCUUCUUUUGAUUGAAUGAUUUUUGUUGUUUUUUCUUUCAAUUUCACUUUAAUAUUUUGUUGAUUUUGAAUUGCUCAUCUUAAUUUUUUUUUGUUUCCUUUAUAUGUAAUUAUCGCGGUCUCAAAUAGACAUCUUUAAAUUUGUUUAGUGCUUAAUUUUGUAAGUGUCUAUUUUAAUUCUCACAUCAUUAUAUUAAAAAUAGUUUUUAAAUCCAAUAGAGUUCAUGAUCUACGUUGUGCAUUUGACGAGUUAAACUGCGAAGCUCGAGUUGAUCUAGUAUAUCAUCAUAUCAAUAUUAAAAAAAAAAAAGAUAUCAUCUUGAUUUUCUUUCUUAAAAUUCAAACCAUGUUUGUAUUGAUCAUUUGAGUUGCCUUAAUUUGCACAUGUCAAGCCAACUAGGUCAUGUACAGACAACUCCCUUGCGAAUUAAUUUUAAACCUAUGUUAGAUAAGAAGUCAAGUCGAGAGGUUUCAAGGUUGUCAAUGAGAUCACGUUUAAUAACAAUGUCAUAUUGUUCCUUUGUUUUUAAACUCUACCUUCCAUUUUUUUUAUUUCUUUCAAUUGAAUCCUUUUUGACUUUUUUUUAUUCCAUCCUUUAAUAUUUUUUUGAUUUUGAAUUAGUCUUGUUUCGGUUUGCUUUCUAUGAUAUUAUUGCAGCCUCAAACAAAUGUCAUAACAUUUGGUUGGUAUUUAAUUUUAUGAGCAUCUAUUUUUGUUAUCAUAUCAUUAAGCAAAAAAUAAUUAAAAAAAUUAAAGUUGUUAAACUAGGUGGAGUCCAUUAUUUAGGCCGUGGGUUUGGAGAGUUAAGUCACGAAACUAGAAUCAAUUUAGUGGGUUUGGAGAGUUAAGUCACGAAACUAGAAUCAAUUUAAUAUGUCAUCAUAUCAAUGUUAAAAAAAGAUGUCAUUUUAAAAUUUUAGUUUGGACCUACCAUGUUGACUUGAUCGUAUUAAAAUAACUUUCACAUUAGUUAAUUUUAAACUUGAUAUAGAUAAAGAAUUAAAUCAGAAGAAUUUAAAAUUAAUCCACUAGAUCCAGUUAGUUUCUUAAGCCUAGAUGAUUUUUUCAUGUUGGGCAAAACAUAAACUAGUUCCUUCCAAAAUAAACACUCACGCAUAUGAUUAUAAAAAUUUGAGUAAAAUUUUAUAUAACCAAUGUCUGUUUUUCGUGAAACAAACAAGUUAAUCCUUCAAGUUUUUUAAAUAAUUAAUUGAUUCUUUAAUCACAUUUUACCGUCAAGUUAAUUAGUGGAACAAGCUAUGGGUGUUGUAUAUCACUACUAAUUUUCUUUCCCUUAAUUUUCUCUUUUCCUUAAUGGGUGUUGCAGGCUUCUUUCUCUGAAUGUUAAAUGCUUUCUCUAAUCAUCUAUAUUCUACAGCCCAGCAUUUUGUUAUAGUUGUUGUUGCUGUGGAUAAAAGUGCAUUUAUUUUCUUUUAACUUUUUAAACAAUUCAGUUAGUUUUUUGUUAUAGUUGUUGUUGCUGUGUAGUUUCAUGAAUUUUUGUCGUUUGGUAUCAUCUUUCUAAUUUUACUAUUAGUUAAUGGAUAUUAAUUCGACCUCUUGUUCGUUUUUAAUAUUGUUGUUUGGCUCACUUGUAUAUUCUUUUUAUAGAUUUUUUGCUUGACUUAAUAUUAAUUAAGUAUGCAUCCAAUUUGCAAAAAUAGAUACAUACACCACUUUUAUUAAUUAAUAAGACUGAUUACAUUAAUUCUUGAACUUGUUUUAUUUAAAUAAAUAAAUAGAAUUAUGAUAGUUCAUAAUUUGAUGAUUAGAUAAUAUUCAUAUAUUCAGAAUACACGACGCAUGUAUUGAGUUUAAUGUUUUUGAAAAAGAAAUUUUUUAAUUGAUUAAUGUAUAAGUAUAUAAAUUUAUUUACUAAAUAAUAUUUUGAUUAAUUAAUAAAUUUCAUGGUCUAAAUGAUAUUAAUUAAAAAAAAAAAACUAAGAGCGCUCAUUAAAACACGGUGCUCUGUAUGUGAAUCCUAUGGAUUCACAGUGGCCCCUCUUCUGUUUUUCGCGUUUCUUCUGCCAGUGGAUGUUCCCUUGCGCGCUUUCUUCCUCCAUUUUUCUAGAAGCACUUUAUUUUUUAAAAAUUAAAUUGUUUUUCUUUUUAAUUUGUUCCUGUUCUUUAUUUUAUUUUCUCUUACAAAUAAGUCCUUAUUUUUUCAUUUAAUUCUUUUUUGGCCUAAUUAUAUGGGAUAAAGUUUUCAAUUUAAAUAGAAAUAAACUACUAUUUAAAAAAAAGUUAUGCUUCCCAACCUCCUCCACUCUCUCUUUUUUCACCAUCCAUAUCCUCUCUUUUUUAAAAAAUAAAUAAAUUAUAUCUUCUAAUAUUUUCUUCUUUUAAUCUAAUUUCUCUCAUUGGAUAAGAAUUUCAGUUAAAUAAAUGAAAGCGCAGACGUAAAUUUUAAAAUAAAAACACGAUAGAAAGGAAGCACCUGUGGAGAUUUGAAGCCUUAUUGGUUGAGGUGGCGGCGGAGGCGGGCGGUUUCGAGAGCGGAGGAAGGAAAGAGAAAGAUCUCAGGUGGGGAGAGGUAAGGAAUGUCGGACCAAAGUGAACAGUGCUUGACAGAUGACUUUAUUCUUUUCCAGAUUCGGUAACAAACUAAAAGAAGUGUUUUAUAGUGCUGCUUCACUGUUCAUAACUGACAAACUAAAACUGAAAGAAAUAUAUAUAUAUAUAUAUAUAAAACUAAGAGUGCUCAUUAAAACACGGUGCACUGUGUGUGAGUCCUGUGGCUUCACCGUCUUUACAGCGCUCCCUCUCUGUUUUUCGCGUUUCUUUUCGCGCGGUGGGUGUUCCCGCGCUUUCUUUUAGUUAGGUGAAUUCAUAACUAAAACGUUUAUUAAAAUCACUAAAAUAACUAAUAGUUUAUUAGUUUGGAUGUUUUUAGUAAUGCUGAAAUUAUAGAGAAUUGAUCAUUAAGUUGAUUUUUUAAUAUGCGUAGAAAUCAAAUCAUUAUAAAUUUAAUAAAUUAUUUAAAGUGUUCCAAUGGAAAGAAAAUGGGUGUUGUGAAUUUGAGUCUGCAUUUUUCUCUACUUUUUUUUGGUUUUUUUCGUUUGUCCCUUCCUGAAAAUUUACGCUCAGUUUUUGCCUUCUACCUGCUGCUUAGUUUAGGGUAUAAAAUUUCCUUGUCUCUUCGGAAGAUGCCUUACUCUUUGUUGACUGUCUUUCUGUUUUUAGUUGCAUCGUUAGGCUAUGUGUGUGUUUAUUGAGGCUUUGGCUGCCUUUUUUGCUAUAGUUAUGAGGUUUCUUGGGCAUAGUCUUUUGGUUAGCUUCAGCCCUCUAUUAUCCAUUCUUUAUAGAGGUGGUGUUGUCUUUGUUUCGCACAGGGUGGCAUGUGUCUUGCAAGGAAGUUUACUUGGUUUUCUUUACAUGUGUUUCUUGCAUGCUACGUGUUGGCAGAAGUCUUCUGAGAGAUCGACCUUUUUUCUUCAAUUGUUUUGGUUAGGCUGGGUGCUUGAUUUGUGUUAGGGUGUUAAAGUAUUUUCCCUUUCUUUAUAAGAAAAAUAUAUUUCUUUUGUGCUUGGGAACACAUCUUUGUAGCUGUAGAGAUGAUAGGAAAGCUUUGCUUUUAAAGGCAACAUUGUCUUUAUGGUUUUUUCGACAUGGGUUUCCUUAAAAAAGUUUUAGUUUUUGCAUGUUUAUUUAUGUUGCUUAUCCAUAUAUAUAUAUAUACUACAACAAGUUUUUAUGGAGGUAACUUGGGGGAAGAAAAUACUUUGUGCCACGAAAAUAAGAGGUUGGAGUUUUAUUUUGCUUUAGAUUCUUCCCUUAAUUCCAGCCUUUGGGCCUGAAUCUUCAUGGUGCUUCUAAAACCAAGGAAGCAAAAAACUAGCCAGCUAGUUCACAACUUGCACUACUAAAAACAGGGGUCAUUUGCAUCAGAAUUUAGCAACGGAUAAUUCCGUUGCUAAAUUCAGUAACGGAUUUGCAACGGAUUACACAUGUAUUAUUUUUUUAAUAUUAGCAACGGACUUUAGCAACGGAUAAUCCGUUGCAAAAUUUACGUUGAAUUUAGCAACGGAUUUUCCGUUGCUAAUUGAAAAAAAAAAGUUAAUAUAAAAUUAAAAUUAUAUAGACCGUUGAUUACAUUAAAUCCGGACCGUUUAUUUCAAUAUCUCGAUCCCCGCCCCACACCGAAAUACAAAUCCAAUUAACAAAACCAAAAUGUACAUUCACUCUUACUCUUCCAACAGAUCCUUCGUUCGAACAAAAUCAUCGAUCCAUCACCCUCAUCAAAAAUCACCAUAACUGUUCAACAGAUCCGAAACUGUUCAUCAUCUUCUCCUUCGUGUUCAUCAUCUCCUUCGUGUUCAUCAUCUUCUUCUCCUUCAUUUUAAACCAACAAAAACAGAGACCCAUGACAACAUCGCACCAGACCCAUCAUCAUCACCAUCGAACAUCCUGUUUUGCCCCUUCUCUGUAAACGGGUUAGGUUUUGCACUGUUUUCUUCAAUAGCUCAGGUAAUUAAUUUAUGGUUUUUGUUUUCUUUGUUGCAAUUUAAGUUACACUAAACAGUUCUAACCUAACUUUCCCAAUCUCAGGUGUGAUUCUGUUGUGUUGAUCCAUCUCCCUCACCCAUCUCCCUCACCUGUAACCGAAGAACACAGGUAAGAAUUUUUUUUCCCGAAACUUUGAAUAAUGGUUUUAGGCUAUUAAUUCGAUAAUAUAAUGUUUAUGAUAUGUUUUUACCAUGAUUUAUAACAUAAUGAUGCACGUUUAAAUGUAAAUUUAUGAAAACCCCCAAAUUAAUUUUUAGGGUUACGGUUCAUAAAUUGAAUGAUUUUAUUCAACCUGACCAAUGCUGGCAAUUCUUGUGUCUGGAAGAGAGUGAUUGAUGGAAAUUAUGCAUGUUUAAUUGAAAAUUUAUCAAAACCCCCAAUUUAAUUUUUAACAAUUAGUAUUAUUGAUGCUGUGUGUUCUUUGAUGUCUGCAAAUUGUCCUCCUGUGCACCGAAACCUAGGUGUUUUGAAUGUAUUAUAUGCUUAUAUAUAUAUAAGGAAACUUGAUUGUUGUUGUUGUGUUUCGUUAAUAAGAUUGCUGUUUUAUUUUUGUUUCUUCAUUAAUUAUUUUUUUUCUUGCUGUUUUACUUGUUAUAUAUAUAAUUAGCAGAAUUGUGUAGUGAAAGAGGUUAGAAUUCAUGGUUGCCUCCUCCUUGCAUGGUGAUAAGUUAAUUUCCCACAUUAGCUAUAUAUGUUGUCUGUUUUCAUUUGAUUGUCCUGUCUUGAGGUCAGCAUGCAUGAUUUGGAAAUUAACUAUUAGUCUCUUGGAUGAGGAUUUGUUUUUGUAUUAAAGAGUUCUACAGCUCUUUUGGCUUUUUUUAUAGUUACUAUGUUGCAUGAACUAAGUAGCAAAUUUUUUGGAGCCAACUUGUGUAAUUGCAGAAACAAUCGCAUGUUUUUAGCAUGUUUGUAUGUAAUGAUACAUGUAAAAUGCACCAGCAUUGUGCAAUGGUUCAUUUUUUAGUCAUUUCUGUGUGAAUUAAGCAAAUUGAUGCUGAAAAUCUUUGCUUGCUUAGCCAUUAUCAGUGGAUAUAGGAUCAGUUAACAAACUACAAGCAAUCGCAUGGGCUUGUUAGAAUUAUUUGUGGAAAAGGCUAGGGUCAAGUGCUGUGAGGUCACUGGACUUGACCCUUUAAAUUGUGAAAUUGGAAAUAUUAGACACUCUUUUGCUGUUUUCGGUUCACAAGGUUGAUGUUUACACUGUGAAGUCAGUUCUAGCAAAGCACUAAUUAGUAUAGAUCCAUUUCCAAUCACACAAAGGAUAAAGGAUUAGAGAGCAAAGCACUAAUUUGUUUUAAAGACUAGCAAUUGUUAUAACUUGAUGGGUGUAACAUACUGUUUAUGUUUUUUAUUUUUCCAGCAAUAUGAAUGGCUUAUUGGAUCACAACAUAAUCAAAUAGAGUUGGCUAAAUCUGAUUGGGUUGCAAUAAGAAAACCUCCACCUUGUGCCAUUGAUUUUUGGGGCUUUGGUAAGUCUAUUUUGCUCCAUUUUUACAUGGUUGCUUAAUUAUAUGGUGCGUAUUUUUUCUGUUGGGCAUGCAUAUUGUAAUCCUUUGAAGUAGUUGGAACUUUGCCUUUCAUUGGGAUAAUAUUGACAGUUUGUAUAAGAAAACUAAUGGAAUGAUUUUCUUUCAUUAAAUGUGAUCUUGAGUACACAUUUAGGUUACAUUACAAUGAUGGACAAGUUGAUUCCUUUUACUAUAUGCACAACAUAAUUGAUAAAAUAAGAAAAAGAAACCCCAGCAGUAAAAAGAGCUUGAAAUCUAUUGAAUUUGAUAUUGAAUUCUGUUGAUCGGAUUUUGAGGGAGAGAUGGGAGAAAUGGGUGAGAGAUAUUGAUGUUUGAAAGAAAUGUUUAAAUUGUUAUUCAACACUUUGGAAAAUGCAAAACCACUUUUAGGUGUUUUAUGGAAAAGUAAGUAUUCUUUAAAUUCGGUGAUUGCAAUUAUAAUUACGCGUGGAAAACAUGUAUACACACGCAAAUUAAAUAAUGUCGUGUAAUUUUUUAUUGAAAUUAUAUUAAAAUAAAUUUUUUAAUUUUUUUAACAUUGUUAUAUUAAAAUUAUUUAAAAAUAUAAAAAAAUUAAUUUGAUAUUUUUUAAAAAAUAUGUCAUAAUACAAAAACAAAUUCUCAUCCAAGAGACUAAUAGUUAAUAUACAUGUUUAACUAUAAACUUUGAUUACACAACAAAAUAUAAAUAAUAAGUAUUUCAUAGAAAGAGGUUUAACAUAAAUAUAUUAACACCUCCAUUACCUUAACCAUAAAUAUUAACAAUAAUUAUUGCUCGUCCGUGUAGAACUUGUAAUCAACUAAAUUGGAUUGUGCCUAAAGAAUUUAUAAAACAAAUGUAUUUAUAUUUUCAUCCACCAAUAUUAUAAUUAUUAUUUAACUACGACAUAAAAGAUAUAUACAAUGUAUAUGACAAGAGACAAAGAUACAAAUGUGAGUAACUAUUGUAACCCAUAAUAAAUUAUGUUUUUUUUUAUAUUGCAUUUUAAUCUUUUUUUAAGAAAAUUAAAAAAAUUCUUUAAUCUUGUAUUACCUCGCAUGUUUAUGAUUUCAUUUACCAUUUCUUAGUUGAGCAAAAAAAUAUCCGAAUAAAAAAGAAAAAGUUUGAUGAAUCCAAUAAAAAUAAAAGGAUCCAAAUUAAAAAAAAAAAAAAAACUAUUUGAGGUGGUAACAAAAGUUAGAAGGACCAAUAAAAAAAAUGAACUCUAAAACUAUUAUAAAGAUAAAUUUAUUUAAAAUUUGUUCAACUAAAUAUUUUUUUUUCUUUAUCCAUUUAUUCUGUAUAAAAUAUUAACCGAACAUAAUCUAAAAGUCUACUUUUGUCACUAGUUAGAAAAUAUAAAUGAAAAUAUAAAAUACUAACCGAACAUAUUUUAUUUUAAAAGAUUGUUUAAGUUUUAGUAGUUAAAGAAGUAUGCUUAUUUCAAAAAAUGCUUAUUGGUGUUGUCAUGUUAAUUAGAUUAAUAUGGAUGAUCGAUCGUGGAUGUAUCGUCGUCUUAUGGAUGGUCGCCUUCGUCCUGAAUACAUUACGGGUGUUAGAAGAUUUAUCAAUUUUGCAUUUUCAAUUGAUAAAAAUAUAUCUGGGGGGAAAAUUAGAUGUCCUUGUGUGAGGUGCAAAAAUCAAAAGUUUUUAAAGGAAGAUGAUGUUUGUAAACAUCUAUUGACAAAAGGUUUUUUACCUUGUUAUGAAAAUUGGACUGUACAUGGGGAGCCUUAUGUCGCAGAACCAAUAUUGGCUGGACCUUCAUCGAUUGGAAUGAGUCAUGUUGUGAAUGAUGUUUGUCUAGAGAAUCCAUAUAGGAAUCUGGUUAUGGAUGCAAUGGGGGUUGGUGAUGCAUUCUACAAUGAUAAUGUGUCUAGUCCUGUGGUAGCAGGGGAAAUUCCAAACCCGGAGGCAACUAAAUUUUUUAAGCUUUUGAAAGCUGCGGAGGAGCCGUUGUGGGAUGGGUGUACCAAGCAAUCCAAAUUAUCUGCUUGUGUACAAUUGCUUAAUAUGAAGUCAACUUUAAAUUUGACUCAGAAUGCCUUCAACAAUUUUAUUGACUUUACAAAAAGUUGCAUGCCUAAUGAUGAAAAUUUGGUUUCAAAUUUUUAUGAUGCCAAGAAAUUUAUGCGGCCACUUGGACUUGGUUAUGAGAAAUAUGAUGUGUGUCCUAAUUACUGUAUGUUGUACUAUGGGGCAGAUGCAAUGAAAAUAAAUUGUGAUUUUUGUGGAAGUUCACGAUACAAACCUAGAAAUCCAACUAGUAAAGGUUCCAAUAAGGCGGAGAAGCAACUCCGAUACUUUCCCUUGACACCAAGGCUUCAGAGACUGUUCAUGUCUCCAUAUCAUGCCAAAGAUAUGACAUGGCAUCAUUUUCAUAAUUCUGAUAAUGGGGUUAUGGUGCACCCAUCUGAUGGGGAGGCAUGGAAGGAGUUUAAUCGUGUCCACUUAAGCUUUGCAUCAGAUCCGAGAAAUAUUCGGUUAGGGUUGUGCACUGAUGGGUUUUGUCCAUUUGACAUGUCUUCAAAUACAUACUCUUGUUGGCCAGUAAUUGUGACUGUUUAUAAUUUGCCUCCGUGGAAGUGCAUGACUAGACCAUUCAUGUUUUUGACAAUGAUGAUUCCUGGGCCAAAGAAUCCGGGUAAAAAGCUUGAUGUUUUCCUAAGACCUUUGAUUGAUGAGUUAAAGAAUUUGUGGUAUGUUGGUGUUGAAACAUAUGAUGUAUAUAGAAAGGAAAAUUUUCAAUUAAGGGCAGCUUUAAUGUGGACCAUUAGUGACUUUCCAGCAUAUGGCAUGUUAUCGGGGUGGAGUACUCAUGGAAAUCUGUCUUGUCCUUAUUGUAUGGAGCAUAGCAAGGCUUUUAGAUUAAAAAAUGGAGGGAAAACUACAUUUUUUGAUUGUCAUCGACGAUUCCUACCCAUGAACCACCCAUAUAGAUUUCAAUCUGAUAAGUUUUUGAAAGGAGUAAUUGAAAGGCUCCCUCCUUUACCUCGUCCAUCUGGUUUGGAAAUGUUGAACGAAGUGUUGAAGUAUACUGAGGGACAUAAUGGAGGGUCAUCAUAUAAUGAUAAAAUUCCUGGCUUUGGUGUUAAGCACAAUUGGGUGAAAAAGAGCAUUUUCUGGGAGCUUCCAUAUUGGCAUACAAAUUUGAUUCGUCAUAAUCUUGAUGUCAUGCAUGUUGAGAAAAAUGUCUUUGACAAUAUUUUUUAUACAGUUAUGGAUUGUCCGAAUAGAAGCAAGGACAAUUUAAAGGCUAGGUUGGAUAUUCAAUUGUAUUGUCAGAAGCCAAAUUUGCAUUUGCAACAAGAUAUGAGUGGUCGGGUUUACAAACCUAAAGGCACUUAUUGUCUACACAAGAAACAACAACAAGAAGUCUUGUCAUGGAUGAAGGAAUUAUCAUUUCCUGAUGGUUAUGCUUCAAGCAUUUCAAGAUGUGUGAAAGAGGCACAAUGUAAGGUUUCGGGGAUGAAGAGCCAUGAUUGCCAUGUCUUCAUUCAAAGACUUCUUCCAACCGCUUUCCGACCUUACUUACCUAGGCCACUGUGGGAGGCAUUAACUGAACUGUCCGUAUUUUUUCGAGAUAUUUGUUCAACAAAUUUAAAUGCCCAGCACAUGGAGUUAAUGCAGAUGAAUAUAAUUGAAAUAAUUUGCAAACUUGAAAGGAUUUUUCCUCCAUCAUUCUUUGACUCCAUGGAACACUUGACGAUACAUCUACCUUACGAGGCAAAAGUUGGUGGACCAGUUCAAUAUCGAUGGAUGUAUCCAUUUGAACGGUAUGUUUUCAUACUAUGUUAAUUUUAUUAACUUUUGAUUUUUAAAAUAAACUAAUUGACAUAAAUGAUAUAGGUAUAUGUUUUAUUUGAAGAAGAAAGUGACCAAUAAAGCUAAAGUUGAGGGUUCCAUAUGUGAAGCAUACUUGAUUGAUGAAAUUACCAAUUUUGCAUCUCAUUAUUUUGGUGAUGACGUGCAAACAAUUUGGAAUCGAGUUCCACGGAAUGAUGAUGGUGGCCUUAGAAGUGUAGAUGGAUGUCUCUCUAUUUUUUCCUAUCCAGGGAAAAAAUUAUCCAAAAGAUUUUAUAAAAGGCAGUUGUCACAUGCUGAAAUGCAAAUUGCGCAUAACUAUGUGAUAUUCAAUUGUCAAGAACUGAAGCCUUAUUUAGUGUAAGUAUGAAAUAUUAUUUUAUACUAAAUUUAUAAUAAUUUGUUAUUAACUUUAACAUUUUAAAAUUUUAGGCAAUGUCGACAAGAGCUAAAGUCACAACAACCACAUGCGAGUGAUGGUGAAAUUGAAAAAUUAUGCGAAACGAUCUUUCCAAAUUGGUUAAAAAAUAAUGUAAGUAUUUUAAUAAAAUCAAUUUAUAUUUUAUGUCAAUUAGCUACUUUAAAAAUAUUAUUAGGGGCUUUUAAAUUAUUAUUUCUUAUGGAGUUAACUAUUAUGCUAGGUGGAAUACCAAUCUAACGGAAUUGAAAAUCAGCUCUUUGGACUUGCUAUGGGCCCUUCAACUUCAGUGAAAUGUUAUAAUGGGUAUUAUGUCAAUGGUUUUAAAUUUCAUACUCAACGUUAUGAUGAUGAUGAACGUGAUUAUUAUGGAAUGCUUAAAGAAGUUGUUCGGCUAAAAUACUUGGGGAGUAAGUGCAAGUUAUUUAUGUUUAAAUGUAGUUGGUAUGAUACAAGACGAGGGAUUAGAGUGCAUCCUUCGAAUGGUUUGGUUGAAAUCAAGCAUACAUCUCGACUACACGGAAAUGAAGAUUUUGUGUUAGCACAACAAUGUCAACAAGUCUACUAUACAUAUCCACCUGGUAAUAAAUCAUCUGAAUGGUGGACGGUUAUUAAGACAACUGCUAGAAGUCGUUAUAAUGUUGAUAUGGGUGAAUUUAUUGAAGAUGCAAACAAUGUGAGAUCAUUUGAUGUCGAUCAAUCAGAUGAGAUUUCUCAACCAUCUCUUGUCCUUCCUACUCAAACACUUGAUGAUCCAAAUAUACUUGUUGAAUCAUCUUAUUAUGAAGAAAUCGGGCAACAUGAAUUGAUUCAACUUGACAUAAAUUGGGGAAACAAAGAUGAUGAAGCAGAAGAAGAAGAAGAAGAAGAUGGUGAUGGUGAUGCUGAAGAAGAAGAAGAAGAAGAAGAAGAAGAAGAUGAUGAUGAUGAGGAUGAUUGUUAUGGUGGUGAUGGUUAGGAGUGAUAAUAAUAAUGAGUAGCACAAGUUAAUUAUAUUUCGUAGUAUAUGUAAUGAAUUAUCUUUAUUAUAUGUAUGGAUGAUUUCAUAUUAUUUGACAAUUUUUAGGCUUUCAAUGUUUUUUUAUUUAUUUAUUUUAUUCAAGUGUGUUAUGCAUCACAUUACAUAAAUCAUUUUCAUUGACCUUUGAAACCAUUUAUAACCUUUCAAGUAUCAAUCUUUAAAUUGUGAUUCUGAUGUUAUAUUUUAUUUUGUGAUUUGUUUUCUUGCUUAUAGGUGCUGAAGCGUGAAAGAAAGGGUUUUUCCUACUAAUUGUUUUGAUUUAUAGGACCAGACAUUAAGGUAAGCAUACUCAUAAAUUUUGAUUAUUGCUUAAUUAAUUAUUUAGAAUUUUUUUUUUAUUGUUUGUGUUAAUUGGCUUAUUACAAUUUAAACUUCAUAGCUGAUUUUUGCAUUGCAAGGAAUGCUUAAUGAAAUUGUCUUGAUGUUAUUUACAUAUUUGGUUUUGUUGCAGUAAUUAUUUUAUUUGAAUUAUAAUAUUUUUCGGAGUGAUGGCUAUUAUUGUUAUGUUGUAUAUAUUCAUAUGAUAAUGUAUAUAUUUUUUCUGGUUUUUAGCAUGCCUCGACGAGGAUCCAUAUUAGAUUCUAGGAGUGACAGGUCCACAUCAAGGAGUGAAAGGUCCACUUCAUCCAAAUCAUUUCAAACUACAUCAAGGCAUAAUAACAAAGGAUCCACAGUUCAUCAACCUGUGUAUCAGAACACAAAUGAGUAUUAUAUACCUACUUUGGGGAGUACACAUCCUCCUCAACAUGAUUAUGGGAGGGUUGAUGGAUAUCAAUAUUGUGAGGGAUUUCGUUUUCAGGAUUUGCUUCAAACUCAAGGAGGUUUCUCUCGAGAAAACCAACUUGUUUAUGGAGGACAUAAUUUAUAUGGGAGUCAUGGGAGAGUUGGUGAUGAUGAUGAUGUGAACAUUAGAGAUGAAGAUGAGGGAGACGGUAGUAAUGUGAGAGGUGUAUGUGAUGAGGAUCAAGAUGGUGUUCCAUCAUAUCACGGUUCAACAUCUUCUCCAUACAAUUAUGAUCACAUUGUUAAAAGGAAGGGUUUUGACACGCCAAUGGAUCCAAUAACAAGAAAAAAAGAGCUUUGUUUGUAUGGAACAACAGAGUAAGUUCAACUUUUUAAUAACUAACUGAUUAAGGUUAUAUUUUUAGGUAUGAAAAAAAUUAUUUAUUAUUGUAUAAUUAUUUGUUUAAUAUAAGUUUAUUAUUAUGUAUUUUCAGGUUCAAUAACGCAUCAUGUGGACGUGUAAUUGGAGAUAUUUUGAGGUCCAAUUUUAAGGGAGCAUGGCAUUUCUUGGGAAAAAGUAGAUUCAAUGUGCAGGGAUGAACUUUUUAGAGAGUUUAAGGUAAGAACCAACACUAAUUGCCAUAAUAUUCUUUUUAAUUUUGAUCGCUUUAAUGUAGCAUUAUGAAAAUUAUCAACUGAAUAGCUAUGACUGAUUUGUGUUAUAAUUUGUUUUUAUUUCUUGUUUACUCUUUAAUAUCAUUUAAUUUCUUUAGUUAUUACAUUAUCUUGCAAAUUAUGAACAAGAUAACACAAUAUGAUUAAUUAUUUAUAUAAUUUGAAAUUUUGUGCACUCUUUUUACUUGAUAUAUAUAUUAUUUGGUAGAAAAAAUAUUCCUUUCCUGAGGAAGAUGAGUCAAUUGUUCGUAAUAUUUGGGAAGAUAAGGCUAGAAUAGCUUUGAAUCAACAAUUGACACGAGCUCGCAAGAAUGCCAUGUCAAAAGAAAACACGACAAAUAUUCUAGAUUGCCUUGAUAAAGGUCCUGCCUGGAUAAACAAUGAUGAUUGGAAUCAAAUGAUCAAAGAUGUUUGGUCCACCCCUGAAUUUCAAAGGAGGUCUGAAUCUGCCAGGAGGAAUCGAUUAUCCCAAACAGAUGGCAAAAUAAGCACUCAUUCUGGAGGAACAGUGUCAUUUGCUUCAUAUCGAGCUAACAUGGUAAGGAUAUUUUUUUUUAUGCUUAAGAUUAUGAAUUAAAAUUUGUAUAUUUAUCUUUUAUAAUAUUUAUUAAUCUUGAAAGCAAGAGGAAGCUGGUGGAAAAGAACCUCCAUGGGAUGAUGUCUUUUCAGCUUUGCAUCAAAGUACGAAGCAGUCUGGUAGCUUUGUCGACAACAAGUCAAAAAAAGUGGUUGUAUGUAUUUUUAUUUGAUUAUUUUUUAAUAUAACUCAAGUAUUAUUUAACAUUCAAAUUAAUUUAUUGUUGCAUGUAUUUUAUUUGUAGGAAAAUUAUAAAAUGGAGAUGAUUUCAAAGUAUGGAACUGAUCGGGAAAAUCAUCCUUCAUUUGAUGGAGCAGCUUGGUGUGUCGCUUCAGGAGGAGUUACAAAGGGUAGGGUAUAUGGUGCACCUCGUAUGCCAAAAUCUAUAGUUAGUACAAGCUCUUCAUCACAUUCCUACUCGGUGGAGUCAUCAUAUCCAAGUUCAUCAUAUCGAGCAUUGCAAGAGGAGAAAAGGAAAAAAGAUGAAGUGAUUUUUGAAAUGAAACGGCAGAUGGAUUCCAUGAAAGAUUAUCUUGUGAACAAUCUUGGAUAUCAUGGCGGGACAUCAAAUAUUGAUCAAGGUAUGCCACCACCUUUGACUCCAUCAAUACCGCCACAUAUGGCUCCUCAGAUAAUGACACCUAUGGGUCCCACAUCUCAACCAAUUUAUCGACCUAUACCCCGACCUUUAUAUCCUGAUCAAUCUUGUGACGAUCCACAAUAUCAUGGUUCGUCUUCGCAACCAGCACCAUGAUUGUAUCUUUUGUUGUUGUUUUUUUUUUGUAUUUGAACUUAAUUGUAUUAAUGCAUGUUUAUUUAAAUUUUUAUAAUAUGAAUAUUAUUUUUAUUCUAUUUUUUAUUAAUUAUAUAAUUAUUGUUAAUAUUAAUUUAUGCUGGUUAUAUAUAUUCUGCAACUUUUAAAAUAUCCAUAAAUUAAUUAAUUAAUUAAAAAUCAUUUUAAUAAAUAAAUAAAACGUAAUUUAAUAAAAAUUUAAUAAUACAAUCACCAACGGAUUCUCCGUUGGUGAUUGUAUCUGAUGCAGGCAUCAGCAACGGAGAAUCCGUUGCUGAUGCAGCGAACCAGCAACGGAUUCUCCGUUGCUGAUUCAGCGAACCAGCAACGGAUAAUCCGUUGCUAGUUUUGCAACGGAUUAUCCGUUGCUAUUUGUAAGCAACGGAUUUAUCCGUUGCAAACAAAUCAGCAACGACAAAUCUGCAUCCGAUUUGUGCCGUUGCUGAUUCCGUUGCUAAAUUACUUUAGCAACGGAUUUUAAUGGUUUUUGCAACGGAAUAGUCCGUUGCUAAUUGCUAUAUUUUUUAGUAGUGUUGCCGCACCAACAGAUGGUGAGUGUUGGUAAACCAAGCCAUAGAGAAACUCAUGGUGCUUCAAUUUUAACUUUUGGGUCAUGUUAGUUUUUAGGAAUUCACUUUUCUAAAAACCAUUUUCCUCACUUUUCUAUGUUUGACAAAUACAUGGAAAGUUAGUCAAUGAAAUUUAAAUUCUGGUCAAAGGAAAAUAUUAACUUAAUAUGAGGAAAGUGUUUUCCCCUUUUUAUUCUUGGAAAACACUUUCCUUUCCUUUUUAAUUUACGGAAACAAAUCACUCCUUCUCUUUUACAAUUGAUCUCUUAAAAAAAUUAGCGUGGCUGUUAAAUCUUCCUUUCUCAUAUCUCAGUGUUGGAAAAAGAAUCAUCUUCAUCUUCAGGUAAUUAUUUUCCUCAAAUAUUUCUAUUAUUAUCUAUCUUUUUUUUUCCCUGUUCUAUAUUAAUUGUGAUUGUGAAAUGUUGUGAGCUUGUUAAUUCUUGGAAAAAAAUCAAAGCAAUUCCAUGCUCUGUUUUGCAUAGGAUCUCAGAUCUUGCGUGUGUUUGAUAAUCUCAUAUCAAUCUUUUAACACUUGUGAUGCAUCAUCGAUGCAAUGUUUACAAUGACAAACUUGCAUUUCUAUUCAUUGUGGUUUUUUUUUGGAAUAAGUCGAUAUAUUGAAAGGGCUAACCAGAAAAUAGCCAAAAAAAAGAUACAUGGAAAAAAAAAAAAAAAGAAUCACAAUAACAAAAAGCAAACACAAAAAGAAAAGAAAAGAAACUCAACAGAUACAUAACCGAAAAAGCAAACACAAACAUGAUAUAUUCAUUGUGGUUUUAGGUUCACAGAUUCUGAUCAAAUAGAUAUUUAAUGUUCCAAAAACAUUGUAUACACAUUUAAAUGCUUUACUUCAAUAGAUAGAUUAGGUUAUCUCUCUACACAUAUUACCAAUUUAGAUUCAGCACAGGACCUUUUUCAGGUGCUUACCACUUUGUACUCGCAAGCAAAUACAUACUCCCCCCUCCCCCCUCCCCCCCUCCCUUCCUGUUCUUGUUAUUUAUGCAUGUAUUAACUUUUCUGAAAGAAUAAAUGUUGAAGGGAGCAAAUAGUGUAAAUAGAACGAGGAGAAUACAGAAAGAAUAAAGAAAAAGAAGAAAACAAAACAAAGUCAUAAAAAAAGGCUUUUCAAUCCCCGAUGAAUAUCAGCAGUCUAAAUACCCCAGCAAAUAGAACAUGAAGAGGCCACAAACAAUAACCCAUCCCAAAGAGAUUGUCUAGGAUGUUUUAAGCUAGGAAAAUGAAGAAGAAAACGACGAGCAUUAACAAUGAAUAUUUCAUGUUAUCAUCAACUCUAAAGAGCAGACUGAUAAAAAUCAACUUAACAACUCUUGUUGAAAUAAGAUUAAAUUUACAGGCUGACCAUGCUCGACCUUGAGGUGAGUUAUAAAAUGUUCUUCCUAACUAGAUGCACAGCUACGCCUUUGGGGUGAAGUGAACUAAGUCAUUUGUUUUACACUUCCACAUGCUCUCAAGCUUUCACCUCAUACUCAAGACCAGCUGAGCAGUCCUAAAAAGAAAGAUAUAUCAUGUAGGGUCAUCAAGGCAGACCUGUUAUUUUUAUUUUUUUCGCGUUAACGUCAUGACCAAAUUAUAAAAUUUAAACUUCUUUUCUUUCUUUCUUUUUUCCAUGUGUGAGCGAGCAUAAAACCCAAGGAAAUCGAUUUGUUGUUAAAAACACAAUAAUUUUGAAGAAUUUGGUAAAUUCCAAAAAAGAAGAAUCAACCAAACAGCUCAUUUUUCGGCCAUUCCGGCAGUAAUAUCUCUCCCACUCCAGCUGCUGCAUAAACUAAUUAACAAAUUAUCGAUCGAGCCUAAAAGAUUUGAAUUGAUUUCUAUUCUCAACUUUAAAAUAAAACUAAAAAAUAAAAUAAAAUAAAUUUGGGUUCAAGAAUUCACGGCUUGAUUAUUACAACAAUAACUGUGUGAAAAAUCGGAUAAUAUCAUGUAAAUUGGGGGGGGGGGGUUGAAAAAGAAAUAUUAGAAUCGGCUGAUUGUGCGUUUCUUCGAGCAGCGAUUUCAUCGGAUCCGAUUAUAUAUUUUUUUAAUUUACUUAUUAAAAUCGAAUUGCGUUCACUAGCAGAGAUUUCAUCGGAUCGAUUAUUUGUUUUUUUUUUAAUUUAAUUAUUAAAAUAGAAUUUCUGUCUCUCAAUAAUAAUUACAAUAAAAUAAAUGAAAACACCCAUAAAUUUUAAAAACAAAAGCAUGAUAGAAAAGGAAGCACCUGGCAGAAAUCUGAAGCCUUAUUGGAUGUGGCGGUUUCCGAGAGGCGGAAGAGGGAGGGAGGAAUGUUGUCCCAAAGUGAAAUAGAUGACUUUGGCCUUAUUUGUUUGUUAGAAAGUAGUUUCUUUUUAGAAAGUGAAUUUUAGGGAAAGUGAAUUCCAGGAAAGUUUUUUUCGAUGUUUGGUAGUAUAAUAAAAAAUAAAUUGGAAAACACUUUUCAGUUUUAGGUUAUGUCAUGGAAAAUAAGCUGGAAAAUUGCUUAUUAAUAUUUUAUUUUUCUCAAGUUUAUUAAAAUAAUGAGGAACAAAUUGCAAUCUAAAUAUAUAUAGAAAAAUAAUAAGAAAAAAGCAAAUAGAAUUAUAAAAAUAAGGACCAAAGUUAAUAUAAAAAUAAAAUUUUAAGAGAUGAAAUUGAAAAAUAAAUAUUCAAAACAAAAUAUAUAUAGCAAUCAAAAGUUUGAGGAUCAAAUUUGAUAUAAUCAGCAAAUAAUAACAUUUUUAAAUUUUUCACAACUUCCGAAAAAUGUUUUUCCUCCAAAUUUUUUAGGAAAACACUUUCUUGAAAACCAAGACAAAUUUUCCUUUUACUAGAAAGUGUUUUUCAUUGACCAACUUUCCUAAUGGCAAACAAACACAAGAAAGUUUGGAAAGUAAUUUCCCGAAAACCAUUUUCCGGAAAACAAACACAGCUAAAGAGAAAACACUUUCCUGAAAACCAAGUUAAAUUUUUCUUUAACUGAAAAGUGUUUUUCGUUAACCAGAAGUGUUUUCUGUUGACCAACUUUUCUAAUAACAAACAAUCACAAAAAAAUUUAAAAAAUGAUUUUCCAAAAUCUAAUUUUCAAAAUACAAACAUAGCCUUUAUUCUUUUCCAGAUUCCUUCUAAAAAAAAUUAACAAGUAAACACUCGCUCGUCAAGCAUCCGCGUUCACGACCUUUUAAUUAUGCCUUAACUCAUAUUGGCCAGUAGUGCUAUAAAGAAGACAAAGUGGUAUAUCCACUUUUUCAUCAAUUACUUACACGAGACAAAGAAAAUGAUUGCUAUUAUCGACAAUUUCUCUGUUACACACACACACAAUUUGUCUUUAGCUGUAUUUUCUUACAAAGGAUCUUUAGCCAUGCAUUAGAGAUGAACACCUCCAACUUCUUGAUUUUCACUCGUUUUCAUCCCAUUUAAAAAAGUUUUAAGUUUGAAUGCUCAUUAUACAAAUUCUAAUAACAGGCAGCUAAAAGGGCUUGUCGAAGAGCUCAUCUUUAACGACUACUCUUGCAGGUUUUGAGAUCAUAUCAUCACAUUUGGGAAAACUCAAGAACCUUGACCUGAGCUAUAAUAUAUUCAACGACAGCACCAACUUUUAAAACAUCAGUCACCAACUUUUCAUUAUAGAAUUGCUCAGCAAAUAUUGGCCUUAUGCCUUCAAGAGUUGAGUUCCAUCCUCAAUGAGUCACAAAUGCACCUAUUGCUUUAUGAUCAAGAAUCAAAACUUGGAGUGUCCAUCCUCUGAUAAUAGUCCUUUGCCUUCCAUUCUUUCCUCAAAUCCUUCGGGUAAACAAUCUUUCUUGUCUUCUUGACGCUUUGUUUCUUCUAACUACCCGGAUAAGGAUGAAACACUUCACACGCAUUACAGAAUUAGCAUUGUGGAGGUGAUCAUGACAUUUUGCCAGCAAGGCGAUAUACAUAGCAAUUUGCAGCAAUAGAAUGUAAAAGAGUUUGAUAACAAUGCGAGAAGAAAAACAAAAGGUAAGAUGUUUAGAAAUUCAAUGCUCGGAUGCAUUAUUACCUGCUGGAUCCAUGGGGGCAGUGGGCAUGGCAUUUUGAGACCUGAUCUUCAUCAAAAGCAUCACCAGAGAUAUUUUAUGCAGAUAAUCAGACUAAAAUCAGAUAUUAAUAACAAAACAUUAGAUCUCAGAGCAAUCCAUGUUACAAGAGGAGGAAAAUGGAUAUAUGCUCUAUCAUUUCAUCUUUUGUGAGGAUAGACUUCUGUUUCCUCUCUUUUUAUUUACUUAUUUAUGUAUUGAUUCGCAAUUUGCUUUUUGCACACUUCCCAUGUACUUGAACUUGGUCACUCUAAAUAAAACACUUGUCAAGAGAAUUAACAAAAAGAUGCAAACUCUCAAUCAGCCUUGCAUUCAGAAUGAACGGUGUGGAAGUGUAGGCACACUACACACACAUUUGUACAAGCAUAAAUGCGUGUGUAUAUUCAUGUCUAGAUAAUAUCGUAAUUAUUGAACCUCGCAUUAGGCAAAUACCUGAUUGGUAGCGGUGGUAUAAAUCUUUUCCUCAAAACGUACGGCAAAUUUCUUGAGUUCUGGUAAUCCCUCCUAACCAGAAAACAGAAGAUGCCUCUUUAAUGUCUCCAUUCUGCAUAUGCAAAUCAUCACGUUUCAUUUUUAAUGACCAAGCAAGUAUAGAGAAGUUGCAGUAGCGAGUAAGAACCCUGAACUCAUAAACCACACCAAUAUAAAAAAUGUGUGGAAUCAUUAGCAAAAAGUAAAAACAAAUAAUGAGAUAAGCAAGAGAUGGUCAAGUAAUAUAAGACAUCAAAAUACAUAGACAUCCUUUCCCUGCAUUAUUCCAGAGGUACAGAGUAUAGGAGUUUACUUGGCCACCCUUCUGUCUAAAAAUUCUAGCUACUAGCUUCAUGGUUAAUUUUCUUGAAAUGGAAGAACCUUUCAUUUAUGGCUAUGUUCCAAGAUAAUUAGUGACUUAGUUGCAAAGCAAGAGAGUCCGUGAAAACAUUACAAUAGCAUUUACUCGAGUAAGAACACUUCUAUGCAUGUGCUGUAACUGACAAAAGAAAGAAGAGAAAUCCUUUCAAUAUAUGAAAAUGCAACGAGUUAACCUUAUCUCAAACUGCAAUAUAUACUCUACAGUAUUUAUUGACCACUGCAAGUGCCAGCAGUAGCUGUCUAUAUGAUUUUUGAUGUAGAAAGGUCAACAAAACAUUCAACUUUAUGCUGAGAAACUAGGAAACCUUACACCAUUCAACAUUAACUGCUUUUCUACUUUAAGAUCACUAUCAUUUCAACUUUGUAGAAGUUAAAACAAAUGGAAGGCCCAUAUCCAACACCAUUCAAUUUAAGUUCAGUUGCAACUAGACGUAUGCUCACAACAAUAGAUUAACCUUGAAAUUUAAAGCGGAACAAGCUUCAUGCAGCCAUCCAAGAGGUCAUCAUCAAAAGAAGAGAUUACAAAAGAAAUUCCAACAAAAAUUACUUCCCAGCGCUUUAUGUUCCCUCAAGUUUGCUUCUCGUGAGAAACACAUGAAAAGAUGAAAAAAAAAACAAAAAAAAAGAGGUGUGAUAUAUUUAUUUCGGGCAUUCUAAGCAAAGAUUUGGGCCUGAAUCUUCAUGGUGAUUCUAAACCAAGCAUUCCCUUCUAAGCAAAUACUUGCUGUCAAAACCCCCUCUCCUUCCCCUCCUGUUCUUGUUAUUUAUGUAUAUAUUUAUUUCUCUGAAAGAGGAAAAUGCCACAAAAGAAUAAAGAAAUAAGAAGAAAACAAAACAAAGUCAUAAAACGAGGCCUUUCAAUCCGCAAUGAAUAUCAGCAGACUAAAUACCACAGCACAAAUAGAAGAUUAAGAGGCCAGAAACACUAAAGCAUCCCAAGAGAUUGUCUAGGAUGUUUUAAUCUAGGAAAAAGUAGAAGAAAACAACGAGCAUUAACAAUAUUAAUCUUUUUAAAAACAACAAACAGAACCUAAAAAUGCUGAUUAAAAAACGGUGAACUGUAAGUGCCAGCAAAAGGUAAGGAUGUUUAGAAAUUCAAUGCUCUUUCUAAUACGCACACAUGUGUACAUGCAUAAAUCCACACACUUAUGCAUGUGUAUAUUCAUGUCUAGAGAAUAUCGAAAUUAUUGAACCUGGCAUUAGCCGAAUACCUGAUUGGUGGCGGCCGUAUAAAUCUUUUUCUCAAACCGUAUGGCAAUUUUCUUGAGUUCUUGUAAUCCCUCUUGACCAGAAAACGGAAGAUGCCUCCUCUCUUUUCAUUUAACUAUGUAUGCAUUGAUUCAUUAUUUGCAUUUUGCACACUUCCCUUAUUCUUGAAAAGGACCUUGGUUACUCUAAAUAAAACACUUGUCAAGAGAAUUAACGAAAAGAUGUGAACUUCUACAAAAUGACCAGUGAGGAAGUGUGGACACACUACGCACACAUGCAUAAAACCACACACUUAUGCAUAAAUCCACACAUUAGCCGAAUACCUGAUCGGUGACGGCAGUAUAAAUCUUUUCCUCAAACUGUUUGGUAAUUUUCUUGAGUUCUUGACCAGAAAACGGAAGAUGCCUCUUUAAUGUCUCGAUUCUGCACAUGUAAAACAUUACAUUUAAUUUUUUAAUGACAAGGCAGGUAUAGAGAAGUUAGCAGCAGUGAAAAAGAGUCGUGAACUCAUACACCACACUAAUAUCAGAAAUGUAUACAACGGGAUCAUUGGCUAUGGCUAUGCUCUGUCUGAAAUUCCAGAGGUACAGGGUAUAGGAGUUUACUUGGCCACCCUUCUGUCUGAAAUUCUAGUUACGAGCUUCAUGGUUAAUUUUCUUGAACCGGAAGAACCUUCCAUUUAUGGCUAUGGCUAUGCUCCAAGAUAUACAAGUGAAUUGGAUGCAAACCAGGGGAACUCUGUGAAAACAUUACAAUAGCAUUUACUCUGAGUAAGAAAACUUUUAUACAUGCAUGGACUGUAAUUAGCAAAGAAAAGAAGAGAAAUCCUUUUAAUUUAUGAAAAUGAAAUGAGUUAACCUUAUCUCACGCCGCAACAAAAAAUUACUUCCCAGGCACUUUAUGUUCGCUACUUGUGAGAAACACGCGAAAAAUGAAAAAGACAGAAACAGAGGUGUGAGGUGUAUGAUACUUGAGGUUGGUUGCCUCAUGUCAGUCCUGCUGAUUUUAAUUAACCUUUUGCCCUUCUCUUUUUCUUUUUCUUUGUUUACUAUUCUUUGAACACAUGGUGCUUCUAAAACCAAGGAAGCAAAAAACAAGCCAGCUAGUUCAUAACUUGCAGCACCAGCAGAUGGUGAACCAAGCCAUAGAGAAACUCAUGGUGCUUCAAUUUUAACUAGUUCGUGCUUGGACCCCUCAAAGAACAUUAGCACUUAUUCAAGAAAAAACAUAUAAAGUUGUGAGACACGAGAGACUAUAAUUAUUAUUAUUAUAUAUGGAAAGCAAUGCAAUGCAAUUUAUUUUUUAAUUUUUGUUAUGAUUUUUUUUCAAAUCUAUUUUUACAAUGGUUGAGAAUCUUGGUAAAACAAUUAGUCUUAAUCGUUGUUGAUACUUAAUUUAUAAUGAUAGAUGUUGGAAAGUCACGGUAACUCCUAAUUUUACUCUUGUCGACAAUAAUUUAUAAUGGGUGAUGGUUGAGGAUCAUCUGAUAAGUACGCUAACUUAGCAAAUAAGUGAUAAGUGCCUCUCUUUUUUUUUUUGGCAACUCUCUGUGGCCGCAUGACCAUUUUUAUAAGGGAAAAAGAAAGAAAAAAAACCCAUGACCUUUAUUUGCUCAGCAAGAAACAAAACACAAAGCAGAAUUGGACCUUUAUUUGCUCAGGUGUAACCUUGCAGAGAUUACAAUAAACAAAACACAUAAGAAAAACAAGAGGUUUAAUUGACUUAUAAAAUGUAUGUUUGUGAGCUAUGAUGUAGUGUUUUUUGUUCAAUUGUUGAGAGAAUUUCAUGAAACCAAUGGAAAAACAAAAUAAUAAGGAUUUAUGUAAGAAAUACACCUGUUUAUUUUCGUGUUGUGUUCGUUAACCAUUUUAUAACCAAUUUCUUUUUAAUUUAUAAUUUAAGAAAAAGUAUGGAAUAAUUCUGUAGAGUGUUCUCCUUCUGGGGUUUGGAAAGCGUAGAGGCUUUCCAUUGGAACUGCCAUUCUAUAUUUUGAGAGUUUCUUUGCGAAUAGCUUUUUUGGCAUUUUGACAGAUAUGAGAGAUUCUAAGAUGGAAACUACUUUAGUUGCUGAUAAACGUGCAGCUAGCAUCAUUCUCUUCAUUUUAUUUAUAAUUAAACGAAUAACGAUAAUUGAUGGUGGAUCCGUUUCCCUUUAAAUGUUUUUUUUUUAUCUGGUAUCUUUAAAUUAAUUUCUCCAUCAAUUAUUAAGUUUCACUAUAACGUGUAUUAUUUUUCACUAUGAGUGAAUUUACUGUGGAUGCAUUGUAAGUCCUGGCUUUACGCGGGGCGGGCUCGAGCGCCAAGUGGUGCUGGGUGGCUACAUGGAGCGGGGCAGAACCCUGGCACUUGGGUCUUGGCAAAGGCCUGAUUGGAUUGGGUAUAGCAGCACAGCGCUGCAUGUCGCUGGGGAACCCCGAGCGCCACCUGGCGUUAGAGCACCACCUCGUGCUGGGGCGGAUCCAAUUCUCUGGGUAAACCCCAGCGCUAGGUGGCGCUAGGGUCUUGUCAAAAGGCAUUUUUGGUUAUGAUAGCCCCAAUGUCACGUGGCACUCGAGUCCGGACGCGUUUUGCCCAAUCACAUGUGUGUUUAAUAAUGUGUGUUAUAAAUAUUAUUUUUUCUUUUAUAAUUCAAAGUGUUCAUAACAAAAAUAUUAGUAUUUGUGUUAUAAAUAUUAUUAUUUUUAUUAUAACUCAAGUAUUGAUAUAAAAAAAAAUAUUAUUAUGCAUUAUAAUCAUCCUUGAAAUUCUUAAUAUAAUUAUUUCUGUUAUUUCUUAAUUCUAAAUAUUCAUAUCAAAAAUAGUAUUAUUUGUGUUAUAAAUAUUAUUAUUUUUAUUAUAAUUCUAAAUAUUCAUAUAAAAAAUAGUAUUAUUUAUGUUAUAAAUAUUAUUAUUUUUAUUAUAAUUAAUAUUAUUAAUAUUAAAAAUCUUAUUAUUUAUGUUUUAAAUACUAUUUUUUUAUUAUAAUUCAUAUAAUUAAGAAAUCUGAAAAAACAAAUUCUUAUUAAUAUUUUAAAAAAUAUUAUUUGUGUUAUAAUUAUUUUUAAUUUAUUAUGAUUUGUAUUAUAAUUCAUAUUAUUAAUAAAAUAAUUAAUAAAUUUGCAAAAAAAAACAUUCUUAUUAAUAUUUUAAAAAAUAUUAUUAUUUUAUAAUUAUUUUUAUUUGUAUUAUGAUUAAGAGUAUUAAUAUUACAAAUAGUAUUAUUUGUGUUAUAAUUAUUUUUAGUUUUUAUUAUGCUUAAGAGUAUGAAUAUUAAAAAUAGUAUUAUUGAUUUAUUAUUAUAAUUAGAACUAUUAAUAUUAAAAAUAGUAUUAUUUGUGUUAUAAUUAUUUUUAUUUUUAUUAUAAUUAAAAGUCUGGGCGCAUCUACGCCCAUCCCAACGUUGGGCCUGGAGGCGUCCACGUUCAUCCCCAAAUAGGGUUCGCCCAGCCAUGCCCACCCCUAAGAUGGGUCUGGACGCGUCCACGCCCAACCACAUUUGUUAAUAUAAUAAUGUGUGUCAUAAAUAUAUAUUUUUUCUCUUAUAAUCCAAAGUGUUCAUAUCAAAAAUAUUAUUAUUAGUGUUCUAAAUAUUAUAACUUUUAUUAUAACUCAAAGUAUUGAUAUAAAAUAUAUUAUUAUUUGUGUUGCAAUCAUUCUUGAAAUUCUUAAUAUAAUUAUUUAUGUUAUAAAUAUUAUGAUUUUAUUAAUGAAUUUGAAAAAUAAUUAUUGUUAAUAUUUUAAAAAAUAUAUUAUUUGUGUUGUAAUUAUUUUUAUUUUUGUUAUGAUUAAAAGUAUGGGUGCGUCCAUACCCAACCCAAAGUAGGGCUGGCUAAGAGUAUUAAUAUUACAAAUAGUAUUAUUUGUGUUUUAAUUAUUUUUAUUUUUAUAAUGAUUAAGAAUAUUAAUAUUAAAACUAGUAUUAUUUGUGUUAUCAUUAUUUUUAUUAUAAUCAAAAGUAUGGGCAUGUCCACACCCAUCCCCAAGGGGGGCUGGGUGCGUCCACGCCCAACCCCCCGGCAGGCGUUGACGUGUCCUUGCCCACACCCAAGUGGGGCGUGGAUGCGGCCACGCUCGACUCCAAGUGGGGUCUGGACGCAUCCUCGCCCAACCGCUUGUUAAGCGUGGAGGCGUCCACGCCCAAACCCAAGUUGGGUCGGAUGUGUCCAGACCCAACUUGGAGUAAAAAAUAUUAUUAUGUGUUGUAAUUAUCCUUGAAAUUUUUAAUAUAAUUAUUUAUGUUAUAAAUAUUAUUACUUUUUAUUAUAAUUCUAAAUAUUCAUAUAAAAAUUAAUAAUAUUGGUGUUAUAAAUAUUAUUAUUUUUAUUGGAUGGAUCUAUCGAGCAUGCCCCAGCGCCAGGUGGCGCUCGGGGUUCCCAAUCAGCUAAGUGGCACUCGGUUGUUCCAAAGUGCUAGGUGGCGCUUAGGUUUUCCAUUGAGUUUCUAAUAUUAUAUUUCUACGUCAAAACCAAUUUUUUUUAAAAAAAAAAAUGGCAUUGUUUUGCUUACAAAAUUGAUCAAGUUAACCAAUAACUCACCAGUUGAUCAACAAUUCAACAAAAUAGGUUUUUAACAGGAUCAAAACCUGAACCAGGCUGGAUGACCACGCCAUAAGUUGCAUCUUAUUUUUGUCUUUGCAAUACAAUAAUACUUACAAAUAAUAAAUAACUAAUUUGUAUACAUCUUUUUGUCACAUCUUUAUAGUUUUUGUAGAAUAAAUUGGAACUUAAGAUUUUGUCACAUCUUUAUAUAUAGUUUUUGUAGAAUAAAUUGGAACUUAUUAAGAUAAUAUUCUUUAAUUCUCAAUGCUAUUUGUAAUCAAUAAGAAAGAUAUGGACAAGUCGAUCGUGCGAUUCACAUGGAUUGAACCCCACAUUACACACGGAAUAGACAACACAAUAACCCUGACCAUGCUCGAUCUUGAGGUAAGUUGUAAAAUGUUCUUCCUAACUAGAUGCACAGCUACGCCUUUGGGAGGGAGGGAGGGAGGGAGAGAGAGAGAGAGCAAAGUGAAAUAGAUGACUUUAUUCUUUUCCAGAUUCCUUCUGAAAAUAUUAACGAGUAAACACUCACACUCACGCACGCAUAUGAUGAUUAAAAUUUGAGUUAAAUUCUAUUUAACUAGUAUCUGUAUUUUUGUUAAACAAACAGAUUAAUCCCUCAAGUUGAUUUCAAUAAUUAAUUGAUCAUUUAAUCACAUUUUACUGUUAAGUUUUUCCAUUAGCAACGUCGCUGCUUUAUCUUGUUGCCUGGCAGAGUUCCUUGAUGAAAAAGAGCCUAAUGCUUCUACUUCUUUCCAAGUUUUUGAAGACAUGCUUGAAGAUAAUAUCUCAUCAAGGUAUAUUUAUUAUAACAAAGAAGCAUACUCAAGGAUGAUACUUCAACUCUAAGAGUUGAUAUAGCAAGUAAGAGUAAGGAUAUAGAGCAAAAUGAGCCUCCCUUCUCUCCUUCUAGUCAAUCAUCUUGAAGAGCCUAUGUUCUUGCCUUGAUAAAGACUCCUAUCUUAUAUUUAUUGAAGAAAUAUCAAGAAAGUUUCCAAAUUCAUCUCUUGACAAAAACAUCUCACCCACCUUAGCACAUGUCAAAUCCUUCAUCCCCUUAUGCCAUUGCACAGACUUGCCCUCGGGGUAAAUUCUAAAACUUCAGGCAUUUUUUAUAUGGAAAUUUAUAAUCAUAACUUGGUGUUUGUCCAUUUAUAUACAUGUUUAAUGCUUAUAAUUCAUUGUAAAAUAACUUCAAAACGGUUAAGGAGCACUUUUAUUACCAAAAAGAAAUGGCCCAGUAUAUAUUAUUAAAGGAUCUCAAAUCUUACAUUGUAAAAAUAAAAUAUUCUUCUAAUAUUUAUAUAGUGAACUUUGAAAAUGGUUAAUAACUAACCAAAAAUAUAUAUAAAAAAAGGAGUUUCUGACUACGAGAAAAAAAAUAUUUGAAAAAAAAAAUGGAUCUCAACUGCAUUUUGCUGGAUUGUUUUCGUCACGGAUUAACCUAAUGAGUUAAAAAAAUAUAUAUAAAAAAAAGAGAGGUAUCUGAAUAAAAUAAAAACAUUUUCAAUUUUUUUAUAUGUCAUGUAUAGCUAAGGGACCCAUUCCUUUGUAUAAAAAAUGAUUUGACGGUGCUUGGAUUGGGUGUAUGCCUACGUACUUGGUUUUUUAAACAGACCUUGAGCUUUAUUUUUUAUUUUUUCUAUGUAGUAUUAGUUUUUAAAAGAAUUAUUUUUUAAAAUCUUAGUAUAUUAUACAAUUGGAUUUAUUAUGAUGUUUCUCACACGUGUAUUAAUUAUAUAUUCAAUUCUUUAAUAGUUAGAAAAUACAAAGAGUUAGUGACACUUACAGAGCAUUUUGUAUCUUGUUUUUUCUAAUUAAAAACUUGUAUGGAUUUAUUUAUUUAUUUGAAUACUUGCUUUUAAUUAUGAUAUUUUUAUCAAUCAAGUCUCUAUAUUAGUUUUGUUGUCAGAAUGCAAAUAACACGAUUAAUAGUAUUUUAUUUUCAAUUUUUUUUCAAGGCCUAAAUUUUCCACACGUAAUUUCCAUUAAAAAAAAGUAGCCAGUCUUCUUUAUCCAUCAUCGUCAUGUGCAUAGCAUUAACCUUUUAUUCAUAUUUUUUUCAUAAAUAAAUAAACUUAACUUGGGGUCAACGUUUCAAGAAGGAAUAUAAGUUUCGGUUAAUUACAUAGUUUUUUCCAAAAUGUUCCGCUUUUGUUAUCUCUCUAUUACUUUUCCUUUUAAAGGGGUUAUGUACAGCCCUUGUAUAUUAUUUUGAAUUUAAUAUAUAAAAAUCUUUAGUAUAGAUGAAUUUUGUUUUUUAAAAAAAAAAAAAAAUUAUUUUCAAAUAAUAUUUCUAAUAUGUACAACAUUGCAUAUUAUUAUUUUUUCUUUUAUUUUGUUCAAUUAAUUUAUGAUAUGUAUGUUCUUUUUAUUAUCGUUUAAUUGAAUAAAUAAUUUGAAUUUUUAGAAAAUACAAUUGCAUAAAUGUCAUGUCUUGUGAAAUUAAAUAUUUUGAUCUACAUCUGUCUCUCGAUUUUUUUAGUUUUUAUUUUGAGUUAUCAUUUAUGUUUUUUUUUUUCAUUUAUUGACACACAUAAUUCUCAAUUUAUUUGACAAUAUUAUUUGUAUAUAAUUUUUUUAAUAUCCACUUAAUUUUUUUAAAAAUAAAAAAUAUAUUAAAAAAAUCUAUAUAUAAUUUUUUUAAUUAAACAAAUUUAACUUGCAAUGAAGCUUUAAUCGAAUAACUAAGUCCAUGUACUCAAAUGAGUGGCACUCGAAACUUUACAUACCUUAUCUUCCAAGCAAGAAGAGACAAGAAAAGCAGUAGGUGAUGUUCUUUUCCCCGGUUGUAAAUGAAUGAAGGGGUUAAUACCAAAAACAUGGACAAAAAUUGACAUGGACCCGCACCACUUUGAUUAUUCUUCACUCUUCCUAUGUUUCACUACUUGUUGAUUCAAAAGUUAUCUAUUUAAAAAAAUUUAAAAUAUUUUAAAAUAUGGUUACAAUAUUUUUUCUUAAGAAAAUAAAUUGAUGUCAUGUGUUAAUAACAAAUAAGGAUUUUUUGCAAUCAAAAAAUCAAAUUUAUUUUAAUUAAAAAGUUUCCUAUCAAUAGCAGCAUUCCCAAUUAAACCAAAGUUUUUCCACGAACCCAUCUUGUGGAAAAAAUGCAUGGUGGUUGGAAGAGGACGUCUCAUGGCCUCUCCUCUGGAAAAAUGCAUGAUGGCAACGGUCUCAGAGACCGAUGUCGCACCCCAAAAACAACAAUUUUCAAUUGCAAGUUCAACUGGCGAAAUUUUUUUUAUUUUUGGUUCUUUGGAGUCGCCACCUAGUAUUUUGGUCACUAGGAACCUAACUGGUCUCAGAGAUCGGGUACGGAGACUGGUUGCGUAAAGGGAAGGUAUUAGCACCCCAAAUACACCUUACCUAAGGUAAGCUGCAUUGUUUAAUUGUCUGAUAAAAAUAAUAAUAAAAAAAAAAAAACUAAGGUGUUAUUGUGUUUUCCUAGUUGUUGGUCUGUCUAUGGUUCAAGAAAAAUCCUCCUCGGUAAGGAGAUCUUUAUCUUAUCGGGUAAAAAAAAAUCCUAACCGUUCUAACGUCCAUACCAAAAUUUUAUUAAUAAUAUUUGGGAAUACGUUUUACGUAUAAAUUCGUAAUCCCAAAUACUAAAAUAAAACAAAAAAAGAUUUUUUAGAAUUUUUGAAAUAUUGGCCUAGUUCUCAUGGCUUGAAUAAACUGGUUAUUAAAGCCAAAAUGCAUGUUAAUACAUAUAUUGUUUUGAAAAUUUCUUUGUUGCGUGAAAAUAUGAUGUUAUAAUAUUUAUAUAUAUAUUGGAGAGACUAGGCCGUAUUUUAAAACAAAAAAAAAACAAUUUUUGGAAAAUAUUAUUUUUUUUAUGCUUUGACGAAAAUCGGGUAUUUUAAUACUGAGCUUGUAUCCUUACGGUAUAAAAAUACAACCCAAUAUUAAUCCACUUUGAUAAAAAUAUGCAGAAAAAUCAACAACAUUUUUUAGGGACUUUUUAGAAUUUUUUUUUUUAAAAGCAAAAACAUUUUUUAUUCUGAAAAUCUUUGAUAUUUUGACGAAAACCGGGUAUUUUUAACACUGGUUUUGUAUCUUUACAGUAUAAAAAUACAAAACCAAAAUGUAUAAAACAAACAAUAUAUUUAUAUGAAAAGAAAAUAACAACCAGAUUUUUUUAGAUUUUUUUUCAAAGAAAAAAAACGUAUAUAUGUAUAUACACAUAUAAUAAUAAUAUAUUUAUAUAUUAAAAAGGGGCUGGGCCGGCCCAAACCAAACUGGGCCGGACCCAGCCCUAACAGUCGUUGGGCCGAACUCGGCCCAGCAGGUACUGGGCAGAACUCGGCCCAGAAACUAAUUAACCUCGGUCUGGGCCGGACCCGGCCCAGACCGCCGGACUGGGCUAGAUCCCUCUGGCCCGUCCCACAUAACUCUGGGCCAGACACAAUCUGGCCCAGAAAAAAAAUAAAAAAAACACGGGGGGGGGGGAAUUAAUUUCCCCCCCCCCCGCCUCCUGCAUGCAGAACGAUUCUGCAUGCAGGAGGCAAAACAUAUAUAUAUUAACAAAAAAAAUGCAGGGGGAGGAAAGGAGGCGUACCUGGUGCGGUGGAGGAGGUGGUUUGCUGGCGGGGCUGCGGUGGUGGUGGCAGUGUCUUAGCUUCACAGACGACGGCUUCUCUCUCCUAUGUUACAGUGUUUCUCUCUCUUCCUCUCUCUCUUCGUUUUUUUUUUCUUUGUUUCGGGGUUCCUCCCUUUCUCUCUUUUUUUUCGUCCCCCGUUUUCCCUUUUGGUUCUCUAUUUAUAGAACCAUGGCGCGACUUCGACGUGGAGCCCCGAAGUGGGUCGAGGAGCGUCUGUCGGGGAGCGGCGGGCCUCCCUCGGCUUCGGCCACGAGGAGGGUUGUCGACCAUUGUUUCUGUCGGUGGCCCACCGGCGUGGGGUCUCUGUCGGUGGUAAGGGGGACCUGCAAAAAGAAUAAAAAAUACAAAGUUUUUCUUCUUCCCCGCUGUAAUGUUCGGGGGGGAAGAAGACAGUGAACAGUGUCGUUCAAAACGGCACCGUUCGGUUCCCCCCCCCUUUUUUUUUUUUUUUUAAUUUAUUUAUGCAUGAAACGGCGUCGUUUUGGACAAAACGCGCCGUUUCAUUUAAAAAAACGCCAGAAACUUUGUUUUUAAAUCAGUCCCUAAUUUGUCAUUUGUUCUAUCAAGUCCUUCAAUCGAGUCCUUUAAUCAAGAAUAAAAUUCAAUUGCGUCCCUGCCAAAUUCGGUCCCUACCCCUAUAAUUGGCCGCGUUUUUCACUUUGAUCCUUGACCUCUGAUUUUCACAAUUAAGCCCUUAAUUGAUCAAUAAACUUCCAAUUUCUUCAAUUAAGCCCCUGAAACAAUUCCAAACAGCCCCCUCUAUCUUUGCGCCUUCUCCAAAUUGGUCCCUGGUUUCGGAUUUUUCACAAUUAAGUCCCUAAUUGGCCAUUAAACUUCAAUAUUUAUGCAAUUAAGCCCCUGAUUUGACCCAAUAAAUUCCUAAAAAAUAUAUUUUGACCCCAGAACUUAAAUUUCUUCAAAUUAAAGCCCAAAUUGACUUAAAAAUCAAUUUUUCUUGCAAUCAAAUCUUCCAUAAAUUCAAAUAAAAAUCCAAUUAAGUCCAUAAAAAUCCAAAUUUGGGUUUUUCUCCUCAAAAUUCAAAUUUUCCUUCUCAAUAGGGCUUUCAUCCUUCAAGAAUAUACUGUCAAAAAUUCAAUCCUUGUAUUUUUAAAUUCCUUGACCAAUUUUCUGACUGUUUUCCGAGCGCUUCUACCUCCUGUUAUUUUUCUAACCUCUUUUGGCUAUUUAUUUUAUUUUUCAUGGGGACCCAAAAAUGGGUUACAACAACCGAUAUGCAGAUGUAAAUGUUCUCAUGUACCCAUCUCGUAGAAAAAACGCAUCCGAGUAAAUAGAAUUUUUUUUUCUUUUUUUUUAGAUGAACAUGACUUUCUUAAGCUCAUUGUAGUAUAUAGGAUUUUUUUUAAAAUGAAAAAAUAGAAAUAUUAUUCGCAUCCGAUUAAAUAUCUCCACCGAUAUAAUUCCAUUGAAAGUUGCGUCAUGUAUUAAUCUAAGGUCCAUUGUUCAUUAAUUAAUCGGUGGUUGCGUUUUAACACUUGAGAUUUAUUUUUUAUGCAUAAACAUUUAAUUUAUUUUUUUGCAAACUAAAUUGAAAUUAAAGCAUAUUAAUUAUCCAUUCCCAAGCUUACAGGGCAAUGGUCUCAUGGACCCAUCUCGUAGAAAAAACGCUUGAUAGCAAUGGUUUCGUGGACCAUCCCACCAGCCUAUAUCGUGGAAAAAAAUGCAGAUGGCAAUACAUGGUCUCACAGUCCCAUUUCACACUGCAAAUUGCUAUUCAUCUUACUUGUUGAUUGUGUUACAUAAAAAUAGACUGACAAGUACUUUAAAAAAAAAAAAAAAGACUUGUUGUCAUGACAAUGACAAGAAGAAUUUUAAAAAUAAUAUUAUUUGAGGUUCAUUUUAUCAACGAUACUCUUUGAUUUUGUCAUCACAAUCAAAAUUAAGGCAUGAUUUUUGAAGAUUUUAGAUAAAGAUGAUAAUUUUGAGUUAUGGUUUGUUUAAAUAAUGAAUUUGAGUUAUAAAUCUUGAUAUAUUAAUAAGUGAUCUGUGUGUAUUUAAAAUUAAAGUGCAUAAAUUUAAUAUUGAAAUUUAAUUAAAGUCUCUCUUACAAUCCAAAAUUUAUUUUUAAUUAAAGUGCAUAAAAUAAACAUGGUUAAAGUUCUUUCUUUCUCUUUCUCUUUCUCUCUGUCUCUGUGUAUGUUAGAUGGAGUUUGCAUUAGAUAAUCAAUAAUAUUGUAUAUAUUGUUUUUGGAGAAGUAACUCAUUUUCACACCCUUGGUGUAGUUUUCCAUUCAUUUUCACACCCCAGUUGCCACCCUGCUUUUCUUUUCAUUCACGCACACAGAUAGUGCAUCAAAGCACUACGACAAUAGUUGACUCCCAGUCAAUACGGUCAAGAUAAGGUAAUCAAAAACUAAAUUUACUUUUACUACUAUUUCAAUUUUAAAAAAAUAUUUUUCUUUUGUUUAAUGCAUUAAUUUCAAGAAAUAUUUUUAUUUUUUUGUAAUUUGAAUACUUGCUCUUAUGAUUUUUUAUCAAUAAAGUCUCUAUAUUAGUUUUGUUGCUAGAAUACAAAGAACACAAUUAAUAGUAUUUUAUUUUUAAUUUUUUUCAAGGCCUAAAUUGUACACACGUAAUUUCUAUAAAGAAAGUAGCAAGUCUUCUAUAUCCAUCAUCGUCAUGUACCUAGCAUUAACUUUUAUUCAUGUCUUUUCCAAAAAAAAAAAACUUGACUUUGGAUCAAUGUUUUAAGAAGGAAUAUAAGUUUCGGUUAAUUACUUAAUUUCAAAUUUUUUUUGUACUCUAUGUUUUCGAUGAACAUCACUUUCUUAAGCCAGUUGUAGUAUAUAGAAAUUUCUUCUAACAUUUUAGAAAUAUAAUUCACAUCUGAAUUGAUAAAUUCACAAAUUAAUAUAAUAGGUUUUAAUAUUUAUUUUUAAUAUAUAUUUCGAAUUUAAUAUUAAUAGUUAUAAAGUUUAUUUAGUUAAUAAAAAUUGUUCCACUUUUGUUAUAUCACAUUCCUUUUAAAUUAUUGUAAAGUUUAUUUAUUUUGAAUUUAAUAUAUAAUUUUUUUUGGAAUAAAUAAACUUUAUUUUUUAAAAUAAAAAAACUAUUUUCAAAUAAUAUUUCAAAUAUAUGAAGCUUGUCAUAUUAUUACUAUUUUUUAUUUUAUUCAAUCAAUUUAUAAUAUGUGUCUAUUUUUAUUAUUGUUUGAUCGAAUUAAAAAAUUAUUUUAAUUAGAAAAUUUAAAAAAUGCAAUUGCGUAAAUGUCAUGUCUUGUAAAAUUAAAUAUUUUGAUCUACACAUGUCUCUUGAUUUUUUUACUUUUUAUUUUGAGUCAUCGUUUAUGGUUUUUUUUUUUCACUUAUUAACACACAUAAUUCUCGAUUUAUUUAACAAUAUUUGUGUAUAAGUUUUUUAAUUUUCACUUAAAAUUUUUUUAAAUAAAAACUUUAUUGAAGAAAUCAAUAUAUAAUUUUUUUUAAUUAAAAUAAUUGAACUUGUGGUGAAGGUGUGGUCAAAUAACUAAAAAUAGGUGGCACUCAAAGGUUCAUAUACCUUAUCUUCCAAGCAAGAAGAGACAAGAAAAGCAGUAGAUGAUGUUCUUUUCUCCGACAAUAAAUGGAUGAAGAGAUAAAUAUCAAAGACUAUUAUAUUAAUCGUUCAUACCCCCCCCCACCCCCACCCCACGAUCUCUUAAAUGCAAAACAAUUUGGAAUAGUUGAUAAAUCACUUUUGGUAAUUUCACAUCAAAAACAUCUCACCCACCUUAGCCCAUGUCAAAUCCUUCAUCCCAUUAUGCCCUUGCCCAGACUUGCCCUCGGGGUAAAUUCUAAAACUUGGGGCAUCUUUUAUAUGGAAAUUUAGAAUUAUAACUUGGUGUUUGUCCAUGUAUAUACAUUUUUAAACGUUAAGGAGCACUUUUAUUACGAAAAAGAAAUGGCCCAGUAUAUAUUACUAAAAAAACUCAAAUUUCACAUUGAAAAAAUAAAAUAUUCUUUUAAUGUUUAUAUAAUAAACUUUAAAAAUAAUUAAUAACCAACCAAAAACAUAUAUAAAAAAGAGAGGUUGGAAAAAAAAAACAUUUAACAAAAAAAAUGAGUCUCAACUAGGUUUUCUUGAAUUGUUUGGAUUACGGGUUAACGAGUCAAAAAUAUAUAUAUAUAAAAUGAGAGGUUUCAAUAAAAUAAAAACAUUUUCAAGUCUUUUAUAUGUCAUGUGUAGCUAAGGGACCCAUCCUUUGUAUAAAAAAUGAUUUGACGGUGCUUGGAUUGGGUGUAUGCCUACGAACUUGGUUUUCUAAACAGACCAUGAGCUUUAUUUUUUAUUUUUUCUAUGUAGUGUUAGUUUUUAAAAUCUUAGUAUAUUAUACAAUUGGAUUUAUUUUGAUGUUUCUCACACGUGUAUUAAUUAUUUAUUAAAUUCUUUAAUAGUUAGAAAAUACAAAGAGUUAGUGACACUUACAGAGCAUUUUGUAUCUUGUUUUUUCUAAUUAAAAACUUGUGUGGAUUUAUUUAUUUAUUUAUUAAUUUGAAUACUUGCUUUUAAUUAUGAUUUUUUUUAUCAAUCAAGUUUCUAUAUUAGUUUUGUUGUCAGAAUGCAAAUAACACGGUUAAUAGUAUUUUAUUUUUAAUUUUUUCAAGGCCUAAAUUUUCCACACGUAAUUUCCAUUAAAAAACGUAGCCAGUCUUCUUUAUCCAUCAUCGUCAUGUGCAUAUCAUUAACCUUUUAUUCAUAUUUUUUCCAUAAAUAAAUAAACUUAACUUGGGGUCAACGUUUCAAGAAGGAAUAUAAGUUUCGGUUAAUUACUUAGUUUUUUCCAAAAUGUUCCACUUUUGUUAUAUCUCUAUUACUUUUCCUUUUAAAGAGGUUAUGUACAGCCCUUGUAUAUAAAAGUCUUUAGUAUAGAUGAAUUUUAUUUUUAAAAAUAAAAAAAAAAUUAUUUUAAAAAAUUAUUUUUAAUAUGUUCAACAUUGCAUAUUAUUUUUUCUCCUUUUAUUUUGUUCAAUUAAUUUAUAACGUGUAUGUUGUUUUUAUUAUCAUUUAAUCGAAUAAAAAAAUUAUUUUAAUUUGAAUUUUUAGAAAAUACAAUUGCGUAAAUGUCAUGUCUUGUGAAAUUAAAUAUUUUGAUCUACACAUGUCUCUCGAUUUUUUUAGUUUUUAUUUUGAGUCAUCAUUUAUGUUUUUUAUUUAUUUAUUAACACACAUAAUUCUCGAUUUAUUUGACAAUAUUUGUAUAUAAAUUUUUUAAUAUCCACUUAAUUUUUUUCAAAUUAAAAAUAUAUUAAAGAAAUCUAUAUAUAAUUUUUUUAAUUAAACAAAUUUAACUUGCGAUGAAGCUUUGAUCGAAUAACUAAGUCCAUGUACUCAAAUGAGUGGCACUCGAAAGUUCACAUACCUUAUCUUCCAAGCAAGAAGAGACAAGAAAAGCAGUAGGUGAUGUUCUUUUCUCUGGCUGUAAAUGGAUGAAGGGAUUAAUACCAAAAACAUGGACAAAAUUUGAUGUGGACCCGCACCACUUUGAUUAUUCUUCAUUUUCUUCACUCUUCGUGUGUUUCAUUACUUGAUGAUUCAAAAGUUAUCUAUUUAAAAAAAUUAAAAUUUUUAAAAUAUUUUACAAUAUGGUUACAAUAUUUUUUUCUUAAGAAAAUAAAUUGAUGUCAUGUGUUAAUAACAUUUAUGGAUUUUUUCCAAUCAAAUUUAUUUUAAUUAAAAGGCUUCCUAUCAAGAACAUCAUUCCUAGUUAAAACAAAGUUUUUCCACGAACCCAUCUUGUGGAAAAAAUGCAUGAUGGUUGGAAGAGGAUGUCUCAUGGCCUCUCCUCAAGGAACAAUGCUUGAUGGCAACGGUCUCAGGGACCAAUAUGUAGAUGGAAAUGUUCUCAUGGACCCAUCUCGUAUAAAAAACGCAUCCGACUAAUUAGAAUUUUUUCCGUUUUUUAGAUGAACAUGACUUUCUUAAGCUCAUUGUAGUAUAUAUAACUUUUUUAAAAUAAAAAAAUAGAAAUAUUCGCAUCCGAUUAAAUACCUCCACAUAUAUAAUUCCAUUAAAAGUCAUGUCAUGUAUUAAUCUAAGUUUCAUUAUCCAUUAAUUAAUCGGUGGUUGCAUUUUAACACUUGAGAUUUAUUUUUUAUGCAUAAGCAUUUAAUUUAUUUUUUUGCAAAUUAAAUUGAAAUUAAAGCAUAUUAAUUAUCCAUUCCCAAGCUUACGGGGCAAUGGUCUCAUGGACCGAUCUCGUAGAAAAAACGCUUGAUAGUAAUGGUCUCGUGGACUAUCCCACCGGCCUAUAUCAUGGAAAAAAAUGCAGAUGGCAAUACAUAGUCUCACAGACCCGUGCAAAUUGUUAUCCAUCUUACUUGUUGAUUGUGUUACAUAAAAAUAGACUGACAAGUACUUUAGAAAGAAAAAGAAGAAGAUUUGUUGUCAUGACAAUAACAAGAAGUAUUUUAAAAAUAAUAUUAUAUGUGGUUCAUUUUAUCAACGAUACUCUUUGAUUUUGUCAUCACAAUCAAAAUUAAGGCAUGAUUUUUGAAGAUUUUAGGUAAAGAUGAUAAUUUUGAGUUAUGGUUUGUUUAAAUAAUGAAUUUGAGUUAUAAAUCUUGAUAUAUUAAUAAGUGAUAUGUGUGUAUUUAAAAUUAAAGUGCAUAAAUUUAAUAUUAAAAUUUAUUUAAAGUCUCUCUUACAAUCCAAAAUUUAUUUUUAAUUAAAGUGCAUAAAAUAAACAUAGUUAAAGUUCUUUCUUUCUCUUCCUCUCUGUCUCUGUGUAUGUUAGACGGAGUUUGCAUUAGAUAAUCAGUAAUAUUGUAUAUAUUCUUUUUGGAGAAGUAACUCAUUUUCACACCCUUGUUGUAGUUUUCCAUUCAUUUUCACACCCCAGUUGCCACCUGCUUUUCUUUCCAUUCACGCACACAGAUAGUGCAUCAAAGCACUACGACAAUAGUUGACUCCCAGUCAAUACGAUCAAGAUAAGGUAAUCAAAAACUAAUUUUACUUUUACUACUAUUUUAAUUUUUAAAAAAUAUUUUUAUAUUGUUUAAUGCAUUAAUUUCAAGAAAUAAAUUCCUUUUAUCUUAAAAUAUGAACUUGAAAAACCAAAUGUAUUUUAUAAUGAGGGAGAAAACUAGAAAAAAUGAUUAGCCUUCUCAUUGUAGUAAUAUAAAUCGUAUAUCUUUGACUCGAUUGAGUUGAAAUGUAAUAAAAACAAGUCAAGAAUACCUUUCCUAACAUAAAAACAAAAGUGUGUGUGUUUUUUAUUUGAAGUUUUUGUAUAUAAUACUAUAGCCACACAAUCCACAGGGAUAAGAUUUAUAAUUAUUCCGUGUUUAUUAUUAUUGAUAAUUUAUGUAUUUAAUUAUAUAUAUAUAUAUAUAUAUAUAUAUAUAUGAUAGUGAGAUGACACCAUGCAAGUAGGCUGCAAGUAGGCUACUAAAUGAUUCUAAAUUAUGACAAGAUAAGUACAAUUAUAAAGCUAAAAAGAUCUUACGCGGAAUCAUACACGAAUGUUCGAUAAUACUACAACAAUUUUUAUUUUUUAUUUUUUCAUAAAUUAGAUAAUUAGUAUGCAAAAUAUAAUUAAAUGCAAAUAGACUAAGUGCUAAACAAUAAAAUAAAAUAAUAUUCAAAGGUUUCCGUAGUGAAGUUGUGGUCAAAUAUCUAGUCUAUGUACUAAAAUGAGUGGCACUCAAAGAUUCAUAUACCUUAUUUUCUAGGCAAAAAGAGCUAAGGAAAGCAGUAAGUGAUGUUCUUUUCUUUGGUUGUAAAUGGAUGAAGAGAUUAAUACCAAAAACAUGGACAAAAAUUUAUGUGGACCCACACCAGUUUGAUUAUUCUUCUCUUUCUUCACUUUUUCUGUGUUUCACUACUUGAUGAUUCAUAAGUUAUCUAUUUAAAAAAAAAUUAAUUUAUUCAGUUUUUUAAAUUAAAAUAAAAUAUACCUACCAUUCUUAGAUGUGACAUAAUGAAAUUAAAAACCAUAGCUUUUAGAGCCCCAAGUGCACAGCCCCAUCUCGUGGAAAAAAUUGCUUGAUGACAAUGGUAUCACUAACCCAUCAUCUAGUGGUGGAUAAUUUGUUUCAUGUCCUCUCCAUCAAAAUCCUUUUUGUUUUGAAAAGGAAUAUAUAUAUAUAUAUUAGUUUUCAAGAAACAUACCACAAGAUUUAAAAAUAUUUUAUAUUUCAUUAAAAUGAAUAAAUAAAUUACUUAUAUGGUUACAAUAUUUUUUUUCUUAAGAAAAUAAAUUGAUUUCAUGUGUUAAUAACAUUUAAGGAUAUUUUCCAAUCAAAUUUAUUUUAAUUAAAACGUUUGCAAUCAAUAACAACAUUCCCAAUUAAACCAAAGUUUUUCCACGAACCCAUCUCGUGGAAACAAUGCAUGAUGGUUGGAAGAGGAUGUCUCACAGCCUCUCUUCGAGGAAAAAUACAUGAUGGCAACGGUCUCAAGGAAAUGGUCUCACGAACUCAUUAAUGCAUUUAUAGUGAUAUUUUUAUUGUUAGAAACAUACAAUAGCUUAGGGAAUUUUAUCAAGGAACAAAGAUAUUUUCAGAGAAUAACAUUUAUAAUGAUACUUUUAUGCCAUUCAAUUUUUUCUUCUUUUUAGUCUAUGAUCCUGAUAAACAUGACUUUCUUAAGUUAGUUGUAGCAUAUAGAAUUUUUUUUAAUAAAAAAAAUAGAAAUAUAAUUCGCAUAUGAGUAAAUACCUUCACAAAUUAAUAUAAUAGGUUUUAAUAUUUACUUUUAAUAUUUAUAAAAUGAAAAAUAUUAAGAGUUGAUUAAUUUGUAUAGCUCCAUUUGUAUAUCAUUCUAUUUUUAUUUUCUUGCAAAGAAAAACCUCGUUUUGCGUAACUGUUCCUAUGUCUUUUUAUUAUUGAUGUAUGUUUGACAUUUUUAAUAUCUUAGAAGAGCACACAUAAACGUUUACGAGGAUUCCAUGGGAGGCUACUGAUUUUUGCUCUCCAUGAGAAGAGCAUCAUGGAACUUCUAACUGAGCAUUGAAUGUCAUAAUGAGAAAGAUUGGCAGUUGCACACCCAAGAGAAUGCUUUUUUUAUCUUUCUUUUUUUUCCCAAGAUAAGGUAAUUAGCUGUUGUGUGUUUUUACUUUUAGCAUUCUUUUUAUUAUUAUUAUUAACGUGAGUGUCUGGACAGCUUGCGCGCAACUUGACUAAUCCCACAAGCUCUAAAGUUAACGAUUAUGUAAGUUUCUAGUGGCUUUGAGGUUUAUAAAACUUGAACCGGUAACUUUUAGAAAGCAAAUCUAGAACUUGAUUAAUUGAGUACACCCUCAGAAUUGCUUUUAACAAUUUUUUAGAUUGUCUUGUGGUGGUACUCCAAGAUUCCGGAGGACCACCUGUAUGGAUAAGGAAAUCACUGCAUGGUUGUGUUUAAAAAUCAAAAUGGCAUACAACAAGUCAAGCAUCAAUUACUCAAGAUUUGUGGAAGAUAUGAUACAAGAGAUAAGAAAAUGAUUGCUAUUAUCCACAAUUUCUUUGCGGAGUUUCCAUUAGAUAAUCAAUAAUGUAUACAUAUUUUUUUGGAGAAGUAACUCAUUUUCACACCCUCAGAUGCCAAACAUUAACAUCCCUUUCUCUUCUCUUCUCUUCUCCUCUUUUCUUCUUUUCUUUUCUUGUUUUUUUAAUUAACAUAUUUUUAUGAAUUUGUUUAUCUUCUUAGCUUCACUAGCAACUACAUUAAGAUAAAAUUUUUAUUUUUUCUUCUUUUUUGUGUUCUUUUUCAUUAUAUUUGUUCUUUUAUUUAUUUAUUUUUUAUUUUUUUCUGUUCUUAAUAAUUUUAUAAAUGUUGAUGUAGGAUUUGUUUUUCACGUGAGAUCAAUUUUUAGUUGAUUUAUUUAUAGGAUUUUUAAAUAAAUUUUAAUUAUUUAAUUAUUUUUCUAGUUUUGUUAAAUAGAUUUUUUUUUUAAAUUUUUUUUUUAAAUAGUCACUGACAGAAUUGCAUACGGUAUGUUUGUCGAUUACAUGACAAGCUUCCCGAGGAAAUUACCAAUGAAAUGAAGUAAAUAAAUUUUUUUUAGCCUGUUUUACUUAUUAGUAAAUCUAUCAGUGAUAAUAUUUUUUUAUUGCUAACAAACAAAAAAUUACCAAUAAAAAAUUCAUGAAUGGAACAUUUCUGUUUGUGAUCCCAUCAAUAAUUAAUUUACCUAGAAAAUUAAAUAAUAAAUCAAGAGGGUGAGCCUUUCCUUAACGAAUAUCCUCAAUGGCCUCUGGGGUCGAACCAAAUCCUGUGGCCACGAUUUAUUGUUAGCACGUGUUUGCAAUUUGCAACAUAUAUUUUGAUGAGCUACUUGUAGAGUAAGGUGCUGUUUUUGUUUCUAGCUUUAGGUGAUUGCACCAAACAUGGACUGAACAAAAGGGACAUCCAUUGGUGGAGAAAUUGGUUCCAGUUCCUUUUGAUACAUUUAACCAGUUUUGUAUUCUUGCUCACUUUUCAAUUUGGUUUCGGUAUCGUGUUUUGUUAUUAUUACUUACUGCUGCUGUUUUGAAUUUACUACAACAAUUUUUUUAUUUUAUUUUAUUUAUAUAAAUUGGAUAAUUAGUAACCAAAAUAUAAUUAAAUGCAAAUAUACUAAGUGCUAAACAAUAAAUUAAAAUAGUAUUCAAAUCCUAGAAUAUUCCAAAAAAAAUAUAUAUAUAUUCAAAUCUCAAAACAUGAAACCCUAAAUUAUUACGAGAGAAGUAUAAUUAUAAAGUCAUGAAAACAAUCUUACGAAUGUCUACAAUAUUUUUAUUUAUUUAUUUAUUUUAUAAAUUGAAUAAUUAGUAACCAAAAUAUAAUUAAAUACAAAUAGACUAAAGGUUGAACUGAACAAUAAAAUAAAAGCCGAACUGCACAAGAUAAUAUUCAAAUCUAUAUUAUCAACAAACACACCAUAAAGGCCGAAGUGUCAGACUUUGUCACUUUUAGGUUAAUUCCGUUGGAUCAUGUUGAAUUGUCAACAAUGGUGCGAGGUACUCUAGGAUACUUAAACUUUAGUACUUGCACACAAGCCAACUGACGGACAAAAGUGAUGUUUACAGUUUUGGAGUGGUUCUUGUGGAACUACUAACUGGGAUCGAUGAAGGCAAUUUCCUUCGAUAAGCUUGAGGGCCUUUAAGUGCUAAAUAAUAAAAUAAAAUAAUAUUCAAAUCCAAGAAUAUUCCAAAAAAAUAAUAUUCAAAUCCAAGAAUAUUCCAAAAAGAAAUAAAAUAUAUAUUCAAAUCUCCAAACAUGAACCUGCACACAAGAUAUGCAGAUAAAGUCAAGGAAAUUAAAUGGCCAAAGUGUAGUAUAAAUAGGACCUCUAUGGUUGCCCAAAGGCACAUAACAAACAACAAUAUUCUACGUAGUAGUUCAUAGAAUAUUAUCUAAGAUGAUGAUGAAAAGAAUUGGGGCUUGGAUGCUGCUAGCAUUAUUGACUCUGGUUGGCGAAUGGGCUGGUCGUUGUUAUGGAUGUUUGGAGGAGGAGAGGGUUGGUCUCUUGGAGAUCCAAUCUUUGAUCGACCCAGAUGGCCUUUACUCGAGAGAUUGGGUGGACGGUAGUAAUUGUUGUGAGUGGGGGUGGAUCGAGUGUGAUAACACUACAAGGCGAGUGAUCCAACUCUCUCUUGGCGAAGUAAGGGAUUUCCGCUUGGGCGAUUGGGUUCUCAACGCAUCGUUGUUUCAGCCUUUUAAAGAAUUGCAAAGUCUUGAAUUGGAAGAUACUGGAUUGGUUGGUUGCAUGGAGAAUGAAGGUUAGUUCAAUGUUUCUGCACUUAAUUAUAAUCAUAAAAUAAAUGAAGGUUGGUUGGUGUUUAAUGUCAAUUAUCUUGCUUUGAUGAUUCUCUUCCAGGCUUCGAAGUCCUAUCAUCAAAACUGAGGGAACUUGACCUAUAUUAUAACCGAUUUAAUAAUGAUAAAAGCAUUUUGUCAUGUUUCAAUGGUAACCUUUCCACUCUCAAGUCUUUGGAUCUAUCAUAUAAUCAGUUGACAGAUGGAUCAGGUAGCUUCUAUGGUAACCUUUUAAUUAUUUAGCUUCGAAACCUUUUCUGUUCUUCUUCCAAUAUGCUUUUGAGGAACAUCAUGCAGGUCUAAAAGUCUUGUCAUCAAGGUUGAAAAAGCUGGAGAACCUUGAUCUAAGUGACAAUCAAUACAACGAUAGCAUUUUUCCAUCUCUUACUGGAUUUUCAUCCCUCAAGUCUUUGGAUCUAUCGGCUAAUGAGUUGACAGGAUCAGGUAUAACACACAGUUUCUACCUAAAUGCUUCACAUGACAUUCUCUUAAUUAUAUUGUUUCCUUAUCAACAAAAAUGAGGACUUUAUAUCUAUUUAAUAAAAACUAUCAACAAAACUCUCUAAUACAAAUCACUAGACAGCCAACGAGAGACUGCCAAUUUCUUUAUUAGAAAAACUCUUGAACUGUUUUAUCAAUGAAGACCACAACAUAAAACCCACAUAUUUGAUAUUUAAUUCUUGUUUGUAGCCAUUUAUUAUUUCCUCUCUUUUUAAUUAUGGUUUUAUAUUAUUUUGGACCUUUUUUAAAUCACAAUAUUAUUCAGUAGUGGAGGAUAUAUUGCCUUAUGGUCGUGGUGAAUGGUGAAAUAUUUGGACUUUGAAAAAUAAAACGUGAAAAAGUUUAUAGUUCUUUAAUGCCAUGGAUAAAAUUGGGAAACUUGCUAGAAAACAGAGGCAGUUAGGAAAAAAUUAUAAUGACUAAAUUAGUAACAGCUAAGCAUCUUACUAACUAAAUAGAUAGAGGAAUUAAGUUAUGAUUAUUAUUCUUGUUUAACUAUUAUUAUUCUUGUUUUAAUUACCGAUGAGGUCUUAAUUACAAGUUUCUUUAUCAUAACUUAGCUUCCAUCUUUUUAUGUAUAAUUUGAGAAUCAUAUAUCAAUUGAACAACAGCAUCUCAUCAAUUCUAAUUAUCUUUAGUUUCUAUAUAUUAUGCAUAUCGUGAGCUCAUAAUUAUGACUUACUCUUAGAAACAACUCUCUUGCAGGUUUUGAGAUCAUAUCAUCACAUUUGGAGAAACUCGAGAACCUGGACCUCAGCUAUAAUAUAUUCAACGACAGCAUUUUCUCACAUCUGCGUGGACUUUCUUCUCUCAAGUCUUUACAUUUAUCAGGCAAUAUGUUGCUAGGAUCAACAACUGUAAAUGGUAAAGUUGUGAAAUCUCUGGAUUUUUCAGGCAAUUUGUAGUUUAUAUCCAAAAAUCAUCUCACUAUAAAAGUACCAGUUCUUUAUCAUAGAUUUAAGAACUCGACCAAGAUAACACUUAAUUUCACUACUUACUUGAUUGCAUGUUUUCAAUUCUACACAUCAUAGGUUCAAGAAAGCUAGACUUCCUGCAGUCAUUGCCAUCCCUGAAGACCCUUUCUCUCAAGGAUACUAAUUUAAGUCAAGGUUAAUCAUAGUUUAGUUUCUUAAAAUCAUAAUUAAGAAUAUUGAAUGGAAUGGCCAUUCUGUACCACCACUAUUUUCAUCAUAUCUUUUUUCUUCUUCUUCUUCUUUUCACAGGGACUUUCUUCAAUUCUAGCACCCUUGAAGAAUUGCAUCUAGAUAAUACUUCUCUCCCAAUAAACUUUCUCCAGAACAUUGGAGCAUUGCCUACUCUUAAAGUUUUGUCUGUUGCUGAAUGUGACCUCCAUGGCACCUUACCCGCUCAAGGUAAAUUAACAACUCUCCAUUCGCCUAUAAUUACAUCAUUAAUAAAAGAUUCUUUCAACAUUGUUUUGACUGUUUCGAGAUAAAUUAUACAGGUUGGUGUGAAUUGAAGAAUCUGAAGCAGUUAGAUCUCGCUGAAAAUAAUUUAGGAGGUUCACUCCCAGAUUAUUUGGGGAACUUGUCAUCUCUACAACUAUUAGAUGUUUCUGGUAACCAGUUUACUGGAAAUAUUGCCUCUAGUCCUCUUACCAACCUCGUAUCCCUUGAAUUCCUCUCACUAUCAAAUAACCUCUUUGAAGUUCCCAUUUCAAUGAAGCCUUUUAUGAACCACUCAAGCCUCAAGUUCUUCACCAGUGAGAACAACAGACUUGUAACAGAACCUCCAACCUUUGAUAAUUUGAUUCCAAAGUUCCAACUAGUCUUUUUCCGCUUGUCAAAAACAACGGAAGCACUUAAUGUAGAAAUUCCUAACUUCCUCUAUAACCAAUACGACUUAAGAGUCCUUGAUCUCUCCCACAACAACAUCACCGGAAUGUUUCCAUCGUGGUUGCUUAAGAACAAUACACAAAUGGAGAAACUAUAUCUGAGCGAGAACUCCUUUGUUGGUACUUUGCAAUUGCUAGAUCACCCAUAUCCGAAUAUGACCGAAUUAGAUAUAUCCAACAACAACAUGAACGGUCAAAUUCCAAAAGAUAUUUGUUUGAUCUUUCCAAAUAUGUUGAUCUUAUGGAUGGCUAAGAAUAGAUUCACAGGUUAUAUUCCUUCUUGUUUAGAAAAUAUUAGCUCUCUUUCAUUUUUAGAUUUAUCCAACAAUCAAUUGUCUACAGUAAAACUAGAACAACUAAAAACAAUAGCGGUUCUCAAGCUAUCAAACAACAAUUUGGGUGGGCAAUUACCGACCUCGGUGUUCAAUUCUUCUAGCCUGGCUUUUCUUUACCUACGUGGUAACAACUUUUGGGGUCAGAUAUCAGAUUUUCCAUUAUAUGGGUGGAAACCAUGGAUUGUAUUGGAUUUGAGUAACAAUCAAUUUUCAGGCAUGCUUCCAAGGUGGUUCGCCAAUUAUACGAGCCUUAACUCAAUUGAUUUGUCCAAAAAUCAUUUUAAGGGUCCGAUCCCAAGAGACUUUUGUAGGCUUGACUGGCUUCAAUAUUUGGACUUUUCUGAGAACAACUUGUCUGGAAAUAUACCAUCUUGUUUCAGUUCACCAAUUCUAAUCCAUGUGCAUCUAUCCGAAAAUAGAUUGAGCGGUCCUUUAACAUAUGGAUUUUAUAACAGCUCUUUCCUGGUUACGAUGGAUCUUCGAGAUAACAGCUUCAUCGACUCCAUUCCAAAUUGGAUUGGCAAUCUUUCAUCAUUGAGUGUUCUUCUUCUAAGGGAUAAUCACUUUGAUGGUGAGCUCCCUGUUCAGUUAUGCUUGUUAGAGCAAUUAAGCAUUUUGGAUGUUUCACAAAACCAGCUCUUUGGCCCACUACCCUCAUGUUUGGGCAAUCUUACUUCCAAGGAAAGUUCCCAUAAAGCGUUGGCGUAUCAAAGAGCUUAUUUUCCACUAGGGUCCAUAGAAAAAGCUUAUUACAAAAAAUGGGUCCACCACUAGUGGAUAGUAUUUCCAACUUGGAAAAUUAUGUUUGGCUUAACUUUACAGAAGAAGUGAUAGCAUUUACAACUAAAAAUAUGCAUUAUGGUUACAAGGGGAAAAUUCUCAACUACAUGUCUGGUAUUGAUCUCUCCAAUAACAACUUUGGAGGAGCAAUCCCACCAGAAUUUGGAAACUUAAGUGAGAUACUGUCAUUAAACUUGUCACACAACAAUCUCACUGGAUCUAUCCCUGCAACAUUCUCAAACCUAAAGCAUAUUGAGAGUUUGGAUCUUUCUUACAACAACUUGAAUGGUGCCAUCCCUCCACAACUUACUGAAAUUACCACACUGGAAGUUUUUAGUGUGGCGCACAAUAACUUGUCAGGCAAGACACCCGAGAGAAAAUUUCAGUUUGGGACCUUCGAUGCAAGCUGUUACAAAGGAAAUCCUUUCUUGUGUGGACCUCCAUUGCAAAACAAUUGUAGCGAGGAAGUGGUGCCAUCGCAGCCAAUGCCUAAUGAUGAACAAGGAGAUGAUGGUUUCAUAGACAUGGAGUUCUUCUACAUCAGUUUCGGUGUAUGUUACACAGUUGUGGUGAUGACAAUUGCAGCAGUUCUCUACAUCAAUCCAUAUUGGCGACGCAGGUGGUUGUACUUCAUCGAAGACUGCAUAGAUACUUGCUACUAUUUUGUGGUGGCUAGUUUUCGCAAGUUCUCCAACUUCAUAAGGUGAAUUUGUUACUGGGGAGAUGGGGAGACGGUCGUUUCUGGUUUGUCAUGAUUGUUUGUUUAGCUAUUGGGUGCUUAAUUUUGUAAUGUAUUGUCUCUGCAUCAAAUAUAUAAGUCGGACUUCUCAUUCCUGAACCAUUAGGAAGGGAGCUGAUUUGGAUUUGCCAUUGACUAUUUGUCCUGUAUGUCUAGCUAUUGGGUUCUUCAUUUGUAGUGUACUGUCUCUAAGCUCAACCUUUCUAUUUGAAUAGUUAUUUGGGCUAAAUAUAUAAGCUGGACUUGUCAUUCAUAAAUCAUUAGGAAGGGAACUGAUUUGGAUUGGUCAUUGACUCGGCUGUGAUUACUCUUUCAACUCUCAAGACUUGUCUGAAAAUAAAUUGCCAAAACCACUACUAAAGUAUAAACAAAAUAUUCUAUGCCUUUGUUUCAAGGGCGACCCCACCUCAGUUAUUCAAUCAAAGCAUUGAAAUCGGAGCAAGAAGAUCCACCUUCUUCAACAGCCUUCCUGGCCGUUUCUCCUAGCUUCUUUGCUCUGCUCCUCAUUUCCUCUGUUUCUUCACCCAUCAUAAUUUGAGUGAUUGCCUUCUCUACAGCUUCACUUUUAACAUGAUCUCCAUGCACUCUAAGCCAUUCCUCAACUCCAGUUUUUAAAACAUCAGUCACCAACUUUUCAUUAUAGAAUUGCUCCGCAAAUAUUGGUCUCCUAAGCACAAAAAAAUAAAAUUGUCCUUGUCAAACAUGCAGCUGUGACUUGAGACAUUCAGAAUUUCAACCUCAUUUUCUAUAAAAUUCAACAAUACUGGAUAUGGUCAUGAUUCAAUGGAAUAAUCCCCACUUAUUUUCUUGAGACCUUUUUCCAUUGAAAUCUUGCAAGACUGUGGCAUACAUGAACUCCAUCUAAUGAACAGUAAAUCAAAGAAAUUACCUUCUGAUAGAUCUCCUCUUGCCAAUCAGCGCCUUUUGCAUGUCCAGUCUGUGCUGUAGAAUCUAGGGAUGCUACAAAAAUUUCAAUGCAGACAACAAAAUGUUAGAAUUCAUGUAUUUUUGUGUGUUUUCCAUAUACAAGGGUAUUUCUGUAAUUUUAACACUAGCUGAAAGUUAUGAAAUAUUGCAAGUCUCAGUUUUAUUUUCCAUUUAGUAUUUAAUUAUUCCCAAAGUAUAGCGAGCUUCAUUAGGUUUUUCCUAUUCUAGAUAGGCUAUUAGUAUUUUCCUAUAUAGGAAUACAAGUCCUUUUUGUAUUAGGAACUUCAUCUAAAUGUUACGUAAUCAUAUAAAUGCAGAAUCAGAGGGUGAACAGCUGGUGCAAUGCACUGGAGGGUAUGAUGUGGUAACAAAUGCGUGUGUGAUUGCAAUGGUUUCAAUAGCAGUGGCAUUACUAAUGCCACAAGUGGCAGCAGUAGCACAUAAAGCUACCUAAAAGAGUAUUGCUGACUUGAACCAUUAUGAGAGGUGAACAGUUGGUGCACCGCACUGUAGGGCAUCGUGUGGUUACAAAUGCAUAUGUGAUUGCAAUAGUUCCAAUACCAGUGGCAUUUCUAAUGCCAUAAGGGGAAGCAGUGGCACAUAAAGCUACGAAAAAGAGCAUUACCUGGCAUUUGUCUCUGAGAAUUGACAAACAUAGUGGAGGGAAUCCCUUGUCCCAUUGAAUUCCCCAAUGAGUUCUGUGAAACACCAGGGAUACUCUGCAUGUUAGGAUUCUGGACAACAGUGUUGGGGAUAGUCUGGGUUACACCAGAGACAGGAGGCAGUGCCGCUUGUAAACCAGCAUAACUUUGAACUCCAUUAGAUGCCAUGCAAUUCUGCAUGUUCUGUGAUACCAACUGCUGAUGUGCUUGAGACUGAUCAGUGGACAAUAGGAUAGGGAGAAACAGCCCUUGAUUCUGAACUUCAGGGGGCAUACUAUGGGAUGCUGUUCAAGAUAAAAGGCAAAAGGGAAAAACAUGUCACAGAAAAAAAGAAGGCACUGAACAAGGAAGACAAAUGAAACAUCGGCAGUCCACACAUAAAGUUAUGAGCGAAAGAAUUGGGAUGGAUUUGAGUCAACCUGACAAUUUUCAGGGAUGGGGGAAGAAGAGGCGGCUGAAAACAAAAAAAUAAUAUGACAAUUUUCAGGGUGGGCGAAAGAAAAGGAGGAGGCAGAAAACAAAAACAAUCUGUAAUAUUCUUGCAUAACAUUCAUCAAUUACUCAACUUUUUGAUUAAAGCAUGCCAUACACAUAGAAAUAUGUUGCAAUAAAACGCAAAAGAGUUUGAUAACAAUGCGACAAACAAAACAAAAGGUAAGAUGUUUAGAAAUUCAAUGCUCGGCAGCAUUAUUAUAUAUGAAAAAAGGAUCAAAUACUUUCUCUCGGAAGAAAAGCAAGAAAGUGACGUCUUACCUCCUCAACAGGAAAAUCUUUAAAAUCUACCAUCUCAAUCAUAAAAUUUAAAAUACCAUGUAUCACAGUCCUUGUUGCUGAACAAGUUAAGGAUGAAACACUUCACAUGCAUUAAAGAAUUAGCAUCAUGGAGGUGAUCAUGAGAUUUUUCCAGCAAGGUGAUAUACAUAGCAAUAUGCAGCAAUAAAAUGUAAACGAGUUUGAUAACAAUGUGAGAAGAAAAACAAAAGGUAAGAUUAGAAAUUCAAUGCUCGGCUGCAUUAUAACCUGCUGGAUCCAUGGGGGCAGUGGGCAUGGCGUUUUGAGACCUAAUCUCCAUUGAAAGCAUCUCCAGAGAUAUUUUACGCAGAUAAUCAUACUGAAAUCAGAUAUUAAUAACAAAACAUUAGAUCUCAGAUCAAUCCAUGUUACAAGAGGAGGAAAAUGGAUAUAUGCUCUAUCAUUUCAUCUUUUGUGAGGAUAUACUUCUGUUUCCUCUCUUUUUAUUUAAUUAUUUAUGUAUUGAUUUGCUAUUUUCUUUUUGCACACUUCCCUUGUACUUGAACUUGUUCACUCUAAAUAAAACACUUGUCAAGAGAAUUAACAAAAAGAUGCGAACUCCCAAUCAGCCUUGCAUACAGAGUGAACGGUGAGGAAGUGUAAGCACACUACACACACAUUUGUACAUGCAUAAAUGCAUGUGUAUAUUCAUGUCAAGAGAAUAUCAUAAUUAUUGAACCUCGCAUUAGGCAAAUACCUGAUUGGUGGCGUAGUAUAAAUCUUUUACUCAAAAUGUAUGGCAAAUUUCUUGAGUUCUUGUAAUCCCUCCUGACCAGAAAGAAAAAGCUGCCUCUUUAUUGUCUCCAUUCUGCACAUGCAAAUCAUUACGUUUCAUUUUUAAUGACCAGGCAAGUAUAGAGAAGUUAGCAACAGUGAGCAAGAACCCUGAAUUCAUAAACCACACCAAUAUCAGAAAUGUGUGGAAUCAUAGCAAAAAGUAAAAACAAAUAAUGAGAUAAGCAAGAGUUGGUCAAGUAUUAUAAGCCAUCAAAAUACAUAGACAUCCUUUCCCUGUAUUAUUCCAGAGGUACAGAUUAUAGGAGUUUACUUGGCCACCCUUCUGUCUAAAAAUUCUAGCUCCGAGCUUCAUAUAUUAGUGACUUGGUUGCAAAGCAGGGGAGACUGUGAAAACAUUACAAUAGCAUUUACUCUGAGUGACUUCUAUGCAUGUUAAUUGACAAAGAAAAGAAGAGAAAUCCUUUCAAUAUAUGAAAAUGCAAUGAGUUAACCUUAUCUCACACUGCAAUAUAUACUCUACAGUAUUCAUUGACCAAUGCAAGUGCCAGCAGAAGCUGUCUAUAUGAUUUUGGAUGUAGAGAGGUCAACAAAACAUUCAACUUUAUGCUGAGAAUCUAGGAAACCAUCCACCAUUGUGGCUAAUUGAUUUUUGUCUACUGCUUUUCAACUUUAAGAUCACUAUCAUUUCAACCCUGUAGAAGUUAAAACAAAUAGAAGGCCCAAAUCCAACACCAUUCAUUUAAGUUCAGUUGCAACUCGAGUUUUAAAUUGAAACACGUAUGCUCAUAGCAAUAGAUUAACCUUGAAAUUAAAAGCGGAUCAAGCUUCAUGCAGCCAUCCAAGAGGUCAUCAUCAAAAGAAGAGAUUACACAAGAAAUUCCAACAAAAAUUACUUCCCAGCACUUUAUGUUCCCUCAAGUUUGCUUCUCGUGAGAAACACAUGAAAAGAUGAAACAAAAAAAAAAAAAAAGAGGUGUGUGAUACUUGAUGUUGCCUCAUGGCAAUCCUGCCGAUUUUAAUUAACCCUUUGUCAUUCUCCUUUUCUUUCAUAUAAAUAAAAAAUUUACUAUUUUGCAGCACUUGCACAUACAUUUUGUCGACUAUUCUUUUCCGUGAGUCAGGCCGCAAUUGAAUUCUCCAAUCACCCGUGUCCAUGACAGGUUCUCCGCCUGGGACAGUGGGCCAACCAAAAAGAAAAAAAUAAUAAUAUUGCAUGUUAGAAUAGACCCUAAAAAGAAAGUCAGGAACGGCAAGAAGAGCAAAAGCACAUCAAGAACAUGAAAAAUGGAAUAUCAGUUUAUUCAGACUAGAAUAGAUUUAAAAAGAACUUCCGUCUAAUAUCAUGUACUUUAUUAAAGAAUUCAGCCAGAUAUGGAUGCAUAACAAAUAUACAAAACCAUUCAGGUCAAGGUGCUAGGAUCCUGGGUAUUCGGCCAUUCAAAGCAAAGAAUCUUCAUGGUGCUUCUAAACCAAAGAAGCAUUCCCUUCUAAGCAAAUACUUACUGUCAAACCCCACUCCCCUUCCCCUCCUGUUCUUGUUAUUUACUUCUCUGAAAGAAUAAAUAUUGUAGGGAGCAAAUAGUGUAAAUAGAAAGAGGAAAAUACCACAUCCCCAAAAGAAUAAAGAUAUAAGAAGAAGGCAAAACAAAGUCAUAAAACGAGGCCUUUCAAUUCCCAAUGAAUAUCAGCAGACUAAAUACCACAGCACAAAUAGAAGAUGAAGAGGCCAGAAACACUAAUCCAUCCCUAAGAGAUUGUCUAGGAUGUUUUAGUCUAGGAAAAAGACAAAGAAAACAACGAGCAUUAACAAUGAAUAUUUCAAGUUAUCAUCAACUCUAAAGAGCAGACUGAUAAGAAUCAACUUCACAAAUUUACAGGCACAUCUUUCUUUGAAUAGACAACACAAUAACCCUGACCAUACUAAAUGCUCCACCCACGAGCUGAUUGCACCUUUCUUCGAGUUGCGUUCACGAGCAGCGAUUUCAUCGAUCCGAUUAUAUAUCUUUUUAAUUUACUUAUUAAAAUCGAAUUUAUCUCUCUGGAUAAGAAUUUCAGUUAAAUAAAUGAAAACCCAGACAUAAAUUUUAAAAAUUAAAAACAUGAUAGAAAAGGAAGCACCUGGUGGAGAUUUGAAGCCUUAUUGGUUGAGGCGGCGGCUUCCUAGAGUGGAGGAGGGAAAGAGAGAGGGCUCAGGUGGGGAGAGGUGAAGAAUGUCGGACCAAAGUGAACAGAGCUUGACAGAUGACUUUAUUCUUUUCCAAAUUCACUAACAAACUUAAAUAAUUGUAUUCUGGUGUUGCUUCACUGUUCAUAACUAACAAACUAAAAGAAUUAUAUAUAUAUAUAUAUAUAUAAAAAAAAAAAAAACUAUGAGUGCUCAUUAAAACACGGUGCACUGUGUGUGAAUCCAGUGGCUUCACAGUCUUUACCGCGCUCCGUCCCUGUUUUUCGCGUUUCUUCUCGCGCGGUGGGUGUUCCCGCACUUUCUUCUCGGCUGCUGAGGCUCCCUGGCGUCUUUUCAUCGACUUUUGUCUGGUGCAUGUUCAGAUUGAGGCGGUUUGGCUGGUGCUAGGCGCGCGAGGAGAUGUCAGCCGACGGGUAAUCACCUGCAUCGGCUGGGAUGGCUUCAUUGAAGCUGUCCUCUUGGUCUGUGGCGGGCCUUCUCAUUAAUGAAAAAAUUAUUCUGAGACAUUGUUUUUGUUUUUAUAAACUCGUUUCUAUUUUAUUUUUUUUUAUCAAAAUUUUUAUAGGAAACACCAUAUAAAUUCUGGUUCGCUGUUUGUUGUUCUUGGUUAUGUUAUCAAAAAUACAAUAUUAAGUUAAUUAAAAAAUGAUGUUACAAUUACAUUACUAGCAUCAAAGAGGCGAUGAUAAAUUGUUUUAAAGCUAGAAAAUUGAUCAUUAUCUCUAUCUAUUUUUUAUUUUCGUUAUUGAUUUGUAUGUAUGUUUUAUAUGCUGACAUAGAUUGCAAAAAAGUUGUUUAAUUUUAGUAGGAAAAGUAAAGUAUAUAUAGUUUCUGUUAAAUUCCAUGACUUGUUAAAUUAUUUGUUGUGUGCUAUCUUUAUACUUGUUGCAUUGAUUCUACGGGGAAAGAAAUUUUAUGUUGCAUGGUAUUUUCUUUGUUGUUGGAUUGAUAUGAAAAAAUAAAUAAAACAAAAGAUUGGGAAAAAAAAGUUGCAUAUUUGGAUAAUAAUUACCGGUGAAAUAAUAUAUUAUUGGUUAGUAAAAGAAUACAAUACUCAAUUACGAUUAAUACUUGAGGUGUGAUGUAAAUUUAUUAAAUCACGUUAAAAAUCGAGUUUACAAUCUCUCUUUUCUUAUCUAUUUACUUUAAGCAUUUUAAUUAUAUUGUUUAUUAUUAUAUUAUAUGUGUUUAGUAUGUUUAUUUGUAUUAUUUGACAUAAUUAGUGUAACACCUAAUUCAUUUCCAUUAGAUGUUAUUGUUGUUUUAAUCCUAGAAUAUCAUAAGUAUCAAUUAGAUUUGUUUUUAUCAUAACUUUAGAAAAGUGCAUAAUGUUUUCUUAUGUUGAUGUCAAAAGAAAAAUAUUUAUAAUUAUUUGUAUUGUUAUAGUUUCUAUUGAAAAUUACAUUGUAUCUCGUAGAAAAACAAAUAAAUAAAUACAGAAUUGCAAAGUUAAAUUGUUUUUUCACAAAAUUAGUGUGUUAAAUUUUUGUGAUUAAUUAUAAUUAAUAUUAUUUGAGAUUAUAUAAGUAUGAUAUAUAAUUGCAAAGUUAAUUGAGAUAAUAGAUUGAUAAACCUAUUGAUAAUAAUUUCAAUAUACUUGUUAAUGUGGUAAUCUUUGUGGUUUAGAUGGCAAACCUAAUUCCUCAACAUUCUUCAUAUGGGGUAAAAACCAAAAUAAUUUGAGUGGUGUGAACUUAAAUAUAAAGCAUGAUGAAACAAUAAUCCUUCCAUCAUCAAGCCUUGUUAUGACAGCAAAGCUCCACAAAACCAUGAUUUCUUAGCAUAUAAUUGAGAAUGUUGAUAAGAAAGCUACUAAGCUUGUUGUAGUUGUGUUAGAAGUAAACUUCAUGGAAAAUCCUAAUAGUGGUGGAUUGUUAUUGGAGUUAUCUAUCAUGUAUGUUUUGAUAUUUUUUUUAUUUUAGUAUGCAACAACUACUAAUGGAGAAUAAUUAUUCUUGGAUAACUCCUUAGUGAUUGUUUGAGAGUGUGGUAACGAUUGCGUUACAAAGUUUUUUCGUUUGAAAAUACAUUAAAAUAAUUUUUUUAAUUUAUUUUUGACAUUAGUAUAUCAAAACUAUUCAAGAACACAAAAAAAUUAAUUUGAAGCAAAAAUAAAUUUUUAAAAAAUAGCAAAACAACAAUUUAACUAUAAUGGCAAACAAGCCUUUAAUAUGCAAAAUCCUAGACCACAAAAAAGGUGAUGUUAAGGAUGACAUAGGAAAGAGUGGACUCUGAACAAUAUAGUUAAUGCUUCUAAUAUUCAAAAGAGUAUUGUUUGUGGCUCACUAUUAAGCAAAUACAAGUUUAAGUUAGUUUUCUAAUCUAAUAAAUGUAUCCUCACCAAGAGUGGGAUGGUUGUGGGGAAGGUAUAUUCAUGUAAUGAGUUAUUUAAGCUCAAUGUGAUGACUAUUGUACUAAAAAGCCAAAAAAAAAUAUGAACAUUCCUUCUUCUUUUUUUAAUUGGUUAGAGCCUUCUAAUCUAUUCUAUAGAUAGAAGUAGCGAGCCUCUAGAGUUAAUUCACAUUAAUAUUUGUGAUUUAAAUUUAUACCAAUUAAAGGUAAUAAAAAUUAUGUUAUUAAAGUUAGAAGUUAUUCUACUUCUUUUCUUUAUUUAAAGUUGUGUUUGUUAAAACUCUACCUGAAAUAUAAUUGUUUACUUUUAAACUAUAAAGAUGUAACCUUUUGUCUUAAAAGUUAUGUUAAAAUUAAAUAUUAGAAUUACCUAUAAAAAGAGAUAAUUCUGACGUGAUUUUGAUAAUGAAGAAAACUUCUAGUCUUUUUAAAACUCUUCUCUUUUAUAUUUUUUCAACCAAAAUUCUUACAAAGAGUAACAUAAAAAUUUUAGUUCGCCGUUUAUUCUUGGUUAUGCUAUCAAGAAUAAGAGAUUGAAUAAGCUUGAAAAAUAAUAUUAUAAUUACAUUGCUAGCACCAAAGAGCAAGUAAUAAAUUGUUUUAUAAUAAUUUAUCGUCAAUCUAUUUAUUUUAAUUUGUAGCUAUCCGUACAAUAUAGAUCUCAUAGACCUAUAAAAAUUCAAAAUGGUAUUGAGAUUUCUAAAAUUAUAAGUGAAUAUGCGGACAAUGAUAAAAAAUUAUUUUUUAUGGAUGUUAAAGCCAUGAAUAUUUUAUAUUAUACAUUGGACAAAAGUAAGUUUGAUAGAAUUAUAUUAUAUAACAAUGCUUAGAGAUAUAUAGAUUGCGUUCCAAGUAACUCAUAAAGAAACUAAUAAGUUAAAAAAUCUGAAAUAUGAAUUGUUCAAAAUGUUUGGUGACUUCAUCGCUAAAAUGUUUAUUAUUAAUAGUUUAUUAGUUUGGAUGUUUUUAGUAAUGCUGAAAUUAUAGAGAAUUGAUCAUCAAGUUGAUUUUUAUAUAUGCAUAGAAAUCAGAUCAUUAUAAAUUUAAUAAACUAUUUAAAGUGUUCCAAUGGAAAGAAAAUGGGUGUUGUGAAUUUGAGUCUGCAUUUUUCUCUACCUUCUUUUUGGUGUUUUUUGUUCGUCCGUUCCUGAAAAUUUACGCUCAGUUUUUGCCUUCUACCUGCUGCUUAGUUUAGGGUAUUAAAUUUCUUUGUUUCUUCGGAAGAUGCCUUACUCUUGGUUGAUUGCCUUUCUGUUUCCAAGAUAAAUAAGUGAAUUAGUUGCAAAACAGGGGAAUCUCUGUAAGAACAUUACAAUAGCAUUUACUCUGAGUAAGAAAACUUUUAUACAUGCACUGUAAUUGACAAUGAGUUAACUUUGUGGAUUCCGUAGCACCGACUACAUCGCAGGCCAUGCCUGAUAAUCAAAUUCAAGCUGUUCUGACUUCGGUUGUUGGAAAGCAAAGUUAACAUAAGUGAAAAAAAAUGUUUCUAUUCCAAUUCUUCUGUGUCAAUGCAUGGCUGUGGGGUAGUUGGGGGUGGGGGGGGGGUAAUUAGUGCAGAUGAUACAGUGACAAGCAAUGCUGAUGGGGAAAACAAAUUAAUCAAAAGCUCAGCUGUGGGGGUUUAUGAAUCAUGUGUGAGCAAAUAAAUCAGAAAAAAAUUACAAAGACAACUUACCUGCUGUAACUUGGUAGCAAUUCUCUGGUACAUUUCAUUUAUUUCAGGCAAAUACGUUUCCUUCAUAACUUUGAUCUAGGAAGUACAUAUAACCAGCAAAACAUUAUCAAUCAUAUGCUUGAUUUCUUCAGGUGGCAGAGUCAGAAAGCAACUUAAGCAAACUUGAGAGAAUUGAUAGAUAAAUAAAUAAAAUGGCAGAGGACAGCAUAUAUUGUUUGAGAUAAAAAUAGCAGAGUGGAAUCAAUGCUGAAAACUCAAUAGAGAAUAUAGUUAUUGAUUGCAUGCAAAGAUGCAAAGGAUUGUGUAGUUACCCCUUCAGACAAGAUUCAGGGAUUGGUCAAGUUCAGUUACUUUGUCUCACGGCAAACUACUCACCAUUGUUUUCUAUUGUUCUCACUCAAGUCAAUGGAUGUCACGACUUUGGUAAACACUUCUUAGCUUUAUAACUUUAGAUUUAUAAUCCUUAUAUCCUAAUUACAACCACUCCUAUUCCCGUUUUAGUACCCUCCCAGGCACAAAAAAAUUGACCUCAUCAAAUAUGCAGUUAUGAGUUGCAACUACAGCCAUUAAACGAUUCAGAAUAUCAACCUCGUUUUCUAUAAAAUUCAACAAUGCUGGACAUGGUCAUGAUUCAAUGGAUUAGGUCCACUUAUUUUCCUUUCUUCGAUUGUCACAUGUUUCAGAACAAAUUUGAUUGUAAUCUUGAAAAUAACUGUUCACUUAACCAAAUAUAACGAUGACUAUUCAGAAACAGUUCACUCUUGUUUUCAAGUCUGUCUAUUAUUGUAAGAAGUAUUGUCAAUUGGACUUAUUGGAAAUAAUAAAAUAAUAAUUCACCACACAAUAAAUGUAUGGAAAUACAGGGAAAAAAUUGAAAGGGAGAGAUUUGCAAUAGAAAAAAUUGUCGUGUCAGUACCAAGAAAAUAACCCUCUUGACCUAGAAAUCUGAAUAUUUACCUUUAAUCAUCUUAUCAGUAAUUUAUCGUUUCUUAGUUGCUGCAAUCAUGGAACUUACAAUGCUUCCUAACUAAUCACAACCAUAGCUGAAUAAAACUCCCUUGUACCAAAUUCCAGGAGACCUUUUCCAUUGAAAUCUUGCAAGACGAUGACAUACAUGAACAGUAAACUACAGAAAUUACCUUUUGGUAGAUCUCCUCUUGCCAAUCAGCACCAUUUGCAUGUCCAGUUUCUGCUGUAGAAUCUACACACACAUGUGUACAUGCAUAAAUCCACAAACUUAUGCAUGUGUAUAUUCAUGUCUAGAGAAUAUCGAAAUUAUUGAACCUAGCAUUAGCCGAAUACCUGAUUGGUGGCGGCAGUAUAAAUCUUUUCCUCAAACCGUACGGCAAUUUUCUUGAGUUCUUGUAAUCCCUCUUGACCAGAAAACGGAAGAUGCCUCUUUAAUGUCUCCAUUCUACACAUGUAAAACAUUACAUUUAAUUUUUAAUGACAAGGCAGGUAUAGAGAAGUUAGCAGCAGUGAGAAAGAACCGUGAACUCAUACACCACACCAAUAUCAGAAAUGUAUACUACGGAAUCAUUAGCAAAAAGUAAAAACAAAUAAUGAUAUAGCCGAGUGUCGAUCAAGUAAUAUAUGGCAUCAACAUACAGACAUCUAUUUUUACUUCCUUUCCCCGUAUUAUUCCAGAGGUACAGGGUAUACGAGUUCACUUGGCCACCCUUCUGUCUAAAAUUCUAGUUACGAGCUUCAUGGUUAAUUUUCUUGAACCGGAAGAACCUUCCAUUUAUGGCUAUGGCUAUGCUCCAAGAUAUACAAAUGAAUUAGUUGCAAACCAGGGGAACUUUGUGAAAACAUUACAAUAGAAUUUACUCUGAAUAAGAAAACCUUUAUACAUGCACUGUAAUUGACAAAGAAAAGAAGAGAAAUCCUUUUAAUUUAUGAAAAUGCAAUGAGGUAACCUUAUCUCAUGCUGCAAUAUAUACUCUACAGUGCUCAUUGGCUACUUUAAGUGCCAACAGUAGCUGUCUAUACGAAUUUGGAUGUAGAGAUAUCACCAAAACAUUCAACUUUAUACUGAGAAACUAGGAAACCAUGCACUAUUGUAGCUAAAUGAUUUUUGUCAGCUGCUUUUGUACUUUAAGAUCACUAUCAUUUCAACCCUGUAGAAGUUAAAGCAUAUAGAAGGCUCAAAUCCAACACUAUUCAUUUAAGUUCAGUUGCAACUCAAGGUUGAAAUUGAAACACCAAUGCUCAUAGCAAUAGAUUAACCUUGAAAUUUAAAGCGGACAAGCUUCAUGCAGUCAUCCUAGAGGUCAUCAUCAAAAGAAUAUGUUACACAAGAAGUUACUUCCCAGCACUUUUUAUUCCCUCAAGUCACUUCUUGUGAGAAACACGUGAAAAAUGAAAAAGACAAAAACAGAGGUGUAUGAUACUUGAGGUUGCCUCAUGGCAGUCCUGCUGAUUUUAAAUAACCUUUUUCCCUUCUCUUUUUCUUUCAUUUAAAUACAAGAUUUACUAUUUUGCAGCACUUGCACAUAUUAGGAAACAGAUACUUACAUUUUGUUGACUAUUCUUUGCCGUGAGUCAGGCUGCAAUCAAGUUCUCCAAUCACCUGUGUCCCUCACAGGUUCUCCACCUGGGGCAGUGGACCUCCAAUUAUUGGCAUCCAUGGGGUUUUGGCCAACCAAAAAAAUCACUUCUAUCACCAAAUUUUUUUUUAAUUAUAUUGCAUGUUAGAAUAGACCCUAAAAAGAAAGUCAGGAACAACAGAAAAGUAAGAGCACAUCAAAGUCAUGAAACUUGGAACAUCAGUUUAUUCAGACUUGAAUAGAUUUAAAAAGAACUUCCAUCUAAUAGCAUGUACUUUAUUAAAGAAUUCUACCAAAUAUGGAUGCAUAAAAUCUGAACAGCCAUAACAAAUAUACACGACCAUUCAAGGCAAGGUGCUAGGAUCUUGGGUAUUCAGGUAUACGGGUAUUAUAAGAGAUUUGGGCCUGAAUCUUCAUGGUGCUUCUAAAACCAAGGAAGCAAAAAACUAGCCAGCCAGUUCAUAACUUGCCGCACCAACAGAUGGUGAGUGUUGGUAAACCAAGCCAUAGAGAAACUCAUGGUGCUUCAAUUUUAACUUGAUGUUUUCUAGCAACACUCGUGAUGCAUCAUUGAUGCAAUGUUACAAUGACAAACUUGCAUUUGUAUUCAUUGUGGUUUUAGGUUCACAGAUUCUGAUCAAAUAGAUAUUUAAUGUUCCAAAAACAUUGUAUACGCAUUUAAAUGCUUUACUUCAAUAGAUAGAUUAAGUUAUCUUUCUAGAUAUCAGUAUAUCACAUCUUACCAAUUUAGAUUCAGCACAGGACCUUUUUCAAGUGCUUACCAAUUUUUACUCGCAACCAAAUACAUACCGUCAAACCCCAACACCCCCCCCCCCGGUUCUUGUUAUUUAUGUAUGAAUUAACUUUUCUGAAAGAAUAAAUGUUGUGUGGAGGAAAUAGUGUAAAUAGAAAGAGGAGAAUACCACAUCCCCAAAAGAAUAAAGAAAGAAGAAGAAAACAAAACAAAGUCAUAAAACAAGGCUUUUCAAUCCCCGAUGAAUAUCAGCAGUCUAAAUACCCCAGCAAAUAGAACAUGAAGAGAUUGUCUAGGAUGUUUUAAGCUAGGAAAAUGAAGAAAACGACAAGCAUUAACCAUGAAUAUUUCAUGUUAUCAUCAACUCUAAAGAGCAGACUGAUAAGAAUCAACUUAAUAACUCUUGUUGAAAUAAGAUUAAAUUUGCAGGCACAUCUUUCUUGGAAUAGACAACACAAUAACCCUGACCAUGCUCGACCUUGAGGUAAGUUAUAAAAUGUUCUUCCUAACUAGAUGCACAGGUGCGCCUUUGGGGUGAAGUGAACUAGGUCAUUUGUUUUGCACUUUCACAUGCUCUUAACUUUCAACUCAAUCAAUCACAAUACAGUCCUUGGUUAGGACUAACUGUCCUACUCAAGCUUUCACCUCAUACUCAAGACCAGCUGAGCAGUCCUAAAAAGAAAGAUAUAUCAUGUAGGGUUAUCAAGGCAGACCUAUUGUUUUUAUUUUUUUUCGCGUUAACAUGACCAAAUUAUAAAAUUUAAAGUUCUUUUCUUUCUUUCUUUUUUCCAUGUGUGAGCGAGCAUAAAACCCAAGGAUAUCGUAUUGUUGUUAAGAACACAAUAAUUUUGAAGAAUUCAGUAAAUUCCAAAAAAGAAGAAUCCACCAAACAGCUCAUUUUUUGGUUAUUACAAAAUCUGAAGCCUUCUUGGCAGCGGCGGUUUCCGAGAGGCGGAGGAGGGAGGGAGGGAGUGAGAGCUCGGGUGGGGAGAGGUGAGGAAUGCUGGGCCCAAGUGAAAUGGAUGACUUUAUUCUUUUCCAGAUUCCUUCUAAAAAAAUUAACGAGUAAACACUAGCUUGCUCGCUCGCUCGCACGCACGCACGCAUAUGAUAAUUAAAAUUUGAGUUAAAUUCUAUUUAACUAGUGUCUGUAUUUGUGUUAAACAAACAGAUUAAUCCCUCAAGUUCAUUUAAAUAACUAAUUGAUCCUUGAAUCACAUUUUACCGUUAAGUUAGCGGCACAAACUAAGGAAAUAUUGCUGACAGCUCAACAUUUUACUAACGAAAAAUUUAUGAAGGGACCGCAUUGUAAACAUAUUUAAAAGUAUAGGGAUUAGUUAGAACAGCUAGUUAUCAGUUAUCACUGCCUCUGAGAAUUAAUAUACAGCUCAGCAUUUUGUUGAAGGGACGGGCAAAGGUACAUUUAUUUCCGUUAACUUUCUAAUAUUAGAUCUUGCUUCAGUACACUUUAUUAAAUUUAUUUUAAUAUAUUAAAUAAUAUAAAGCACAAAACAGAUCAUAAUAAAAUACAAUAAAAACAAGUUGUGAUAUAUUUGUUGCACAUGGCAAUCUAUAAAUGAAGUGGUUGGACCUCAAUUUUCAAUUUUUUUAUUUAAAAUUAAUUUUUAUUUUAGAUUAUUUUGAUGUAUUGAUAUUAAAAAUAAUUUUUAAAAAUAAAAAAAUUAUUUUAAUGUAUUUUCGAGUUAAAAACAUUUUAAAUACAAUCACACUUUCAACCACCCUCAAAUUGUUUGAUAUACACUUUCAACAUGACAAGGAUUGAUCAUUGUCUUAUCCAAAGUUUUUCUCCGGAUAAGAAAUUUGUAAAAAAAAAUAUUUUUUCUUAAUUUUGUAUUUUGUAUUUAUCGCUUAUUUAUCUUUUAAUUCGAAAAACUAAAAUUUGACCAAUUUUAUUGAAAUAGAUAUGUGCAUGUAAGAUUUUAAUUGCAAAAUCUUUUUGAUUUAAGAACUAGAUUGUUCUAGAUGACAGAAAUUCUAGUAAAGACUAAAAUAUCAUAAAAAUAAAAAUAAAACAAAUAAUUGAAAAAAUAUCAAUAAUAAAAACAAAAUUAUUUGAUCUUGUCUCGUGUGCAUCAAACAUAGAAUAAAAACAUAUAUUAUCUAGUUCAAUUCAAUUCAAUCUUAAAUAUUGUUUAGUAUUUAUAUUAUCAUUUUCAAACUAUAAUAACUAACGCAUUUUUAGUUUCAAUUUACAUACAAACUCAUCUAAUGAUAUUUUUAUUGUUAAAAAAAUAUCAUAAUUUGGAAUUCCAAAAAAAAAUUCUAUUGGAAAAAUGUUCUACAAAAAUAAAAAGAAAUGUGGAAAUAUACUUAUAUAUUAUAAAUUAAUGGAAAUACAUCAAAUUAUUGAUAAUGUCAAAAUGUUGCAUGGCACUUUAAUCACAUGUCUCCUUCUCCUCCUCCUCCUCCUCCUCCUCCUUACAAUUGUGUUUCAAAAUAUAUGAUAAGAGAAAGGCUUGAAUGACAACAUACACGUUUCUAUAUGCUAUCAAAAGGUAAUAUUUGAUUACAAUCCUGAACAAAAGAGACGAAAACCAUGAAAAUAAAGGAAACAAGAUAGAAAAGAAUUUGAAAAUAUAAUUAUGUCUAGUAGUAACUAUUUAUAUAUCUUAUUUGAUAAUGAUAAAUAAAUAAAAUAAAAUAUAAAAAAUUAUUUUAUCUUUAAUAUGUAUUAUUAUUAAACUUAUACAUUUAUACAAAUAAGUUUGUAUUAAGUGUUAAAAUUAAUAAUAUUAUGAUAACCCUAAUUAUAAAGCCUACACUGGCCUAGUGGAUCGAUUCGGGACUUAGUCGUCUCUAGACCUGGAUCAAUACAAGUUUAAGAAAAGAUAAGGUGAAUUAAAAAACCUUCUUGAUUCAGGAUAAAGCAUGGGUUGACUUAGGAUAAAACACGGGGCAAAACCCAUUGUUUUUUUUUUUUUUAAAAUGGUCAAAACAAGGUUGUGUUGAUUCUCAUUUAAAAAAAAAAAAUUUGGGUCAACUCGAGUUGACCCUCCCAACUCAUGACCCAAGCUUUGCCUCAGAUCGAAUCUUAGAUGAAGUUUCAAAACUAUGAUAAUAAUUAUUUUUAUCUAUGCAUUAAUCCUCCUGACCCAAGACUUGAGCUUAUAUCAGGUCAAUCCCUGAGUUGAGUUUUAAAAAUAUUGUAAUAACCAUUUUUAUCUUGACAUUGACCCCGUUCAACCAGAGUUGACCCUCCUGACUUGUGACUUGAGCCUUGCCCUAAGUCAACCUUCAAGUUAAGUUUUAAAAUUAUAAUAAUAACCAUUUUUAUUUUUUUAUUGACCUGGGUCAAUGGUCAACCUAAACAAUAACUCGAGCCUUGUUCCAGGUCGACUCUCGUGUUAGAUUUUACAACUAUAAUAAUAACUAUUUUUAUGCUUACCUUGAUUUGGGUCAACAAGGAUCACAUAUUUUACUCCAAGUCAACCCCCAAGUUGGGUUUUAAGACUACAAUAAUAACUAUUUUUAUUUUUACAUGUCUUAGUUAGGCAAUUUUGAAAUUGAAAGUUUUUUACAAUGAUAUUUUAUGAAUAAAAAAUAAUAAAUAUUGUUUAUAAAGAUAUGUCUUAUUUGUACUUUCUAUUUUGAAAGUCCAUAAAUUCACUGUAAAAUUAUCCUGUAAAAAUAUUAUUUUUAUAUCUAUUUUUAUUUUCAAUUAAACACAUUUUUGUCUCUACUAUUUUCAUUCUUUUUAUCCUAAGAUAAUAACUAAAUGCUACACUAGAGUUUAAUAAUGAUAUAAAUGCGAACAUCUUAACUUCGUAAAAUCAAAUGAGUAAAGAAGAAGACAUAAAAGGGAAGUUCAUGUUAAUUUUAUAAAAUCAUAGUUAUUAUAUCUUGCUUAAAGCUUGAUUCGGCUAAAAUCCUAGAUUAGCAAGUUAUAGGUCAACCUAUUAAGUUAAUGAGUUGACUAGUAUAUCAAUUAUGAUAAUAAAUUAUACAUAUAAUAUUAAAUCUAAAUGUUUCAUACAUGUUGGUUUUGGUGGGUUGGUAAUUUUUUUGUGUCAAUAAAAAAACACCAAGAUUCAAACAUUACUGUAUGAAUAUUUUUUUCAAAGUCAACCUUUAAAUCAACUAGGUUUUAAAAUUUAGUAGUUAAACUCACAAAUCAAUCAUUUGAUUUAUGUGAUAGGCCUAUAUUUAAGAUGAACAUUUACCAUAAAUGAAAUGUAUCUUACAGUAUCAGACUUGUUAUUAUAAAACAUGUUUUUGUUAAAGAGUUAUUGAUACUUCAAAUGCAAAAUGAUGAUAUAAAACCUUGAUAAAAAUACACUUUUAAGUAUUAAUCAAUGUUCUACUAGAAUGUAGGAGAAGCAUAGAGAGUGGGACCCGACUUCUCACGUGCAAGUACAACAGGAGUUCAAGGUAAGGGUUGCCCCCUUGCUUCUUUAAAAUGUUUAAAUUCUUGUAAAGCUAAUAUGUUAUAGACAUUAUAUGUAUCAUGUACUACUGUGUAUCAUGAGAAAUAUGUCCUAUAUGAACAUUGUCUACGGGUAGUAUAAAUAUUGUUGCGUGAAAGUUACCAACAAGUAGGAGAAAUAUUAUUAUUGUGUGAACGUUGCCAAUGAGCAAGAAAUGUUAUUACAAUGUGAAUGUUGCCUACGAGCAAGGAAAAAAAUAUUAAUUCUAUGUGAAUGUUGCCUACGGGUAGGGAAACAAAUACUAAUUCUAUGUGAAUAUUACCUACAAAACAGAGAAAUAAUAUUAUUAUAUGAAUAUGUCCACCUAGUGAAUAUGACUAAAGAAAGGAAAGAUACAAUGAAACAAACAUGGAUUUGAAAUUUGAAUUUUGUUCGUAGUCUCUAGGAUUUGGAGUUUGGAUAUGGGUCUAUAUUAUGUUUAUAUAUAUAAAAAAAAGAAAAAGAAAAGAUUGCCUAUGGACUUAAUUACCGACCUCGAAUAGGGGUAGCUAAUGAUGUUAACAAAUAUUGUUAACAUUGGCAUGAUCUUGAUGGAAAUAUAAUGAAUAUUGAACUUGAUUAACUAUUUGUAUCACUAAUAGUUAAUGAUAUUGAUGAAUAAUGUUUGUAUCGACAAGCCCAUACUAACUAACUUGAUUAACUUUAUAAGGUUGAAGUUAAUGGUGUCAUGAGAACUUGGCAUCGGCAUUUCUGGAAAUAUCUCCAAUUGUGAUGGAGAGUAAUUGAUUGACUAUUUCGGGUUGGAAAUAGCUCAAUGGCAUCGAUCGAUUAAGUUGGUGUCGGCAUUGCUAAGGAAUUGAUUAGUUUAUCUAGGUAAGGGUGACUAAUGACACUAAUAGGAGUUAUUAGUGUUGGCAGUGACUGCCUUAGAAUUUGGGGCGGAAGAAAAAGGGUAAAUCAUACAAAAGUUAAUGUGUGAUAAUCGAAAAGAAAACCAUAAGUAGGUUGUGGAAGGAUAGGUGUUAGAUGUAGUAAAUGAUCUUCUUUUACGGAUCAACUAUGAUUAUGCCCUAUCAAGUGGGUACACAUAUGCGUAGUUACAUGUAGUAGUGACCCUCCAUUAUCUGGUUGUAUUUUAUUUAUUUAAUAUAAUUAUUCUCUUAUUUUGAUGUUUUAGGUCUUUCUCAUUCCCAUCAGGAGUAGUGUCCUAGGUGUCUAGUUCUUUUGUAUGAAUUAGGGAAUUAUCAUUUCCAAUUCUUUUGUAUAACUUAGGGUUAGCAUCUUUAUUUCUUCUGUGUGAACCUGGGAUGAAAUGGAUGUUGUAUUUUCUUUAGAUAAUUAUAUGACAGGAACGAUGUUAAUGUUCCUUUAUCUUAAUCUUAGAGACCUUUAGAAUUUUAUGCUUGUAAUAUUAAUGUUAUUAAUCAAGUUUAUUACUAUUAGUUUGUGUUGUAAAUUAUAUGUUCGAAAUGAAUCCUUGGAUUUGCAAUAUAUUAUGAUUAAUAAUAAUUUUAUGCUUGUAAUAUUAAUGUUGUAGGAAUUAAUUUUAAAUGCUUACGAAAUCGCCGGGCAUUACAUUACUAAUAAGGCUAGCUACCAAAUCCUCACCCACCGAUGUAGGAUAUUACAAUCCACCUCCCUUAUGGAGCCCGACGACCUCGUCGGCACAACUGGAUAUCCAGUGAGGUUGGCUCCGAUACCAAAUAUCACAACCCGCCCCAACUUGGAAAAUAUUAUUGGUUUUGGGCCUUACCGCCAUCACAAAUUUGUUUUUAGAAGCCACGCAUAGCUCCAAAACGUAUCUGACAAGUCAACAACCAACAAUACUAAUAAGGCUAACUAUCAAAUCCUCACCCGCCGAUGUGAGAUAUCACAAUGCACCCUUCUUAAGGAGCCCGACGAUCCCAUCGGCACAACCGAACAACCAGUGAGGCCGACUCUGAUACCAAAUGUCACAGCCCGAUCCAACCUGCUAAAUAUUGUCCGCUUUAAGCCUUACCACUCUCACAGAUUUGUUCUUGGCAGCCACGCAUGGCUCCAAAACACGUUUGACAAGUUAGCAAUAGUUAGCUACUAAAUCCUCACUCAUUGAUGUGAGAUAUUAUAUUAAAAAUAUACAAGUUUGUAUACUAGUGUUAUGCUUUGGAGAUAAAAAACCCUUUAACUGUAAAACAAAAUAUCCAAGUCUAAGGGAACUCAUUAGCAUUAUUAUUAAACUUGAAAAUACAGUAGUUUUGAAUUUUUCUCCAUCAAGAUAAUUUUUCUUAUUAACAUAUUUUUUUUUGUUUAUCCUGGUGAAUGCAAGCUUUUUUUUCUUUACUAGAAUCAUUGUUUCUAUUAAAAGAAUAUUCUAUAAUUGUCACAACAAAUUAAAAAAAAAUAAUCAAAAUAGUAUGUUAAUAUUUUUAUGUGUGAUUGAAAGUUAAAAAAAUAAUAAAUAUGAUAAAAUCAUGCUCAAAAUAUAUUUAAAAAUUCUAAGAUUAAUUAAAAAAGUGAUUUAAAUUGAACUUUCAUGAACAAAUUUUUAUGGCAUAUAUAUAAUAAUUGAAAACAAUUAUUAAAAUUUAAAUAAAAAUUUAUAAAACAAGGCUUGCGCAUCUGACCUUGUUUUAUAUUUUUAUUAAACUCUACUCGAAUGCUGGAGCUCUAUCAGUUGUUCCUCUAUUUUUAUUAUCCCAGCAUUAGUUGUUGACAAAAAAAACUGGAAACAUCCUCUCGUGGUUGCUAGGAGUUGGGAGUCACAAAAAUUUACAUGACUAGAUGAGAUAAUAACAACAUCCUUGUAGAUGAGGUUGCCGAUGCGUUGCGGUUGCUGCACAUUGCGAUGUCUUUGCAGAUGAAACCCACUAGCUGCUGAUGCAAAGCUUGUUGAAUUUGCCACAUGUUGAGCUUGGGCUUGCAUAAAAGCAUUAGUGUAGAUUAGUUGAGUCUGUUGCAGUGCAUACUUUUUUAACUGCUACUGCUACUGCCGCUUUGAACAAGAUUUUGAGGAAAUGCAGAAGUGCAUUAGGUAACUUGGUACCCAUAGAUGAUGAUGAUGAGAUGUGGUCCGAAUAAACACUUCCAUUACUAGUUGUUGGUGUUUCACUAUGAAUGGAAGCUGCAGCUGCAAAUUGUCUCACAGGAAUUGUUGAAACAGAGGAGUCUGUUAAAUAUAGCCAAGAGAACACAAUUGACUGCCCAACAGUUAAUGGGGUCUGUCCUCCAACCAUAUCGGCCUUCCUCUCUCCUUCCAUAUUUGAAGUGUCAUUUCCUCCAUUUUCCCCUUCUUCAGGCACACGGUAAUUCAUCUGUUGUGUUGCUUGGGCCGCAGUGAUGAAGUGAUAGCCAUGCCUUGCUGCCGUUGGAGGGCUUUGGAGAAGAGCAUGAUUCUGAACCAGCAAUGAAACAUCAAGACCUAGGAAAGUUGUGGUUCCGUUGAUGGAGCAAAUGACAUUGCAAAAGGAGGAGGUGUUUGUGAGUAACAUUCUGAUUUUGCAUCAGCUGCCGCUACUAGUUCGGCAGGGAAUGAUUCUGUUGAUGAUUCUACAGAUAGUUGGAUCUUGAUGAUCGCUGCUGAUUCCACCUAAUUCACUCCCAUGUGGUUUAUGCUGCUGAUUCUGCAAAUGCUUCUGAUUCUGAUGACGAGGAGCCACUAGAAAUACUUGGAUUUUAAUGACCCUGUUGGCUUUGUUGUGUCUGUAUGAAUGGUUGUUGCUGUCGCUGAAGCUGUGAAGGAUGAAGCAUUCAAGAAGAAAAAAAUUGAUCCAUUGAAGAAAGACAGCCUGAGGAUGGGUUCCUUUGUAAGUUGUUGUGGCCCCCAACAUGUUCAGGGAUUGGAAUCUCGUACGCACCAUUUUGCAAAAUUGCCAGGGAAGUUUGGGUAGUUGAAGCUCAUUGUUGUAGCACCAGUUAUUGUUGAUGUCGUGGCAUUUAUUGAAGCAGAACUUUAGCUACUUGAAGAAGCUACAUUGCUAGCAACAGGGGAAGGCCUCACACUGGCUAGUUGAAUAGAAGCUUUUACUACUGCAGUAGCUUGUUAUUGAUCCAUUGGGAAGAUGAAAGCGAGCCCUUGCUUGAAAAAUCUUAUUAUGAGCCCUAGGGGGCAGAACUCGCUGAAGCAAAAUCUGCAAGGGCCUAAAUACAAAAAAAAAAAAAAAACGUUAUGUACAAGUUGAAUAAGAAAUUGGAUAGCUGAUAGAAUUGAUGCAGGCAACAAGGAAAAUAUGGGGAGUCGCUAGCAAGGUCAUUUAUGUUACAAUGAUAUGUUCUUAUUUAUUGCUUUUCUGAAUAAGAGAUCAUGUUCUUAUAUCAUAUACAAGGCUGCUAAGUAUGGAAAGUAAUAACUAUUUACACAUAAAUUGGCUGGGAUCAUGGUGAUACAUAUUUUGUGGAGCUAAUGGAUUCUAUCCUCGUGAUUUCAGCAAUUAAUCUCAAUGAUAGUUCAUGCCAACACUCUCCCUCGAGUUGGUGCACAGAUGCCUUUAAUGCCCAACUUGUCUAGCGAGUUAUAAAACAUCUUGCUUGAAACAACUUUUGUGAGAAUAUCCACUAGAUGGUCUUCUGAUAUUACAAAUGGGAAUUGAACUAUCUUGGCCUCAAGCUUUUCUUUGAUAAAAUAUUGAUCUAUUUCAACAUGUUUUAUCUUGUCAUGUUGAACUGGAUUUUGUGCAAUUUGUAUAUUUGCUUUAUUCUCACAAAACAACCUCAUGGUUGGCCAAGAUGAGUAGCCAAUUUCUUCCACCAACUCCCUUAACCAAAGAAGCUCGCAAAGUCCUUUGUCCAUGCCAAGAAACUCAGUCUCUGCACUAGAUAAUGCCUCAACUUUAUGUUUCUUACUUCUCCAAGUGACUAAGUUUUCUCCACAAAAGUGAAAUACCCAAAAAUAGACUUUCUAUCAACAAUGUUUCCGACUCAAUCUGCAUUUUUAUACCUAUCAAUGUUUAGGUGGUUAUACUUCAUGAACAUAAGCCCUUUUCCUAGAGAUGCCUUCAACUAUCAUAAGAUCCGGAUCAUAGCUUCCAUAUGCUCUUCACUUGAGCUAUGCAUAAACUAACUCACCAAGUUCACAACAUAGGUAAUGUCUAGUCGAGUAUGAGAUAAAUAAAUCAACUUCACAACUAACUGUUGAUACCUUUCUUUAUUAGUGGGUAUUUGAUUUGGAUGCUCUCCUAGUUUGUGGUUUUGGACUGUUGGUGUGUCUGCUGGUUUACAAUCAAGUAUACCUGUCUCAGCUAGUAGGUUAAGUACAUAUUUUCUUUGUGAGAGAAAUAUCCCUUUACUUGAUCGAGCCACUUUAAUCCCCAAAACAAAUUUUAGUCCUCCAAGGUUUUUCAUUUCAAACUCAUUCGUUAGAUGUUCUUACAAGCUCAAGAUCUCCUCCUCAUCAUUUCCUAUAAUUAUCAUAUUUUCGACAUAAAUUAAAAGGCAGUUACCAUUUUCCCUUGAUGUUUUAGGAAUAAAGUGUGAUAUGAAUUUCUUUGUUUGAAGCUGUACUUCUUCGUGGCUAAACUAAACCAUCCAAACCACAUCCUUGGUGACUAUUUUAGACCAUAUAGUGCCUUCUGCAACUUGCACACUACUCCAGCAUAUGAGGUAGCAAAGCCUGGUGGGACAUCCAUAUACACUUUUUCUUCAAGGUUCCCAUGAAGGAACACAUUUUUGACGUCGAACUAUUGGAGUGGCCAAUCUAAAUUCACAGAGAUUGACAGCAAUGCCCUGAUUGUAUUUAAUUUUUCCAUGGUGAAAACUUCCCCUGAUAGUCAAUGCCAUAUGAUUACGUAUAUCCUUUUGCGACAAGCCUUGCCUUGUAUCUAUCAGCCUUGUAUUUAAUAGAGAAUACCUAUUUACUUCCUAUUGCUUUCUUCCCUUUUGGUAGUGGCAUGAUCUUCCAUGUUUCAUUCUUUUGUAAAGUUGCCAUUUCUUCUAUUAUUACUUGAUUCCAUUUUGGAUUACUCAAGGCUUCUUGCACUGUGUUUGGGAUGUGUUCAGAAGACAGCUUUUGCACAAAGGUCUUGAGUGGCUGUGACAAUCUUUGGGUAGUGACAUGAUUAGCAAUUGGAUAUUUAAUUUUCUCCUCUCUAUGGUCUGGUGAGUAUCGACUUGGUGGCUUGCUGCGGUUGCACCUAUGAGGUAAUUUGUAGCCAACAAAACUAUCUUUAAUAUUAUUAAGAGAGAGAUUUGGGAACUGUACCUCAGGAUUAUUCUUAGGACAAUGGUUGUUUGAUACUGAACCGAGAGGGGGCUGUUCUUGUUCUUGUUCAUUCUCUGUCUUGUUAUUCUACCCAACUAUUGUGUUUGUGUCUCUAAACCAUGGCCAGUUCUCCCAAUUACAACCAUGGUCUAUAUUCUGCUCUUCACCAAUCAUCUCCCCCUGAAGAGAAUAAUGAGAACCUGGCUCUUGAAAGAAGUAUUUAGUUUCUAGAAAUGUAACAUCCAUUGUGAUGUAAAGGCGUCUUGUUAUAGGAUCAUAGCAUUGGUAGCCAUUCUUAUACUGUGUAUAGCCUAGGAAUAUACAGCGGACUGCACAUGGAUGAAGUUUGGUUCUUUGAUUUUUGUGAAGAUGGACAUAAGCUACGCAUCCAAAUAUCUUUGGUGGAAGCAUAAGUAUAGACGGGAGAGGCACAUGAUGGGCGAGAGCUUGUAAUGGAGUACUAAAGUUUAACACCCUAGACGACAUUCGGUUCAACAAGUAGACCGCAGUUGUGACUACAUCUGUCCAAAACCGUGGAGGUGCAUUUACUGCUGUUAAGAAGGCCCAAGUUGUUUCUAAGAUAUGUCUAUUCUUCUUCUCUGCAACAACAUUUUGCUGUGGUGUUUGGGAGCAUAUUGUCUCAUGGUAUAGCCCACAUGUUUGGAAGUACUCUUGUAACUCUUUAUUGUCAUACUCCCCACCAUUGUCAGAACGAAGGAUUUGAAGUUUGGUAGAGAAUUGGGUUUUGAUCAUAUUAUGGAAAGAGCGAAAAAUCCUUGCUACCUCAUUCUUACUUUUCAUCAAAUAUAACAAUGUCAUGCGUGUGCAGUCAUCCACAAAAAUCACAAAUCAUCUGAUGCCUCAAGAAACUGAAACGGGAGCUGGUCCACAUAUGUCCGAGUUAAUUUACAUAAAUGGUGUCUCACACUUUUUGAAUUUAUUGGAUAGGAAACUUGAUGGCUUUUAGCUAAAAUGUAGGUUUUACAUUUUAACAUUGUAUUGUCUGAGUUGCAAAACAAACUAGGAAAUAAAUGUUUUAAGUAGGAGAAUGACGGGUGUCCCAAGCAGUGAUGCCACAACCAGAUAUCAUGUUCUUUGUUACCAAGAUGACGAACAUUGUUCGCCUUGUUAGAAUUGAAAAUAACUUAAACAAUACAGUAAACUUAACAAUGCAGUUUACGUAAAGAAAAAGCAAUUUGAUUUUAAGAUGGCAGAGUUGAGUAGAAAGAUCAAUACUUUUCAUUAACUUCAAAUGCAUAUAAAUAGGAUUACAUAGAACUUGAAAUGAUGAACUCUCAACAAACUUGAGAGAUUAUUGGAAUUGAAAUAACAAACUCAGCAGAAAGUUUCUGCUGCAAUCUGAAGAAGCUAACGAAAAUUCAAAUAUUUAAAAACUACUCUUAACUCUAUCUUUCAAGGCAAAAACUCAUAAUUCUAACACUCCUCCUUGAGACUUGCCUUGACAAACCAAGUUUCAUCCUUAGAAAUUCCAGUCUUGAUCUAGGAAGAGCUUUAGUCAUUAUAUCAGCAAGUUGAACAUCUGUUGGACAAUAGAGUAUCUUUAUAAGCUUGUUCUUCUCGGCUUCUCUUAUAGAAUGAAACUUCACAUUGAUGUGCUUGGUUCUGCCAUGUUGAACCGGAUUUAGAGCAAUAGCAAUGGCAGAUUUGUUGUCACAAUAAAGCUCAGUUUGUGAGCUUUGUUCUUGACCCAAAUCAGCAAGCAAUUUGUUCAACCAAAUUGCUUGAUUUGCAGCAGCUGCCAUUGAGAUAUACUCUGCUUCAGCUGUUGAUUGUGCCACCACCUCCUGCUUCUUUGCAUUCCAACAAAUUGCACCUGAACCAAUAUUAAAAACAUAUCCAGAGGUGCUCUUCAUGUCAUCAACACUCCCUGCCCAGUCACUGUCUGCAUAACCAAUCAGAUUUACUCCUCCUGUCUUCAAGUACCAGAUGCCAAGAUCAGUUGUUCCUCUGAUGUACUUCAACACUCUUUUAGCAAUUCCCAUGUGAAUGUUGCUAGGUGAGCUCAUAAACCUUGACAGCAAACCAGCUGGAAACAUUAAGUCAGGUCUAGUUGCUGUCAAGUAUAGCAAACUGCCCACUAGGCUUCUAAAUCCAGAGGGAUCUUCAAGUUUCUCACCAUCAUUCUUUGAAACUUUCUCAUUUUGUGCUAAAGGAGUUGCUACUUCUUUGCAUGACUCAAGCUUGAACUUCUUGAGUAUAUCAACAACAUACUUCCUUUGUGAAACAAAAAUACCCGAACUACAUUGAUGUAUUUCCAUUCCAAGAAAGUAGUUCAUAAUGCCAAGAUCAGACAUUUCAAAAACAUCUUGCAUUUCAGUUUUGAACUCUUCCAGCAACUUUGCAUUGCUUCCAGUAACUAGCAUGUCAUCUACAUAGAGUGAUAUCACCAGCUGCAAACCAUCUUCAUCUUGUUUCAGAUAUAGGGUAGCUUCAUUUUCACUUCUUUUGAAUCCUAGUUGAAUCAAAUGAGUAUCAAUCCUGCUGUACCAAGCCCUUGGUGCUUGCUUCAAACCAUAAAGAGCUUUGUGUAGCUUGUAAACUUUGUGUUCAUCACCAGCAAAACAAAGCCUUCUGGUUGCUGAACAUAAAUUUCCUCAAGUAGUAUUCCAUUUAGAAAAGCAGACUUCACAUCUAAAUGAUAAACUUUCCAUCCUUUUUGUCCCGCAAGAGCAAGUAGGAGUCUUAUAGUGUCAUGCCUAGCUACUGGUGCGAAAGUAUCUCCAUAAUCCACUCCAGCAACUUGAGCAAAACCUUUAACAACCAAUCUAGCCUUGUGUUUGAAGAUUGAACCAUCUGGAUUGAAUUUGGUUCUGAAAACCCACUUCACUCCAAUUGCCUUUUUAUCUCCAGGAAUUUCAGUCAAUCUCCAAGUCCCAUUUCUUUCAAUGGAAUCAAUUUCUGAUUUCAUUGCUUCAAUCCAAGCUGGAUCUCCUGCAGCUUCAGAGUAAUUUGUAGGCUCAGCAUGUACAAGGUUACAUCUUUCAUACACAUCAGACAAUUGUCUAACCUUAAGUACUGUUGUAUCUGAAGUUGCUUCAAUGGCUUGUUGAUCUUCAUCAUCAAUACUUUGUACUGGUGAUUCAAGGCAGCUGUGAUAGUCUGUUGAACUUCUUUUAAGUCCCAAUUCCAGCAGGCAUUUUCAUCAAAUUGCACAUCUCUGCUGACCUGAAUUUUGGCUGAAUUCAGAUUGAAAACUCUGUAACCUUUUGAUUCUGUUGCAUAUCCCACAAGAAUCCCUUUUUCUGCUCUAGCAUCCAGUUUUCCUCUUUUGGCAGAUGGAACAUGAAAAUAGCACAAUGAUCCAAACACUUUUAAAUGUUUGGCAGUAGGCCGGACUCCAGACCAUGCCUCCAAUGGUGUUUUGUUUUGAACAGACUUGGUUGGAAGUCUAUUAAGCAAGUAUACUGAAGUAUUUACUGCUUCAGCCCAUAGAAACCUUGGCAACUUCUUUUCAAACAAUAUACAUCUGGACAUCUCCAUCACUGUUCUAUUCUUCCUUUCAGAAACUCCAUUCUGCUGUGGAGAGUAAGGAGUCGUCAGCUGGUGCACAAUUCCAGCUUCUGAACAAAAGGCAUUAAACUCCUUCGAAAUAUACUCUCCACCAUUAUCAGUUCUCAACACUUUGAUCUUCUGACCACUUUGAGUUUCAGCCAUGCUUUUGAAGUUUUUGAACAUAGAUAAAGCUUGUGACUUGUUUUUCAGAAAAUAAACCCAAGUCAUUCUGCUGUAGUCAUCAAUGAAUAAUAUAAAAUACACAUUAUUAUUCAAAGAAGCUGUGCUCAUAGGUCCACAUAUGUCUGAGUGAACCAGCUCCAGCAUGUGUGUUGCCCUUUUGGAUAUACCUUUAGGAAAUGGUUGUCGAUGCUGCUUUCCCAGUUCACAACUUCCACAUGUAUGAGCAGUAACAUGUAUUGCAGACAUGUUUUCUACCAUUCCAGUAUCAUACAGCAACUUUAAUGAAUUAAGAUUGUAAUGACCGAAUCUUUUGUGCCAAAGAAUGCUUUCAUCAAUCUUUGCACUAAACACAUGUCCAUUAACAGCAUCAAGCUUCAAAUAGAAGCUAUUACCAUCCAUUUUGAUUUUUGCUAUCUCUGAAUUAUGUGUAUCAGUGAUAAAGCAAAAUUUCUCUUUAAAAGAGACUUCAUAACCAUUCUUGAGCAUUUGUGCAACACUAAGGAGAUUCUGAUCUAGUUCAGGAAUGUAAAGAACAUUUGUGAUGGUUUUAAUACCUCUAUUUGUGCUGACUGCAACAGUUCCUUUCCCCUUAGCUUGCACAAUAUCUCCAUUUCCCAGCUUAAUCUUCGGUUGAACUGAUCUGUCAAUAGAGGAGAAAAUUGACAGAAAUUUGGACAUGUGACUUGUGCAGCCACUGUCUAUAAGCCAUGUAUUCAGUUCAGAGGUAUUGCUAGCUUGUGUUGCCAUAAACAAAUGCUCCUCCUCAUCUUUGCUUUCUUCAGAAACAUUUGCUUGUUGUUGUAUUUGUUGCUGAGGUUGCUUCUUCUUGAUUCUGCAAUAUUUCUCACUGUGACCGAGAUUAUUACAGAAUAAACAUUGAAGAGAAGGUUUCCCCUUAAACCAGCAAUCUUUCUCAGUAUGGUUAGUUCUUCUGCAAUAAGAACAUGGUGAGAAAGUCUGUCUUUUUGAAGGUAUACUUGAUUUCCUUUUAGCAUACUUGACAGGUUUGUUUCUUGGUAGAUUACCAGCACUCCUUUCCCUGUUGUUUGCUUGGAAAGCCCCUUCAACUGCCUCAUCAUCUCUCAUAUGAACUCUUUGCUCCUGAAUAUGAAGUUUGCUAAUUAACUCAGCAAUAGUCAGACUUUGCAGAUCGCAAGAUUCUUCUAUUGCUGAGAUUUUAGCUUCAAACUUUUGAGGAACAGACAUCAUAAGUUUUUCUACUACCUUAUGAUCUUCAAAUGUGUUUCCAAGAAGCCUCAUUUGAUUUACAACAUCCAUUAAUCUGCCAGAAUAAUCUUUGACAGAUUCAUUGUCUUUCAUCUUCAUCAACUCAAAUUCCCUCUUAAAUGCAAGAAGUUUAACUGCUUUGACUCUGCUGCUGCCUUCAAAUUCAACUUGAAGCUUAUCCCAUACCUGUUUUGGUGUUUCCAGAUUCAUUAUAUUUGUAAAAAUAUGAUCUGCAAGACCAGAAUGAAGACAUGUAAUAGCUUUGUCCUUCUUGAGCUUUUCUUCUUCAUGUGCUUUCAUUUGAGCAAUUGUUGGAUUUGCAUUCAAUGGUGGAGGAUCAGAAUCGGUUGCCACAACAUUCCAUAAGCCAUGAGACCUUAAAUAAAAUUUCAUUUUGACAGCCCAAAUAUGAUAGAGUUCUCCACUAAACAUUGGAAUUGCAGAUACAAUAUUAUUUGAAGAAGACAUUGACAAAAAACAGAAAGAAAAUAACUCUCAAGUGUUUCGCUCACCCUCUCUGUGUUUGCCUCACCUUCUCUUAUUAUUGUCACUCAAAAGAAAGAAAAAUUGUUUGCCCCACAGCCCGUAGGAUCUAAUGCUCUGAUACCACUGUUAGAAUUGAAAAUAACUUAAACAAUACAGUAAACUUAACAAUGCAGUUUACGUAAAGAAAAAGCAAUUUGAUUUUAAGAUGGCAGAGUUGAGUAGAAAGAUCAAUACUUUUCAUUAACUUCAAAUGCAUAUAAAUAGGAUUACAUAGAACUUGAACAUGACUGAAACUCUCAACAAACUUGAGAGAUUAUUGGAAUUGAAAAUAACAAACUCAGCAGAAAGUUUCUGCUGCUAAUCUUGAAGAAGCUAACCGAAAAUUCAAAUAUUUAAAACUACUCUUAACUCUAUCCUUAUCAAGGAAAAAACUCAUAAUUCUAACACGCCUGACAAUACUGAAGUCAUCAAUGCAGUACAACCCCCCUUGUUUAGUACUACAACCAAUAAUCUCCUUAGUUAGAAUAUCAUGAAACAAGCAAAUUUUAGGAUAGAUUAGUGGGCAGCAGUUCAAAUCCUCAGUAACUUGUCCUACCAAUAAUAAUUUAUUGGAAAGAGUUGGAACAAGUAGAGUGUUUGAUAAAGAAAAAGAGGAUGACAGUGCCACUUCUCCAGCCCCAGUAACUGGAUAUUUUUCACUGUUUGCAUUGGUUAUGCUUGUGAUCUGUUUUGGUUGAGUCGUUUCAAUAAAGUCUUGUGGAUUGAAUGUCAUGUGAUUAGUUGUCCCAGAAUCAAUAAUCCAACCGUGGUUCCUGAUUCAUUCUGGGCUAGGGAAUAAUUUGCUGCUGCUAGUGAAAAAUCCUCCUGAGAUAUAUGAGAAAGGUGAGGUUUGAUGGAAGAAAAAGAAGUGCUCUCAGCUCUGACAAGUGUAGCCCGACCUCUUUCACGCUUUUUCUUUGUCUUGAGUUCAUGCCACCAGCUUGAAACAGGUUUCCUUAGUAUGUUUCAUAUUCCCCCAGUGUACAACCACCUCCCCCAGCUUGUGUUUUUGAUUUCAUGCCUAGCUUCCCAUCUGUUACCAUCUGAAGAGAAGGUUGCUGUUGUGAUUUUUGUCCUCCUUUUGAUAUCAUGGCCAUGCUGGAAAUGGUAUCUGCUUUUGAUAGCAUCACCAUUUGUCUUAGAUCUUCUCAUCGGACAUGGGCAUAUGUCUGUUCGAUUGUUGGAAAAGGGUGAAGUUGAAGCACAUCAGCUUGAAUCUUGUCCGAGCGACCAUCAAGUCCGUCCAAGAAAGUAUAAACUCUAUCUUCCUGUAUAAUAGAGUUAUAUUUCUGUGUAUCAACUUCACACUUCAUGGGAUUUGGACGCCGAAAAUCAAUCUCUCUCCAAAGACCUUGAAGAGUGUUGUAAUAUGUCUCAAUUGAUCCUUCCCCCUGUUUGAAUCUUGUCACCCUUCUCUUCAGAUCAUAGACUUGUGAGGUGUCGGAGCCAUCAAAACACGUUGUGACAAUAGCAUCCCAUACUGCCUUAGCCAUUGGAAAUCUGAUGUAAUUUCCAAUUAGUUUUGGAUCCAUGGAGUUGAUUAGCCAUCCUUUACCAUUGCAUUUUCAAUUCUCCACUUUCUGAAAGUAGGAUCUGUCUCUGUAGGUUGUGGAAGAUCUCCAUUCAUGUAUCCCAACUUGUCUUUACCAGAGAUAUACAUCUCGACAACUUGGGACCAGAGUCCAUAGUUCGUGUCAUUUAACUUGAUACCGAUUGGUGCAGCAACAGAUUCAUGAGUUGCUGCAGUUGUUGUCUGACUCAACAUCUAUGAUAUUCUGGAUGUUAAGUCAGCAAGGGUUGAAGGAUCUGCUUGGGAGUUUUCUAUUGGGGGGGGGGGUAAGAUCUCUCAAAUUCUGUCUUCUUUCCCUUUCUUUCUAUUAGUUCACAGAAAGAAUCAGACAGGUCCUAGAGUUGACGCACUGAUAUCAUGUUACAAUGAUAUAUUCUUAUUUAUUACUUUUCUAAAUAUGAGAUCAUGUUCUAUAUCAUAUACAAGGCUGCUAAGUAUUGAAAGUAAUAACUAUUUACACAGAAUUUGGCUGGGAUCAUGGUGAUACAUAUUUUGUAGAGCUAAUGGAUUCUAUCCUCGUGAUUUCAGCAAUUAAUCUCAAUGACUGUUCAUUCCAACAAUUUUUGGAUGAAAGGCUGUUUGGCGAUGCUGCACUAUAGUAAAGAAAAAAAAAUAGAGCCCUCGAUCACCAUCGUCACAAAGACAAGCUGAGGAUUAGCAGAGUCACAAGACACGCUGAGAAUUAGCAGACUCCUUCUAUGAUUGCUAGUAGCAAACAAUAGUCGAAUGAGGCUGACAAUAGCUCGCAGCCCUACAAUAAGAGUAGUUGUUGAUUAAUUGAAUGGAAGCAGGCAAGAACUCACAAACAAUUCUAUCAAGUUUAGUCAAGUUUCUUUCAAUGGCAAGCUCGCACCAUCCAUCAUGCAGUUGCAGGAGCAGACAUGGGUUAACACACACAUAUAAUAUGCUUUCUAAGUCUCGGUCUUUGAAUUAGAAGCAAAAUCAGAAAACAACAAACCCCAACCAAAGCCAAAUCAAACUCAGCCGAUAUAAAUCCACUCCUCAAAACAGAGAAACCUCUAUAGGAUUCUUCCCCGCUCCCUUGGAUGACUGUGUCCCUGUCUUCUCUUCCACUACUGGUCUCUAUUUCUCUGCCCUUUUCUUUAUUCUAGGCCUUUCACAAUUUCACUUUUCUCCAUGCGGUCAAAAAUAGGAAGACGGUGCAAAUGCCUUUAUAAAAGAUCUAGAGAAGUUUAAGUUACUGUUAUCAUGAGCUUUGGUUAGAAGUUUAAAGAUUAUUUCACCUGCAUAAACUCAGAAUUGUGUCCAGCAUUCAUACAAAAACAAAAAAAAAAACUUGCAGUUGUAAAAUAAAUACUGAAGAGCCAUGCAUACCUGCUAAGACCGUCGGUGAUGCUGGCCUGCUAGGUGGAUGUUACACUGUUAGUGAAGGAGAAGAAGGACUGCUUAGUUGGUAACAAAAAAGAAAGGCAAUGUGGUGUUUUUUAUAACCCCACCAGGGAGCCUGUCCUGAUUACAAAAGAAAAAAAAAAAUCCUCCUAUUCUAUGAAAAUAAGGUCGGCCACGUGCACAAGCUUUUUUUCCUCUUCGGAAAUAACAUGGUAACACAAAAGAAAAGGAAACAACAAAUUUUCUAUAAAUAGCGUGCCUUAAUUGAGAGAAAAGGAGGAAAAGAUUCUUGGAGAUAUAAAUUUCCUUCAAAACAAGCUUUUUGGGCGGUCGUUGGAACCAUCAAAAUAUAAUUUUAACUUAACUAUCACAAACAAAAUAAAUUUGUAGUAAAUAUGAUCGUGAAAACCAGGUCGAACCUAAAGGAAAAUUCAUUUCAUCUUCCUACAAUAUACUAAAUAAGAAAGAACGGGGGGUUUGAAUGAAAAAAAAUCAAGAAACAAUAAUUCCAAAAAUAAUAAAUUGAUAUGUUGUUAAAUCAGUUCAAGGGUCCACACAUCCAUUCUUAUAAUUCUGUUGGUCAUCGAAGUAAAAUAAAUAUGCUUUCAUGUCAAGCAAAUAAAUUUGAUAUUCCUUAAAGCUGAGGGAAAUAAAUGAGAUUACAAGUACAUUAAUUAGAAAAAGCUUUCUAAUAAAUUUCUUACCAUCAAGUGAAUGUAAUAUUGAAAACAAUUUGCAUUUAUUCGGUAGUAGUCUAGGAAUAAAAUAUGUGCAUUUAUUCUAAGCAAACGUUCAAAAGCUUGACAAUUUAACUUAGUUUAUUCUUCCCUAAUAAAUCAAGAUGAGAGUUGCAACAAUCAAAUUAAUUCUUUUGCUUCUUACUCUAAUCCCUAAUAACAAUCAAUGAUUGAAGAAACUAGAAAGCAUACAUGUCAUCUCAAAACAAUUCAAUAAGCUUGAAUAACAAUCAAUAACAUGAUUCUGAACAAGGGAAAAUAAAUACUUGAAUCUAAAAAAAUUACAAUGAUAACGUUACUUCUGACAACUUGCUAAUGGAGAUGGUGUGUAUUCCUUUUGAACCAAAUUCAGGAGUUUAGUUCAUAGUUCUUGGAAAAUUGACAAAGCAGAGAAGAAAUGAAUGUUUUUCGAAUGUUGUUUCAUCUAUGUUCUGCUCUAUUUAUCCUCUUCCUUGGCUACAUAAUUUCUUUAGGAUUAUUAGGCUAAUUAGAAUUAUUCAUGAUACUUAAUGUGUUCAUUUUUUUAUUUGGUCCUUAAGGUUGGAUAAAUCUCUUAGAAUUUAUUUUGAAAACUAACUUUGUUGAUGUCAUAUCUCUGCCGUAAUUCCAACUUUGCUGCAACUUAAACUUUGUUUUUGACUUGGUUUCUUGCAAUAUCCGACUAUCACUGCUGUAUUCAUUCAUUCAUUGCAUGUUAGAGGCUUGAUCUAAAUCUUUUUUAGGUCCUAAGGCCCACCGUUUUUUAUCUCAGACUUUCAGUCGUAGUAGGAUGCUUGACACCGUUAGUUUCCUGAUCAGAUCAAGAGACCCAUCUCAUCCUUCAAAUUGCGUUCGGAUUUUGGCCUUCAAAAUGAUCUUAUUUGACUUGGAGUCCUUAUCAAAGUUAUAGUCCUAAAUGCGUAGAAGAAUUUGGGCUUUUUAAUCUCUUAAUUUUGAUAUUUGAAACUCAAGAUAUUCCUGUUUGAAUAUCUAGUGUGAAAGUAAAGAAUCUUGUUGUGAGUAGGAUUCUGACCCGAGUUUGCAGGUUUAAUUAGAAAUCCAAAAGAGAUUGGGUUGUUACCCAUAAUACCUUCCUGGAAAGCUUGACAUAUGUAAUUCAACUUAGAUUCAGCCCACGUUCUCAUUUGGGAACACUAACUUGACGAAAAACCUGUCAUAAGAAGCCAGGUCUAGAACAUAAAGUGCAUAAUUUCUUAUCUUAAGCAAUCAGUUCACAAUCUCUUAAACAUGCCAAAAUCAUAAAAAUAACUUUCAAUAAACUCAAAUAUUCUCAAAAUACAUUAAAAAUCAUAGUGUAAAAGGAGUAAAAACUUAUGUAUAUUUUUCACUUAUCACUCUUUAAGCAAGGAAGCUCUGUCAAAAGUUUUCAAGCCCCAUCUACGCUUGAAGUCUACAAAGAAUGAAGCUUUGCUGGAUCAAGCCUAAAACACCCCACUAGAGUUCUUCAACAAUACUUUGAAAACAAAUCAAAAGUACUCUUUAAAUCAUCAAAUCACCAAAUCUCGUUUUGCAAUACACGCCCAAAUUCCCAUUCUUGCAAAGUAUAAAUCUUGGCUUGAUUCGUCAAAUAAAUCAAGUCACCAUAUAUCAACUCCAAGGGAAGAAUCAUAGGAUUGUCUUAUUCUUUUGAAAAGAAUACUUAGAUAGAGAUUGUACAUGGUUAUAUAUUUAAUAAAAUCAUAUAUUUGUACACGUGUGCUUGUUUAAUUUCAGGUGCUCAAAAUUAUGUCUACAUAGAGAUGAUGACAAACUGGAUGUUGGGCUGGCUAAAUUUGUAGUGGGAUGUUGAUUUGUGAUAAAAUUUGGGAGGUUUGUGGUGUUUGUUGCAGAUAAAAAUAGAGAAAAAAGAAGAGAUGGGAGAGAGAGAGGAGGGUCCUUUCAUUCCUUUUCAAUGUAAUUCACUCGAUAUAUAUCGAGAAAAUAUUUGUGUUGGUGUUUACUGAUUGAUACUGCGAGGGUAUAUUCAAUCAGAAAAAUUUACUAUAAUUUACUAACAAAAAUAUUCUAUUAGUGUAUUCAUUUGUGUUUGUCAAUUUUCUGAUUGUGUUAAUAGUUAGGAGAUGAUAGAAGAAAACACAUAGAUUUAACUGAAUAAACCCUACUAAAGUUGGAUUUUCAAAUCAAUUUAUCCAAAACUUCACUUUAUAACACCGCUUUUGAUAUCUUAUCAAAUAGAGAAUCAAAAGAUCCUAUCUCUCUUAUUCUUAGAGCACUUCUCUAUUUGAAAUUCCAUAUCCAUAAAAAUCCAUCUCACACACCCAUAUUAGCUACAGAGGAAACUUGAUCUUCAGGUAGACUAUAUAGUCUAGGAAAUUGAACUACAAGACAAGAAUCUAUCAGCCAGACAUCAUGCCAGAAGUGUUGACCUCAUAGCUUAGCCUUAUUGUUGAUCGUUUUAAUAGAGAAGUGUAGUAACUAUAUUUAUCUGUGGAAGCCUAAGUCUGUCUUGUUUAAUUACUUUGUUUUCGCUAUUUUUUAAAAAAACUUUUAUGCACUUACCAUCAUGUUGGAGUCUUCUGAUCAAGAAGUUAAAAAUGAUAUAGUCCAUCUUCAAGUUUAGUUUCUCAUUGAUAUCUUCCUAAUUUAACAUAAAAAAUGAGAAAACUAUAAAGAAAACUCCAACUAAGCCUGUCAUGACUAACUCUUUCAACUUGUCUCAAGGUGUACACACCACAAAGAUAUCUUUUAAUGAUGAAGACUUGUUGCUUGGAUCAAAACUCGAUAAACAACUUUUUUUUUAUUAAAAGAUGUGUCAAUGAAAAGAUGGUGAAUUGUCUCUUGAUGGAUGAUGAUUCAACUAUUAAUAUACUACCUUUUAAGAUUAUAAAUGAGCUCAGGAUUCAUAUUUAUGUUUAUAUAUAAAAAAUAAUGUUGUUUUGACACACACACAUAAAAUUGAGGUUAAUCCAAGUUGAUCUAGGAUGGAUUAAAAAUUUUGACACAAAUUUUAUCCCGGGUUAACUCCUGAGCCGGGUCUAAUGAGUCUAAUGAGAAUUGUUUGAAAAAAGAUUAUGGAAAACCACCGGUAUAUAUAAGGAAAUCACUAGGAAAUUACUGAAUGGUUGUGUUUAAAAAUCAAAAUGGCACACAACAAGUCAAGCAUCCGCUUUCACGACCUUUCUUGGCCAGUAAUGCUAUAAUGAAGAGAGAGUGGUAUAUCCACUUUCUCAUUAAUUACAACAAAAAUAAACAACUAGUCAAUACGGUCCACGCAAAUUGUUUGGUAAGGUUACAUGCCAACAAAACUAAUUGGAAUAGGUAUAGAAGUAUUAGGUUAACAAUUAGAUAAUAAAGUUAGAAGUUGUUAGUUUAAGUAUUUUACAGGGGCUACUGUUUGAUCCAAAAAAUGAUUUGAAUAUAUACAGUUUUUUAUCCAAAUUUUAUACAUAGGAAAAGCUUGUUCUCUAUGGUUUUUAAUACCAUAAACGGUGCAUUAAUCCAGUUUUUAUAGAAAUAGCUAUGAUGAAAGUAGUAAAGAACACGUGGACUAUAUAUAUGUCAAUAAUGCCCAGAAAUGAUUUCGGGAAUUAUUAUAAAUUGCUAUCUGGAUUAUAUAUAUAUAUAUAUAUAUGUAUAUAUAUAUAUAUAUAUAUGUAUAUAUAAUAGAAUUCUGAAUGUUCUAAGCUAUGAUUAGUUUAUCAGGUAGCAUGCAGUUAACAAAUUAUUGUAGUUGAGUCAUGGAGGGAUUUUAACGGGUUAUAUGCUUGCGAAUAGGUUUUUUGAGCUAAGAUUUCAGACCUCAGCUAUUUAAGCAAAGAUAGUAAGUAAAUAUUCACACACUAUUAUUUUUAAAUAGAAUAGAUAUUUUUCUGAAUUGUGCAUUUUUCAUCUACUAAAUGUAUUACUUUCUAUCAAAAAAAAAAAAAAAAGAUCAAGCAAUGGCUGUGUUUAGAUUGAUUUGCUUAUAUGCGAUAUUUGUGAAUGUAUGGUAUAUAAUUUUUGUAAGAAUGUUUUAUAAUAGCAUUUACUCUGAAUAUGAACACCUCUAUGCAGGUGUUGUAAUUGACAAAGAAAAGAAGAGAAAUCCUUUCAAUUUAUGAAAAUGCAAUGAGUUAACCUUAUCUCAGACUGCAAUAUAUACUCUACAGUAUUCAUGUAUGAAAACAUUUGAAUGGUGAUAAAGAAAAUAAUUCAUCAAACAAUAUGAGGGUUGUUUGGAAAAAGAUUAUGGAAGACCACCAGUAUCAGUGUUGUUUGGAAAAAUAAUUCUGUAAUUGACUUUUGUAACUUGUCAGGUAACCACAGGUAACUUGUGUGGACCUCCAUUGCGAAACAAUUGUAGUGAGGAAGCAGUGCCAUCCCAGCCAGUGCCUAAUGAUGAACAAGGAGAUGAUGGUUUCAUAGACAUGGAGUUUUUCUACAUCGGUUUCGGUGUAUGUUAUACAAUUGUGGUGAUAAUGAUUGUAACAGUUCUCUAUAUAUCAAUCCAUUUUGGCGACGCAGGUGGUUCUACUUUAUCGAAGACUACAUAGAUACUUGCAGCUAUUUUGUGGCGGCUAGUUUUCGCAAGUUCUCCAACUUCAGAAGGUGAAUUUGUUACUAGGGAGACGGUCGUUCCUAGUUUGUGAUGAUUGUUUGUCCUGUAUGUCUAGCUAUUGGGUUCUUCAUUUGUAGUGUACUAUCUCUAAGCUCAACCUUUCUAUUUGAAUAGUUAUUUGGGCUAAAUAUAUAAGCUGGACUUGUCAUUCCUAAAUCAUUAGGAAGGGAACUGAUUUGGAUUGGUCAUUAACUCGGCUGUGAUUACUCUUUCAACUCUCAAGACUUGUCUGAAAAUAAAUUGCCAAAACCACUACUAAGUAGAAACAAAAUAUUCUAUGCAUUGUUUCAAGGGCGACCCCACCUCAGUUAUUCAAUCAAAGCAUUGAAAUCGGAGCAAGAUGAUGCACCUUAUUCAACAGCCUUCCUGGUCGUUUCUCCUAGCUUCUUUGCUCUGCUUCUCAUUUCCUCUGCUUCUUUACCCAUCAUAAUUUGAGUGAUUGCCUUCUCUACAGCUUCACUUUUAACAUGAUCUCCAUGCACUCUACGCCAUUCCCUUAACUCCAGUUUUUAAAACAUCAGUCACCAACUUUUCAUUAUAGAAUUGCUCGUCAAAUAUUGGCCUUUUGCCUUCAAGAGUUGAGUUCCAUCCUCAAUGAGUCACAAAGGCACCUAUUGCUUCAUGAUAAAGAAUCAAAACUUGGAGUACCCUUCCUCUGAUAAUUAGCCCUUUGCCUUCCAUUCUUUCCUCAAAUCCUUCAGGAAGACAAUCUUCCUUGUCUUAUUGACUCUUUUUGUUUCUUCUAACUACCCAGAUAAAUUGAUGCCCAGAAGCUUCGAGAUCUGUUGCAAUCUCCUUAAGCUGAGAGGCAAUGAAGUUUGCCAUGCUUCCAAAGCAAAUAUAAACAACUGAAUUUGGUUUCUUUGAGUCGAGCCACUUCAAACACUCAUGUUGAGCGAUUGAGGCUUCUUUUCCUCUUCCUGCUUUAUCUUCAAUGUCUCUAUUGCAUAGUGAAACCGGGCCUACGUUAAUCCACACCCUCUUUAAUUGACCCAACAAGACUAUAUCCUAACCAUACAGAUUCCUCUUCUACAGAUUAUUGGAUCACUUUAUGCAAAGCAGAGGAAUGAUUUUCUAGAAAAAGAGUGUCUUGGGAACUUACAGUAGAUUUCGUUGGAACUCUUGUCUCAGGACAGUGGCAUAGCUUCUUGAAUCUCUGUUUCUAAUCGGCCAUGGUUUUAUUUAAACGGUUAGUGUAAGCUAAGGGCAUUGGCAUUUUCGUGGUGGAUCAUUUGCCUCAGUGAUGGUUGAUGUAUCACGGUGAAGUGAUGCAAAUCCACCUCGAGGAUCAGCUGCAGCAGCUAUUGCAGAGCUGUGAAUCCAAAAUAAAUUAAUAAGCUAUGUAUUUGCUACUCAUCAAGCAAAAAGAAACAACUAACACUGCUGAAAUUGAAAGGCAACAACUUUUAAAUGAGAGAAAGGAGCAGCCUAUCACCUUUCAAUAGGCGUUUAAUCUUCAAACAACAGCUGUCUUUUGGUUUGUGAUUGCAAAGGACCAACCAUAUAUGGUUGCCUUGGAGACACUUGUUGCUGUUGUGAGAAAUUAGCAUUAGUUUUAGACGGUAGAACAGGUGAUGGUGUUGUUGGGUCCAAUGAAAAUGCAACUUUAGAGGAUGAUGAAGCUGCUUGAUCAUUAAGAGGAAUAUCAACAACAUGCAGCUCUGGUUCAGCAGGCAGGUGUGGAGCUUUAUCAGUUAUAAUGUGGUCACAGACAUUGGUAACAAUGAUGUCACAAAAGUUGACAGCAGAGCGAAAAGCUCCAAAUCUCAACUGGAAAAUCUUGUCAUUAUUUAAAUUUUCAAUCACGGGAGGUGGGAUGCAAUCAAUGAACCCCCUUGUCAUAGAGAUAGCGGUGGGCAGAGAAGCCAAAGAAGUUUUCAGUAGUUUUUCCAACCAUUAGAAAUGUUGCAACAUCAUUGCCAUCAGUCACAAUACAAUCUAGUUUCCCAAGAAAAAUAAUCAACCCUAAUCAGAAGAAAAUGUAUAAUCUAGUUUGGGACAUGAAAGAUAAAUGAACAUAACGCAUUAUUAGUUCAGGAAAAUCCAUAAAAUGUUUAGAAGUUAGAUAAAUAAACAUAAGGCAUUAUUAAAAAGAUGCAAAGAAAAUGUAUAAUCUAGCUUGGGACAUGAAAAGCAAUAGAAAAGAGCUCAUAACUGUGGAACCGCCAUUACUUCAUUGUGUCCAAUGCAUCUAAAAAUUAUGCCUUUGUUAGAAAAUGAUUUUGCGCCCAAGGGGCAACUUUGAUACCACCAUCCUCUAUGAAGGUCAUAUCAGCUAUCGAAGCUUUGCAUGUAAAUCUUUCGCUCUACAAAUUACUAUGAAAAAAUAUAGUUUGAUAUGUUUUUAUAAAGAGCAGAGUAAAUGUUGAAUAAAAGAUGAAGCAUUGAAAGAAUAGUUGAGAUUAUUGUUGACAUACUUUGUGCUGAUAUGGAUCUAGUCAAAGAAUUUCUUUGAUAGUCUACAUGUUUUUAUUUAUUUGUUGUUUGAUAAUUCUGAUGGCAUUCAUGGAAGUAGGGAGUUGAUGAACCUCAACUGGCAGAUGAUUAUAGUUGAGAAUAAAAGCAGUUUUAUGUUAAAAGAAAAUAAUAAUAAUUUAAUAACAUAAGCGAGACAAAAAAAAAAGAUAAAGAGCUAGCUUGCUAGUACAUAUACCUCAAGAAUUUCUGGGUUGAAAAACCAUAAGGAGGCAACAGUGCUAGCAAGGUUUGGUUUUCCUAGGAGUAAAAGGAUGUAAAUUGAUUAAAAUUAUUUGAAAAUAAGCUAAAUGAUAAUGGGAGAACGCAUGAUAGCUAGGUUAGAAAAAAAUAUAUAAAAACAUAAAAUUAAUUUUUUAGAUUAUGAAAAACUUUUUAUAGAAUCCACUGAUUUGAUAGUAAUCUCUUUCAAUGAUAAAAGUAGCAAACAACUACCUGCGUUUGAAGUGCGAAAUGCAUUGAGCCCCAUCAAGAAUAAAUUGCAUUUUUAAUUUUAUUAAAUAAUUUUUUGGCUGUGGUUGAUUCAAACACAUAAGUAACCAUGCAAACAAACGGAAAUAUGUCCUUGCCUUUAGUAUAGCUGAGCCCUGUAUUGUGUUACCUGAUGGAAUCAUGAUGAAAACUAUUAUAAAUGAGAUAACAUUAAAAUUGAGCGCAAAAAAAAAAAUAUAAAGCUAACAAAUGGUUUAUUAGCCACUGUCGGUAGUUUUAGAAAGUUUCACAGGGAAAAUUUUUUAUUUUACAAUUGAUUCAUUCCUAUAAAAUAUAAAUUAUUUUACAAUUUUUAGUUAUAUAUUUUAUUAUAUUAUAAAAUAUAAAAUAUAUUAUAACUAUAACGAUGAUAAUUAUAUUAUAAUUAAAAAUCUAAGUCAAUUCUUGGUUUAGCUAUAUCACACAUUGCUGUCAUCUUUGUAAUUAAUAAAAUAAAAUGAAGACAUUUUACAAAUAAUUCAUUCAACCAUGGCCUGUGUGUCAUGUUAUUUCUUAAACCUACACCACUGCUAUGUGUGUUACAAAGGGUUAAAAUAAAACAUGGACGUAGCAAAAGCUUUGUUUUCUCAAAAUAUUAAAAGGUUAUUUACUGGAAAAAGAAAAGGAAACAUUUGAUUAUACCAAAAGGAUAAUAAUUAAGUUUUUUUUUUUUCAGAUUCAAUUGUAAAAAUAGUUUUUCAAUUUUAGAUUAAAGCUUGUAAAAAUUAAAGGGUGAAGAUAAGGAAGUCUAUUGUUUUUUAUUUAGUACAUGGAACCUUGUGAUAUCCUUUUGAGAAUCUAAUUGAACAAAUUUAAGAAUUAAAAACUGAAAUCAAAAGGGGAAUAUAUGACCUAAUUUAGUUUAGGAUUAUCAAAAUAAUAUUAUUUUAUUUAAAUAAAAUAAUAUGUUUUUGACAAAAAUAGCAUGUUUUGAUUCAAUACAACAUUGUCCUCGUCAACACCAAGUUAAAAAAUAUAUAAAAAAAAACUAGAUAAUAUGUCGCUCAACAGUGAUCAUUGUCCUUUUUUCAGCCUUAUAAAAGCUGACCGAGAGAUCCCUUUUUCAAAGCCAUUUAAUGUAUCUCCCACUACUUUUUUAGAGCCAUAUGUGUGGACUUGGGCCUUUAAUCCAAUAAGCCUAACCUAUGUGAUCGGGCAACGCCUAGCCUAGCCCAACCCAACCUUAAAAGCAAGUUUGGCAUGCCUAAUUUUUACCAAAAAAGAAAUGUUUUUUUUCCCUAAAAGCAUGUUUAUCAAACACAAUCUUAAAACAUUUUUCAUGUCUCUGACUUUUAGAUAAAUGUGUGUUUGACAAACACGAUUAACUAUCCUCUUUUUAGCCUUAGUUUGUUCAUUAUUUUAGUUUCUAGCCAAACAUGCUCUACAUAAUCUCAAAAAAUUCUAAAAACAAAAGUUUGACCAUUUUAAAAUUAUUUGUGAGUUCCUUAGAUGUUCUCCCAACAAUUUCACUUAAUAUUGAGAUGUAAACUUACACUACAAAUACUGACUCGAUAUUAAAAAUACUUAUUUUUCUCUGAAAUUUCAAAAAAAACUAAAAAAAUAUUAUUUCAAAAAUACAAAUUUUUUUUUGUUUGCAUACAACUAGUUCCUAAUGUUUUUCAUGCAUUAUUUAUAAAAAGCAGAAAAAUUGCAUCAUUAUCAUAUUUUAAAAAAUACAAAAAUAAAUAUUGUAAUCAAUUUAUGAUUAUUCAUUGGGGUUUAACUAAAAUUUCAAAAAUACCACAUAAAUUAAAUUUUGUAAUUGAUAUUCAGGGUAUGAACUUUACACAUAAUGCGUACUUUUGAUAUUAAAUUAAAUGAAUUAAUAGCAAUAAAUGUUAUGAAUUACUUACAGACUUUAUUAUUUUGCGGUAUAAAAUUAUACUAUAAGAAUAGGUACGAGUGUCUGUAACAAUCCCAGUUAUUUUGUUCCAUCAAUGUAAAAAGAUCCUCUUAAAUUGAGGGUAAUGUUUUUUUAGGCCCCGCAAAGAUUGCCAUUUACUCGAAGAAUUAAAAUGGACUCCAUUUUAUGCUAAUAAAGGUAUAAUUAAAUCAUAUCAUUCAUGAAUUAACAAUUAGUAGAUGGUUAAAAGAAACUAUUCAUGUUUUAAAGGUAAAUCAAAUGGAAAUAAAUGCAAUAGUGUUUACACAAAAAUACCAUGCUUCAAGUCUAGCCGAGAGUUUUUAUACACAUCAAGUUUACACAAAAUAAUAUGCUUCCAGUCUCAGCUAAGAGUUUUUAUACACAUAGAAGAUUACACAAAAUAACUUAUAACAUGUACUAGUUAAUACUAAUAUGCUUAAGGUUAAUUUGUACAUAAGUUUAACAAAAAUAGAGUCCUAAAACUAAUAAGCUCCCUAGAUAUUAGAUAGACCUGUUACAAAAACUUCUUAUGGAUGCAAUUAUAUCGGUACAAGAAAUAUAAAUGAUCAUGCAACGAAUACAAAUGAGGCAUAAGUUUUCUAUUAGUUACAUGGGAAUCUUAGUAAUCAACUUAUAAAUUUAUUGGGAAUCAUUUUAAAACACUAUUUAACACCAUUUACAUAACUUUAAUGGGAUACUCUUAUCUUCUUACAUGAACUCAUAACUUUGUUUAAUUGGAUUCACUAAGUCUUCAGCUUUGCAUAGUCCGAUUUGAAUAAUUUUGAGCAAUUGUACUUAUCAAUUUCCGAGGUCAUCCAAACACAGUACCCUUUACAAAUUAAGUCUUAUUGAUCGUUCCUGAGCAUCCCAACAUGGACACCAUUAGCUCUAGUUACUCUUAUUGAUCAUUUCCCGGCAAUUCUAAUGCAAAUAUCAUUAGCCGAAGCUAAUUUUAUUAAUCGUUCCCGACAGUCCUAACACGAAUGUCAUUAGCCAAGGCUAAUAUUAUAAUUCUAUUAGCCAAGGCUAAUAUUAUAAUUCAUUUUCCAGCAAAUCCUACCACAAAUAUCAUUAGCCAAAACUAAUCUCAUAAUUCAUUUCUCAGCGAUCUUAUCAUGAAUGCCAUUAGCCGAAGCUAAUCUCAUAAUUACUUUCCCGGCAAAUCCUACCAUGAAUGUUGUUAGCCAAAGCUAAUGUCAUAAAUAUACCAGACUUUAUUUACAUUGAGCAUAAUAUAUAUAAUUGCAUUCCUCCUAAAGAAUUAAAUUUCAUCAAUGUAAAUGGAAGGGAAAACCACGCACCUGCUCUGUCUGUCUCAUAACUUCCUCCAACAAAAGAUCCAAUCAUGGUCGCUCCUCCUAAAUCAUAAGAAAAUCUUUGGUCAUGUUUCCUUCAAUGUUUUUAAACCCGGCCCAGGUCACUUGUUUUGCCCAAGUCACCGGGUCUUGAUCGGGUCAACCCAAACUUUUUUUUAUAAAUAAAAACAAUGUUGUUUUGGUAAAAAAAAUAAUUAACAGGUUAUUACCUUGUUUUUGACUGGGUUUUGUCUGGUUAGCCAGGUCACCCUGGGUUGUGACUUCCCCUAUUUUUUCUUAAACCUGGCUUGGUUCCAAUCUUGAGUCUCGGGUCGACCUACCAAGCCGGGUCAGGUUUCAAAACUUGGGUUUCCUUAAAGCCUUAUGUUAUAUUAACUCUAUAUUCAUUCAUUAUACAUAUUGUACUUUCCAUACAUGUUUAUUUUCUCAUCAUAUCAUAUACAUACAUAUCAAGUAUAAUUGGCUUGGAUUUGUAGUAAAUCCUGUGAAAUUUUUGCUACAAUAUCCUCAUCAUUCUCUCUUCCCCUCUUUUCUUUUCUUAAAACCUCUCGUCCCACAUCAUCAUGUAUGGUUGUGACAUCGAAAAUGGAGCAGUUUCUUGAUUACUAGUAGCAGGUUCGUGAUUGUUAUGAUAUAGAACUCACAUUAACGAUGGAAUUCGUAUGGAAGAAGUCGUAGAAGAAGAAGAAGAACAGGGCUCAAGAUAGUGAGAUGAAGAAGACUGUUGGAGCAGAGAAUGCGUGGGCAGAGUUUGUUGGAAGGAAAACUGAUUCAAUAUAUUCAUAUCCUCUGUUGUAACAGAAUGAUUAUUAUUUAUACAGCUGAGCCUAACAACCUAGCACAUGCAUCUUCUCUUUGCACGUGAUAGUAACUGAUUUGUAAUAGAAACAUAAACUUUCUAAACGCACCGUUUAGGACUUAGUGACUUACUCGUAACGCACCGUUUUACAAUCGAUUAAUUUGAAUUUCCCUCGUGUAAAACCUAUAGCUAAAUGUUGACCUGCAACAAUUGCCCCUUCUUCAAAUGGACCUUGUCCUCAAGGUCAAAUUGGGGAAAACGAAGGGCGAUUUCAUCAGCAAAUUCCCAGGUAGCUUCUGCAGGGGUGAGACCCGCCCAAUGAAUGAGGAGUUGAGUGGCGGCCUGUAGAUUUCGCUUGACCAUUCGACGUUCCAAAAUAGCUUGUGGAAGAAGAAGAGGUUCUGAUGGCAAGGCAGGCAGUGUGGUUUGGACAACCCGAUUGCCCACCUUAUUUUUCAGAAGCGACACAUGAAACAUAGGGUGGAUGGAGGCAGAGGUAGGUAACUGCAAUUUGUAAGCUACGGUACCGAUUCUUGCUAAGACUUUGUAUGGUCCAUAGUAUUUUGAAGCUAAUUUUUGAGAAUAUCUGUGGCCUAGAGUUUUCUGUCGAUAGGGUUGUAGUUUGAGGUAGACGAAAUCACCAGUAUUAAAUUGUCUUUCACUCCUGUGUUUGUUGGCAAGCUGAAUCAUCCUAUGCUGAGCAUGUUGUAAGUUGUGUUUAACUGCUUGUAGAAUCUGUUCUCUAUUGCAUAAGAAUUUAUCCACGGUAUCGACAGGGGAGUCUUUGGGGACAUAAGGAAUGUGUAAAGGGGGAGGGUAGCCAUAGAGAAUUUCAUAGGGGGUAGAUUUGGUGGCUGUAUGGUAGUUGGUGUUGUACCACCAUUCAGCAAGGGGAAGCCACUGAACCCAGUGUGUAGGAGAAGUACCUGUCAUGCAGCGGAGGUAAUUUUCGAGGCACUUAUUGACCACCUCUGUCUGGCCAUCGGAUUGGGGGUGAUAGGCUGUCGAGUAACACAAUUUGACGCCUUGUCGAGCAAAUAACUCCUUCCAGAAGAGACUGAGAAAGACAGUGUCUCUGUCACUAACAAUGGUGGCUGGAAAUCCAUGCAGCUUGUAGAUAUUAUCGAGGAACACUCUAGCUAUAGAACAAGCAGUGUAGGGGUGGGGAAUAGCCAUGAAGUGAGCAUAUUUGCUAAAUCUGUCCACUACCACAAAUAUCACCUCCUUGCCUUCAGAUUUAGGGAGCCCCUCUACGAAAUCCAUACUAAUAUCGAUGAAAGGAUGUGUAGGAAUAGGGAGAGGUUGUAGCAGUCCAGGAGUUCGUGUAUUUUCAGAUUUGUUUUGUUGGCAAGUGGUACAUUCUCUGAUGUAUUGGCGAACAUGCCUUUGCUGGCCCUUCCAAUAAAACCCAUUGGCCACUCGUUUGGCAGUAACAGUAGAGCCUGAAUGGCCACCAGUAGCUGAAUCAUGGUAAAUGGAAAUAAUCUGAGUCUGAAGAGAUUCAUUUUGGCCUACCACCAAUUUACCUUUCCUGAAUAGUGAAUAGUGAGGGUGAGAGGUAGGCUAUUGGGUAAGUUCCUGAAUGAGAAGCUGAACUGCCUUAUCAUCCUGCCAUGAUUGUUUGAUAGCCUCUAGGAGUGUAGUGGAAAGGGAAGAGACUGCCAGGGUGCUGAGAGUGCCACAUGACACUCUUGAGAGGGCAUCAGCAACCACAUUGUCUUUGCCCUUCUUGAAUUCGAUCUCAUAGUCGAAUCCCAAGAGUUUGGCGAGCCACACAUGUUGUGAUGGACAAGUCACCUUCUGUUCCAACAGGUAUUUGAGACUAAGAUGGUCAGUACGUAUAGUAAAGUGUUGUCCCCAUAAGUAAUGUCGCCAUUUAGUAACUGCUAGGAGGAUAGCAAGGAGUUCCCUUUCAUAGGUAGAAAGUGCUUGUUGUUUAACCCCAAAUGCUUUACUAAUGAAAGCAAUCGAGUGACCUGUUUGCAUGAGAACUGCCCCCAUGCCCUUGCUGCUAGCGUCUGUCUCAAUGAUAAAUUGUUGAGUGAGGUCUGGUAGGGCCAAAACUAGAGGUUGAGUCAUCAUGAAUUUCAAUUGAUUGAAGGCUGUGGUGGCUUCUUCAUUCCACUUGUAGGCAUCUUUUUUCAACAGCUGUGUCAAGGGUUUGCAAAUGAUGCCAUAACCCUUAACAAACCGCCUGUAGUAUCCAGUGAGACCCAAAAACCCUCUUAGCUGUUUAAUGUUGCCAGGGAGAGGCCAAUUCAGGAUGGCCUGGAUCUUAUGGGGAUCAGUCGAGACCCCUGCUGCUGAGAUGACAUGGCCUAGGUAUUCCACAUGAGAGCUGCAAAAUACACACUUGCUGGACUUGGCAUACAGCAGGUUAGUCUGUAGGAUGGUGAAGACAGUUCUGAGAUGGUCUAAGUGUUCUGGCAUGGAGUUACUGUAAACAAGAAUAUCAUAAAAAAAAAAGAGAAUUGCCUUAGUUGGUCCCUGAAUACUUCGUUCAUGAGACUUUGAAAUGUGGCAGGAGCAUUAGUCAAGCCAAAGGGCAUAACCAAAAAUUCAUAGUGUCCAUUGUGGGUCUUGAAUGCUGUCUUGUAGAUGUCAUCAGGGGUCAUUCGGAUUUGGUGGUAACCAGAUCGGAGAUCAAUUUUUGAGAAGACUGAGGCACCGACCAGUUCUUCUAAGAGUUCAUCUAUUAGAGGAAUAGGAAACUUAUCUUUGAUUGUAAGUUGGUUUAAGGCCCUGUAGUCAAUGCAUAACCUCCAUGAACCGUCCUUCUUCUUGACUAGGACAACAGGUGAAGAAAAUGGGCUAUGACUAUGCUGAAUGGUUCCUGAGGCCAGCAUUUCCUUAACCAUAAGUUCCACCACAUCCUUCUGUAGGCUGGAGUGUCGGUAGGGUCGAAGGUUGACUGGGUUAGAGCCUUCUUAAGAGGAAUACUGUGAUCAUGGCUGCGAGGAGGAGGCAAACCCCUAGGUUCUUCAAACAACUCUUGGUAUUCUGCUUGCAGAUUGAUAAAAGCUGUGUUUUCAGUGAGGUCAGGUUGGAACCCAGUGGUGUAGGGUGCUCCUUGGUCCUGACUGUUAAUGGAACGUAGACUGCAUACAUUAAUUUCAGAAACCAUAUUAGUACUACAUAGCAAGCCAUUAAGUUGCUUCAGUCUGAUGGUUUCCAUGGUUACUGGAUCAUUGCCCUUAAUGAAAACCUCUUGACCUCGCCAUGUAAAUGCCAUCCACAUUUCCUCAUAGUUGCAUACAAUGGUUUUCAGGGUAGCUAGCCAUUGAAUGCCCAGUAUCAUAUCACAGUUUUUUAGAUCCAAAGUAAACACAUCAGUCGCAAAAUCAACUCCCUGGAUAGACCAUUGGAAGUUGUUACACACUGAGGUGCAAGUCAUGAUUCCCCCAUCUGCUACCUGCACUGUUAGAGCCUUAAUACUUGUAAGGUGACAAUGCAAUUUGUCUACUAUGUGAUUGCUGAUGAAAUUGUGUGUACUGCCAGAAUCAACCAAGAUAAUCAGCGGCUGGUUCUCAACCCUGCCUGUGACCCUUAAAGUGUUUAGGCCCGUCACCCCUUCUAUUGCAUUGAGGGAAAUGUGAGGGUUGUAUGUUUCAGGGUCUCGGUCAAUAGUUCUUCAUCCUCACUACCCUCUCCAUUCUCCUCCAUGAUACAUAGAGAAUACAGCUUCUUAUUUUGGCACCUAUGUCCUGGUGUAAACUUCUCAUCACACCAAAAACAAAGGCCUUUAGCACGUCUCUCGUCCAAGUCCCUAUUUCUGACAGGUCUAGUGGUUCUUUGGGUGGUGUUGGGAUUGUAAUGUGGGGGGUUUGGUAACAGACCUGCUUGUGGCUGUUUAAGGUUAGUACUGGGAAACCCGAUGGGAAAGUUUUUGUUGUAAUUAGCAGAGGUUGCAGGUUUGUUUUGGUAAGACAAGGUUGUGGGUUGAUAAGUCUGUUUGGUAGGAUUAGAACCAUAACGUCUGUGGGUGAGGGUGUUGUCCUGUAAUCUAGCUAAUGUAUAUGCUUGUUUCAAUGACUUUGGCUCAAACAUUUUGAUCAUAUUUUUAACUUCUAUAUCCAGCCCUCCUAUGAAAAAAACCAAGGCGUUUUUCUCAGAAAUUUCAGAUCGAUUCCAGAGGAUAUCAAAAUCCUUGAUGUAGGUUUCUAAAUCAUUUCUCUGCUUGAGUUCAAUGAGCUUCUCAUAUAAUUUUGAUGCCAACAUAGGGCCAUACCAUCUAGAUAAUAGGAAGCUAAUUUGAGCUUGUCUUGCUCAGCAGUUUCUUCUACAUCAAAGUAUUGGUUACACUUAUAAAUCCAUUUAAGGACAUCCUCUCCUUUAAAAAUGGAAAACUCUCGUUUCGGCCUACGCAAUUGAUAUUGAGGGGAAGUACCUUCAUUAAUCCAGUUGAAACGAGCGGUUGAGUCUCUUGUGGGAGGAGGCUGAGGAGCCUUAGGUAGGCUGCAUUCCCCUGAAGAAAGUUGGGUCUUCUGUAAUGCUGUGUCUACCCGAGAAACAAGAGCAUCCAUGGCUUCUUUAAGUUCCCUGAAGCGUGUAUUAGCAUCAGCCCUGAUAUUAUUAAGUUGUUGUUGGAUGUGAUCAUAUGUUUGAGGUUGCUCCGGAUUGGUGGUUCCAUCCACCCUUCUGGCAUCUUGGGAUCUCGUUUCAGGAGGCAUUGUGAGUCUGGAGAUGCAGCUCUGAUACCACUUGGAGCAGUUUCUUGAUUACUGGUAGCAGGUUCGUGAUUGUUAUGAUAUAGAACUCACAUUAACAAUGGAAUUCGUAUGGAAGAAGUCGUAGAAGAAGAAGAAGAACAGGGCUCAAGAUAAUGAGAUGAAGAAGACUGUUGAAGCAGAGAAUGCGUGGGAAGAGUUUGUUGGAAGGAAAACUGAUUCAAUAUAUUCAUAUCCUCUGUUGUAACAGAAUGAUUAUUAUUUAUACAGCUGAGCCUAACAACCUAGCACAUGCAUCUUCUCUUUGCACGUGAUAGUAACUGAUUUGUAACAGAAACAUAAACUUUCUAAACGCACCGUUUAGGACUUAGUGACUUACUCGUAACGCACCGUUUUACAAUUGAUUAAUUUGAAUUUCCCCCGUGUAAAACCUAUAGCUAAAUGUUGACCUGCAACAGAAAACCAUGCUGCAAGCUUGACAUAUUGUUCUGCUGCAUCGUUGGUAUAGAACAUUGCACAUUCAAUGAUUGCAACUGGGGAUUUAGUUGAUUUUCAUGGGACUGCAAUUGAUGAACUGGAGGCUGGGGAAGUUGUCCUAGCUGUAGAUUAGGAAUAGGCCUCCUGAAUCUAACUAGGUGUGACGUUGUUUUUAGAGACCUGUAAGAACAGCAAAAAUUAGUUGAGAUAAAAAUAGCAGAGUGGAAUUAAUGUUGGAAACUCAAGAGGACGUCGAUAUUGAUGGAAUGGAAACAUGCAAAGGGCUGUGUAAGUACACCUUCAGACAAGAUUCAGGUUACUUUGUCGAUAUUGAUGGAAUGGAAAGAUGCAAAGGGUUGAGUUCAGUUACUUUGUCUCACUGCAUUAUAUUUUUAUAUAGGUGGUUAUGAACUAUCAAAAUUGAGCAAUUUGGAACACCUUGACUUGGAAUUAAAUCACUUUAAUAACAGUAUUUUAUCAUUAAUGGAGAGGCUUUCAUCUCUUAAAUUCUUAAAUUUGAUUGAGAUGGGGCUGUUCCUUCAGAUGUUAAUGGUGUUUGUAAUAAUGGUUUCCUUGCAAGGAUGGCUGCCUCUUGGUUGCUUGGAGGAAGAGAGAAUCGCUCUCUUGCUCCUCAAAGAUUCUCUUAACUAUCCCGAUGGCACAUCCCUACCCUUGUGGAUUUUUAGAAGGCCAAGCCCACUGUAGUUCCUGGGAAAGUAUUAUCUGCAACAGCAGUCACCAGACUCUAUCUUGAUGGCACAAGGUACUUAAAUUAAUGCCUUCCUUUUCAACAACUUUGAAGUCAGUGGCACUGUAUCUUCUCGAGGUAAAUUAACAAAUUUUAACUCCAUAUUACUUAUCUGUGACUGUGCCCUAUAAAGAAUUCCUCUUUUCCUCUUUUAAAUGUCCUCUUUUCCUAGAGAUAAUUGAACUGACAAAGAGAAACAAUGCGAAGUACUUUCUAACCAAGAAAUGAAAGAGGGAGCGUAGGCGAAGAUUAAUUCAAACAGUUCCAGGUUUUGACAUCUGGGAGACCAUAUCAUAUGCUGCUAGCCAUAGUUUAAAAUAUCCAAGCCCUGCACAGCACCGUGAACAAGCGAAGUUUUGGCCAGCCACCACACCUUCGUCAUCGUUCAGACCAGAAGUGGAGGGGAAGUUUUGGCCAGCCACCACCUUCGUCAUCGUCCAGACCAGAUCUGUCACUGUCUUCGGCCGAUCUCUCAUUCUUCUACCGUUGGAUCAACUUGAUUUUUGGGUAUGUUAUGUGUCUCCAUAGUUCCUACAUCCAGACCGGAGGGAUCGUUCAUAUCUGCUACCGUUUAAGAAAUCUAAUUGUUUGAAGAUUUCUGGACAAACCACUCUCGGAACAGUAAGCUCCGCUGGCCUUUUUCUCACUUUUCUACCGUUGGAUCAAUCUGAAUUUUGGAUAUGUUAUGCUUAUGGUUGUAUUAAACAUUCUGAACGGUGGAGAUGAGAUGAAACCUUUUCCAGCAAAGUGUUAUGAAUGUCUAAAUGGUGGCUCGUCAAUCUCAGGUCAGUUUUGUUCUAACUCCGAUCUAGAGAGAUCCAACCGUUAACUUGAGCUGAUAUUUGGAUAUAUGCUGCAUAAGAUGUGUGUUUAUCUUUGUACCGUUGGGAUUUGAUAUUGAUUGAAUUGUUAGUCAGUAAUUGAUGUUUGAAGCUCUGUCCGGAAUCUGUCAUGACUUUCAAACCGAAACCCAAAACACCCAAAGUUAACAUCACCCCCUCAACCACUAAACAUCCCACAAACCAACACCAAAACACCCAAAACACAGCCUUCCCAUCGCAGGUUUGAUUUCCAAAAUCCCACAAACCAACAAACAAUCAAAAAUCCCUUUCCAACAACCAUCUCUGCCCAAAACAGCAACCACUCUCUAAACACAAUUGCAGUUUCCUAGCACAAAGAACAACGAUACAAUAACAAGAUCUCCCAAAAUGCUCCCAACCAAAAAGCCUUCGCUCACCCCUGCAAACCAGACCGUAGCAACGUUACUCAAACCUCACCUGAAUAAUACAGCCUCUCAAACACCUUCAAACACAACCUUCCCUGUUACACUAAACCUACCGAGACCUGUGCACCACACAAUAAACGUCCAGAACGUUAAUAAGCCUUCUUCUAACACAACCUUCCCGACCUUUACCCCUUCUAAGUUCUUUAUUGAACGUUUCCCAUCAUGGUUAGAUUAUCAUGACCUCAAAAAGACGCUUGCAAAGAUUGGUCCUGUUACCAAUCUUUUUGUCUCCAGGAAAAAAACAUCACGAGGGAGACGGUUUGGGUUUGUUUCCUUCCUCUCCACCUUAAAAGAAUCAGACAUUUGUAACAGCUUGAACCUUAUCUGGUUCGAUUCAUACAAAAUUCGUGCAAACCCGGUCAGAUUUCAGAAACCUCUAGACAAAAAACCAGACCUUGUUAUAAAACCACAACCAAAAACCAUGCCCAAACUCACCUUCAGAGACACCCGGACCUUCGUUGAAGCUCUUUCUGUCACAAAGCAUCCAAAGAAAACGGUGAUGUAUGAGUCUAUCCCCGAUGACAAGGAAUGGCUUCAGAGAAGUUUAGUGGGAUUCAUAGCCACAGACGUGGACUAUGCUCAGCUUGAGCAUAUGGUGCUAAAAAAUGUCAAGCAGACAGUUGGGUUUCGUUUUUUGGGAGCAAGCCAAGCAGUCAUCACCUUUACAAAUAGAGAAUCUAUGGAGAAAGAGCUGGUAAAUGGAUCCUCUGUUUUGGAAACAUCAUUCUUUCAUUUGAAACCAUGGGAAAAAGGAGCUAAAGCCAUAGACAGAUUUGUGUGGGUGUCCAUAUUAGGAUUACCUUUGAUAGGAUGGAAUCGCAGAUGUAUUGAAUCCAUUAUUGAGAAAGCAGGGAAAAUGCUUGGAUAUGACAUUACCAGCGUGAGCCAAGGAUCUCUCACAGGAGUUAAAGUGCUGCUGAGCACAACCUCAUUUGAGACGCUAAAUGAACAUGUUUUGCUGGUUCUAGAUGGCGACGAAUUGAAAUCUCAAUCAUGGAAAUGAAACCGGAUUUUAGUCCCCUGCUGUCUACAAUCAAACAUUCAAUGGGUGCAACAGGUAUUCAAACAUCAGAUGAAGAGUUAUGCAGUGAAUUUGCAGCUUCAGAUGAGGUUACGGCAGCGGGCACAAAGAUUACUGACACUGAUGGUGAUCAUUGUGCAACAGACAUUAUUUUAACACAGCAACAAAAGGCGGAUACGGAUAGUGAUUUCUCUCUCAUUCUCUAUCAAGGGUACACUGGACCAACAAACAACUUGGAUCAUACUGACACAAGUUCAAAAUUGCCUACCUUUUUCCUGAAACAAAAGAAACACGUGAUGAAGGGGCAACCGACAGUGAUAGCAACACAGAUGUCUCAGCACAUUCAGUUACAAGAGUGGGCCUUGUAAAAAACAGAAUCACAGGCCAGGUGAAAGGAACAAGGCUAAUCAACAAGGCAAUAAACUCAUGUAACUCAUUCUCUGAUUUCAUACGUGACCUGGCAGAGCCUCAAGAAGUAGUGGAAAUGGAACUACAGGAAAAAAAAAAAAGCUUAGACGAACCAGAAGACUUGGCCCUAAAUAUACAUACGGAAAAGGGAAGAAGGGGAAGAAAAACAGGCAUGCUUUGGCUCUUAAUGACACAUCAGAUAUUGUUCCUGACUCAUUCAGAAACACAUCUCAAAAAGAAAACGGCUCCCCCUGCUAUUAAGUCAUCUACUGAUCAACAUGAAGAUAUUACCUCUAAUCAUGCAUCCAUGGAUACAGAGACCAGUGAUACACAGCUCAUCUACCAACCCUUUUGAACUCUCAGUGCAGCCAAGAGGCCUCCUCAGAAGCGAUCAACGAAAACAACAGGAAUGCUAGAAGCAAAUCCAGGAAAAUAAAAUUGUUGCAAGCUAAUGGUAGUGUAGCUAACACUACUGAGAAAUGUGUCUCUUCUGAUUCCCUCAAUUCGGGAAUUAAGCAAGGCAAUGUCCGGUUCCAGACAACCUGUGAGAAUAAUCAAGCUGAUGGUUUUGAUAUAGAUAAGGAAACCCAGGAAAUGUUACAUGAUGCAGCGGCUCUAGGCUUGGGACCAUUCCAAGAUCUUAUAGGGUAUGAAGAGGGAGUUCGGGGGAACAUUGACAGAGAAGUAGACGAGUGGAAAUCAGUCAAUCAGUUGUAAGUUUCUUAACUUGCUAAGUUUUGUUCUGUCAUGGUUUUGAUCUACCUAUGAAUAUUUUUGCUUGGAAUAGUUGUGGGUUGGGUAUGUUGAACAAACGUCAUUCCAUCCGGAAUAGGUUGCUCAACAGUAAUGUUGAUAUCUGCUUUCUAUUAGAAACAAAAAAAGAUAAUUGUUGCGAUUCAUACAUCAGGAAUUUGUGGAAUGUGGUAACUGUUAAAUGGGCUUUGCUAGAGUCUGUAGGCAAAUCAGGAGGGAUAAUUGUGAUGUGGGAUAGUUCUAUCUUUGAGGUUAAUUCCAUAGAAUUUGGGGGGCAAUGGAUCAGCCUAUGCGGUAAACAUGUUCAUUCUUCCUUUAACUGCAUGGUAGUUGGUGUUAUGCUGCAUCUUCUGUGCAAGAUCGUGCUAAGCUGUGGGAAGACAUCACUACUCUGAAGUUUGCCUUUGAAUUACCAAUGGUGGUGAUAGGUGAUUUCAAUGAAACUCUUCAAGCUAAUGAGAGAAGUAGCGGCUACAUUAAUCAUUCAGGGUCAGCUGCUCUCCGUAAUUUCCUGUCCGAUUGUGCUCUGAUUGAAUUCAAACUGCAGGGCAACCGUUUCACUUGGUUUAGGGGGGGUUCUAUGAGCUGUAUUGACAGGGCUUUCGCAUCUCCAGAGUUCCACCUCCAGUUUCCAUUCUUAUCACUCUACCGUUAUCCUAGGGGGAUGUCUGAUCACUGUCAAUUGCUUCUUCAGGCACCAAAGGUAGAUUGGGGAUGGAAGCCUUUCCGCUUCAUAAAUAGUUGGUUGUCACACCCUACAUUCUCAGCUGAUUUUGAGAUCUUCUGGUUUGAUAGUUGCAAGGAAUUUCCCGGUGACUAUAGAUUGGUAAAGAAACUAGGAACUUUGGGGAAAAGACUGAGACAAUGGAACAAAUCCACCUUCGGUAAUCAAAAUUCAAAACUUGCAGACAUUCAGAACUCCAUCACAACCAUCGAAGACUUAAGCGAGGUACGCCUCUUGUCUGAGACUGAAAAAACAAAGCUCAAGAAUCUGAACUCUGAACUUUGGGAGGUUAGUAGGAAUGUCGAGGGCAUUUGGAGGCAGAAAUCCCGCCAAAACUGGUGCAAAAUGGGGGAUAAAAACACUCGGUUCUUCCAUCUUUCGGCAAGUUUGAGGAAUGGUCGGAACCACAUUAGCAAGAUUGAGCAGAAUGGCAGAUUUUUGGACUCUCCAAAUGACAUCAAAGAGGGUGCUGUCAACUUCUUCUCAACUCUGUUUGCCAAGCCACAAUGCAGAAGAAUUGAAAUGGGAGACUCAGGGUUCUCUAAAAUUUCAGAAGAAAGUUCAGUUUGGUUAGAAAGACUACCUUCAUUGGAGGAAGUGAAGCAAGCCGUAUGGGAUUGUGAUGGUUCAAAAGCCCCCGGUCCUGACGGGUUCACCUUCUCCUUCUAUAAAAAGGAAUGGAAUCUUAUCAGCCCUGACAUCUUUGUGAUGGUCACAGAAUUUUUCAGAACAGGUAAAUUACCAAAGGGGAUCGGCUCGUCCUUCGUGACUUUGAUUCCAAAGACCAAGAGGCCGAGCACUUUCUCCCAAUUUCGACCAAUUAGUUUGAUUCAUGGGUUAUAUAAAAUAGUGGCAAAGCUCUUGUCCACUAGGCUCCGAAGCAUUCUACCAGAUGUGAUAAGUGUAAACCAGUCUGCUUUCAUUGCCGGGCGUCAGAUUCUAGAUGGGUUCAUGAUAGCAAACGAGGUUGUCCAUAGUAUUCGUAGCAAAAAGGACCACGGGUUUUUGCUAAAGGUAGAUUUUCAUAAAGCCUUCGACUCGAUUUUAUGGGAGCAUAUCGAUUCUACCAUGGGUUAUAUGGGUUUUGGAUCUCACUGGAGGAAACUGAUCUUUGAAUGCAUGUCCACUUCUAAAUUGGCCAUCCUGAUUAAUGGCUCACCAAGCAGAGAAUUCAGUAUGGAGAGGGGUCUCAGGCAAGGGGACCCCCUCUCUCCUUCCUUUUUGACAUAGCAGUUCAGGGGUUAACAGUUCUAUUCAACAGGGCAUCAGAUUCAGGUUACUUUAAAGGUUUACAGACUUCGCAAGGACAUCACAUAACCCAUUUGCAAUAUGCAGAUGACACUUGAUUUUCCUGCCGAAUGAUUAUAUCUCUCUAUUGCAUGUCAAGAGGAUCCUCCGCUGGUUUGAGAUCAUUUCAGGACUGAAAGUUAAUUUCUAUAAAAGCUCACUUAUAGGAAUUAAUUUGGAUAACGAAUACACUUCAGGUCUGGCUAACACAAUUUUCUGUCGCAGUGACUCUUCCCAGUCAGAUACCUUGGGUUGCCUCUUGGUGCUAACCCAAAUAGGCUCUCCACUUGGAAACCGGUAUUGUCCACAAUCAGAGCAAAGUUAAGCAAAUGGAAAGGGAAGUUUUUGAGCAUGGCCGGAAGGAUAUGUCUUAUUAAAUCUGUCUUAAACUCUCUACCUCUAUACUAUAUGUCGGUCUUUAUUAUGCCAAAGGGCAUUGCAAAAGCAAUAUCCUCAAUCAACCGAUGUUUUCUCUGGAAGGGCUCCUCAAAUUCACAUGGUAUUUGUAAGGUUGCUUGGCAUAAGGUAAUUAAGAGUAAGCCACUGGGAGGUCUCGGGCUUGGUUCUAUUCACAGUAAAAAUCUGGCUCUGAUGUUUAAAUGGCUUUGGAACCUUGACAAAGGAGUGGUAGGAGGUUGGCAAGAGCUCAUCUUACGAAAGUACCGGCCACAUUUUUCAAAUGGCCUUCCUGUGUUUGCAGGUUCUUUAUCUCCAACUUGGCGUGGCAUGGUAUCUGCAAUUUCCUUAAAUCACAGCAUAGCCGCUCCCAUCCAAUCCAAUGUUGGGUUUAAGGUGGGUGAUGGGAGAAACAUCAGGUUUUGGUCUGAUUCUUGGCUAGGCUAUGCAGCCCCUCUCCAGUUCAUGUUCCCUAGGCUCUACAACCUCUCCCUGCAGCAAUCUUUAAGCGUUGCAGAAGUUCAUAACCCAACAGAUAACUCAAUCAAUCUUUCUUGGAGAAGACCACUUCGAUCCCGAGAACUCUGCAUGUGUGAAAGCUUGAUAGCAGAAGUGGAACGUGGCCUAGUCUUCUCUGAUGGUGAAGACAACAAGAUUUGGAAACACCAUAGCUCCAACAAUUACACAGUCUCCUCUGGGUGCCAUCUCUUUGACGGUUUAAAUGUUUCAGGACAUCUGCACUCCCCUGCUUUGCUUUGGAAAGGGUUUGCGCCUCCAAAAAUAGAUGUGUUCAUAUGGCUUCUUUUCAAUGGCAGUGUCUGCACAAAGGGUUUCUUAGCUGAGAGGAGAAUCAUCAAUUACGAGGAAGCUCUUUGUCCUUUCUGCUGCAAGGAGAUUGAGACUACACAUCAUCUUUUCCAUCUUUGUCCAAAAUCAUGGUCUCUUUGGGGCAGACUAUUUAGUUGGUUUGGGUGUGUAGGUUGUCUGCCAAAAGAACCAUAUCAUAACCUUCAGGAAUGGUCUAACAUGGUAAAAGGAAAAUUCCAGCGUCAGGCAAUUUCCCUUCUCUGUAAAGGAUUAUACUGGUCAAUUUGGAUAGCGCGCAACCACAUGAUCUUUGACAACAAAACUCCAGACUGGGAUGUGAUUUUUGACCUCACCUUUCAUCGGUUGGCCUUUUGGUUGAAGUCCUUUGUUAAAAAUUUCAGCUAUACGGGCUCUGAUCUUUAUAGAAAUCCUGAAUGUAUUAUGAACUGGACUAACUAGUCAGGUCUUUAGAUUCCUUGUUUUCUUAAUGUAUUUUUAAUUUCCCAUGUAAUCUUCCUUAUCAGCCCUCAUCUCCUUAAUGGGGGCAUAUUAUUUAUAAUAUUCUCGAUUACUAUCAAAAAAAAAUGUCCUCUUUUCCUAUUAAACAAUUUGUCCAUCAAGUUUUUGCCCCACCAGUAAGAUGGUUCACUGAAAAGACAAAUUUUGGAAAUGCUUUUGUUUGAUCUAUUUUCUGUUAUUCUCCUAAAAUAUCUUCGUUCCUUGAUAGUAUUCUCUUGGAUAUGAUGAGGUACUACUCCAUUUUUUGAUCUUUGCUGGCCUAGCAUUCCGUGGGUCUAUUUUAUAGAUUGCCAAAUAGUAUAGUCUCCGAGAAUUCUCAAAUCUAUUAGUAUUUGAAUUCAUACAAACAGAGAAAUGGCCAAUUACCAACCGCCCAAGGUAAGGUUAAUGACUCUUAUUCUCUUUAAAUUAUAUAUUUUCCAUUAAACAGUAAGAGUUUAAAAUUUUCUAAAUUAUGAUGUCAGGCCUAUGUAACUUAAAUGAUCUCCAAGAACUAGAUAUGAGGUUAGUGGUGUCUUAUCUCCAUGUCUGGCAGAUGUUACUGGAAAAUCUCUAUAUCAUUGAACCCACUAUGCAAACUUUCAAAACUCAAGUCUUUUCAUGGUUUGGAAAAUGAAAUAUCCACAGAAGAAGAUGGUCAUAAUUAAUUAAGCCCAAAGUUCCGGUUAGAGUCUCUUGGUUUGAGGUGUCAUGGACAAGGUGGAGCAUUUUCCAAGUUCUUUACCAUCAGUUGAACCUACAAUCUUUGGAUCUUACAAACAUCCAAAUAAAGGGAGAGUUUCCAAAUUGGUUGACAGAGAACUAUUGUAAAACUGAUAUAUAAAGAACAUACUAUUGUUGAUGAAUUAAAAAAAAAAAAAAGAAGAAAGUCUUUACAGUUUAAAGAACAAGGAGCAGAAAAUGUUUCGAUAGGUUACUGCCGUCCCUAAUGUUUUAUUUAUAGAAGGAAACAAACAUUACAAAAUUAUAAAAAACUGAAGAAACGUACCAGUUAUGAUCUCCUUUAUCUAAGGAGUUGUAUAACAAGCUAGUCUAAUCCUAGAUAAACUUAAACAAACGAAUUGAAAGAAACAUCCUAAUCUAGAUAAUGUUAUAAGCUAACAGAUAGAUAGCAAUGUAGUAGAUUACUGCUAAGUAAUCCUGUUCCAGCUUUGGUACCAGACUUCAACAAGAAUAACACAUACGUACCUAGAAUAGUUGACCUUGGUGCAGAACUAAUGAGUGAUGUAAACUAUUCAUCAGAACCAGUGAAAUUGAAAGACUUGCAAAGAAUCCUGAGUAAUAUUGGUGAUGGAGGUAUGUUCUGCUCAGAUAGUGCAAUUGACCAUAUCUUUUGUUGUCUUAUGUGUUGCGAUUUCUUGUGUGUCUUACGUCGUUGUAUUCUAAGGUAAUUAUGAGGUUGCAAGGCCACUAAACUCCAGAGGAUAUUUUAGACUUUUUGCAGAGCCCUCCUUUCCGUCAACAAGUGGAUUCUUUUACUUAUGUAAGAAAUGCGAGGCUGAUCCUUCUUGUUCUGGUUCCUGUCCUUUUGAUGAUAGCCAAUUUUACAAGGUUUAGCUCUUCUUUUUGCUUGAAGGUUCUCCGAACUGGACAAAUAGAUUUGUCUGAAUUUGGGAUCAACCCCAAUAAAUAUGAGUGGUUUGUGGCUCUAGAACCUGUACCUUAGCAAUGGUUUUCUCUUUAGCAAAUCAUUUACUCGUGUUCAUUAGCAUUAACUAAAGUCUUUAGUUAAUUCUUUCUUGGGAAAUUCUUAUUAGGGUUGCUUAUAUAACUAAUGAUUAUAGAACCUUGUUCGAAGUAACCUGAACAGCCUCUUCCUCGGCAAUCCUGGCAUUUCUUGAUCUACCCAAUACUGGUUUGGGCACACACCUAUAUAUAUUUUUUGGAGUUUCAAGAAGCCAUGCUCUAUGUAGGCACACAUAGAAUUUCCCACACCAAAUCAUAAUCAAACUCGAUCCGCUUUAGUAAUCUAUUUUAUUUAAACAUGCAGUCUGCCAAACCCAAUCCAGAAUAACAAGGCAUCCUUUUAUUAAUUCACGUAGAAACUACUAGUCCUAAGUUUAUAAAUCCAAUCAUAGAGCAAUCAGUGAAGAAACUUCAUUAUUAUAUAUCACACAGAAACUAAAAACAAAAACAAAAACAAAAACAAAAACAAAAACAAAACUCAAAUGAAAAUCAAUAUAAACUUAUUUAAAUCUUGAAACUAAAACCCAAAACCAUGCACCAAGGCUUAGUACCAUCAAGAUAAAAGGCUAUGAAAAUCCAAACUUAGAUAAAAUGAGAAGAUUGUCCACCAGAAAAUAAUAGCAAUUGUUGAUGCUCACCUCAAUAAAGUGAAACCAAGAUUGUUGCCAAUUUGGAUUUAUGUACAAAAUUGCACCUAUCACCAAUAACACCAUAAUGUAUGCAACCCCAAGGCUCACAUAGAAAACCUCUAUAUCCAUGAAACCACCAUUAUCUUAUUAUUCGUUGAAGUUGGCAUUGGUGAUGGUGGCAUAGCCACACCACAUAUUUUGGGUAGCAGUUCUCCACAAAAAAAGGGUUGUCCUUGUAGUAGCUCUCUUCAAAUGUGAUAAACUAUGCAACUCUAACAAGAGUCUUGCUAAAUCUUUUAAAUCUAUCAACCUUUCCGGCCUAUUAUAAUCUAAAUAUAGUGAUUAAAGAGAUGAAAAUCCCUCCACAAAUGAUAGAAUAUUGUUAUCGAAACAAUUAAUUCUCAAGUCAAUAUACUCCAAAUUGUUCAAUUUAUGUAACUCAUAACUGUCGCAUGUCACCCGUGCGGCAUCAGCUUGGUGAUUUUUCAUUGUCGUUUGAUUUGAUUGGUUUAGAGUUGCCACCUAGUAUUUAAUUGAGGACUACUAGGAAACCUGAGUGUACUAGUCUUGUCAGAGAUUCACGGGUAAGGGACUACUAGGCGGUCAAGAGUGGCAGAGGGCCGUCGGCUGGCUUUUUGUUGGCUGGGAGUUGGGUUUUUCUAUUUUUGAUAAAGGGGGGCGUGACAGCUUCUCUUGGAGAAGAUAGAGUUAGGUCUUUUUUUUUAGGGUUUUCUCUCUUCUUUUUUUGUGUUACCUCCCCCUGAAUGUUCAAAAGUACCCCCCCCUUUGUUUUGAGUUACGGACCUAUAUUUAUAGGUAAAAUGUUGCUCGGGCUUCAAAAUUGGUCUCUCAACCUUUUUUUUUUGUAAAUUUUGAUUUUUCUUGUAUUUUUGAAAACAAGCAACAUCAACGCCAACUCAAUGAGAGAAAUCAAGGAUUUUAAAAACGACGCGUGAAAAGUCGAACGCGUUCGAAAGACCUUUGAAAAUUUAAAUUUGUUUUUAGAUGAUGUUGAAAAUGCUAAAAACAAUGCAAAUAUAUUAAAAACAUAUUUUUUGAAUUUUCGUUGUUUUCCGCUAUUUUUGGAUUUUUUGAAAAUUUUAUCAAAUAGGUGGGUCAAAAAUCGGGUAACAACAUAUGUCCCCUCUUUACAAUGCUUACGAAGCAAAACUCCUCAAUGUUUUGCAUAGUAAGCUUUGUAAAGAAAAGGAAAGGAAAAUGAUUUCAUUAUCUUGGGCAACCUGCCCCUUUUAAAGAAAAGUGAUCUAUUUUCAGGGGUGACCUGCUCAUACACUCACACUGGUCUAUUUUCAAGGGUGAUCUGCCCACACAUAUGUAAAGUGGCCUACUUUCAUGGGCGACCUGCCCUUUUGAUUGGGUUUAUCUAAGAUCCCAUCUGACAAAUUAACAAGAACCAAAAUCGGUGCGUAGCUCGGUCAAUUUGAAAUCACAUCUAGCGAUUCCCUUUAACCAAAGCUAAAUUCUGCAUGGUUAUGAUAAACUGAGAUCCCUAAACCAAUCCCCUUUAACCAGAACCAAAAUCCAUUGUAGUUAGGCUAAACUGAGAUCCCUUCGCCGAUCCCCUUUAACCAGAAUCCAAAGUUCUGUGUGUGGUUAUGAUAAACUGAGAUUCCUUCGCCGAUCCUCUUUAACCAGAACCAAAAUCCUUUGUAGUUAGGUGACAAGACCAAAAAAUUGAUGUCUUCUCCCAAGUGCAGGAGUAUCGAAGUAAUAAAUAACCCGGCAAGACCGGGGUCGAACCACAGAGAGGUAAUUGUAUAAAUUAUAAAUAACAAGACAACAACAACAACAACAACAACAACAAUAACAACAACAACAACAACAACAAUAACAAUAACAAUAAUAACAAUAAUAAUAAUACUCAGUACGUGGCGUUGUUAUACCUGAGAAUGAUCUAAAAGAUCGGGUCAUAGGUUUCCAACCUAUAUACUAAGUUUAUGAAAAGAUCAAAGAGAUAAAUUAUAUAAUAUAAACAAAAUGUAAAUAAUAAUAAUAAUAAAAAAAAAAAAGAAGAGGAGGAAGAAAUUAAUGAGAACUUUGAGAUGGAAGAUUAAUGUAAGGAUUAAACAAUGAUAAAAACAAAUGUCAAGGUUAGAGGAUCCACCAAUGGUAUUUCAAACAAGUAUAGUAUAAACUCUUAUUAUUCAACUGGAAACCACACACAAAGGAGGUUCCAAUCGGAUGAUUUCUCAUUAAUAGCUCAUUAUAAAUUAUUAACAUGAUCAUAUUAAUUAUCUUAAUUACAUAACACCAAACUUUUAAAUAUUGUCAGGAAUUCAUGAUAUUAACUGAUGUUAACAACAAAUCAAGUUCCUUUCAUAGCCCAGGUGUAGGUAAUACCAUACUGUUGGGCUAUGAGAGUGCCAAGCAUUUGUUGUACCAAGUGUUAUACAACACAAAUCUAGAUUAACCAUUUAACAAGCAAGGUAUUAAGAAUUAGUAAGAUAAAAAGAUAAGACAUGUUAAUAUUAAACAUUAAGAUCCAUGUUGAGUUUACACUAUAUUUAUUCUUACACCAUUAGUGUAACCUUUUCACCUUGACAUAAUAAACUUAGCUAAACAUAAUGAAGAAGAGAAACAUAAAUAAACAAAACAAGAACAUAAAGAAAAUACAAGUUAACUAAGUAAAGGAAAGGAAAUGAAAAGCAUAAACAAGAUAUUAAUGAAAGCAAAACUUAAAAAUUACAAAAAAAUAUAAAGAGAGAAAUAAAGAGCAUGAGCUUGAUCUGAACAACCAAGCCCAAAUACAUGGCAAAUGCCUCCUUUUAUAGGCCAAAAUUCGGAAUUAUUGAUUUGAUGACUAAUUGUUGAGUGGGUGGCCAACUUUUGACUUGGUGAAAAUCCUUAUCUUCUUGUCUGAAUAAAAAAAAUGCUACCAUCCGAACUGGGUCCACUGGAAAACAUGAAAGUUGUAGGAAAUUGACUCAGCUUUCCAGGAAAAAAAAAUGGAGGUCAUUUGGACUUCUAGAACUCCAGAUAUGGGCCAAACACUGAACAGUGUUCGGGCUGCAGGACAGAUUCGGACUUCUCCGUUGUUGCUAUAAUUUGGACUUGAAAACGGCCUUCUUAGAUCUUGAUGAAAACAUGAAAGUUGUAGGCCUAUGUCUUACUGAAUCUGUGUAAAAUUUGAGGUCAUUUGGACAUCUAGAACUCGAGAUAUGACCCAAUUACCGAACAGUGUUCCAGUUUGGACUGCACCAACAUCUCUUUUCUAAGUUUCACCCUCUCUUUAUCUUUGCAAAUUUCAGUAGUUGAAUUCAUCAAUCAAUCCUUUGAUUUAUGUGAUAGGCCUGCAUUUAAGAUGAACAUUUACCAUAUAUUAGGGCAUUUUAUAGUUUUAGACUUGUUAUUAUAAAACAUGCUUUAGUUAAGGAGUUAUUGAUACUUUAAGUGCAAAAUGAUGAUAUAAAACCUUGAUAAAUAUGCACUUUUAAGUACUAAUCAUUAGGCUAAACUGAGAUCCCUUCGCUGAUCCCCUUUAAUCAGAACCCAAAGUUAUGUGUGUGGUUAGGAUAAACUGAGAUCCCUUCGUCGAUCCCCUUUAACUAGAACCAAAAUCCUUUAUAGUUAGGCUAAACUGAGAUCCCUUCGCUGAUCCCCUUCAACUAGAACCAAAGUCUAUGUGUGGUUAGGAUAAACUAAGAUCCCUUUGCCGAUCCCCUUUAACCAUAACAAAAAUCCUUUAUAGUUAGGCUAAACUAAGAUCCUUUCGCCGAUCCCCUUUAACCAAAACCCAAAGUUCUAUGUGUGGUUUGGAUAAACUAAGAUCCCUUCACCGAUCCCCUUUAACCAGAACCAAAAUCCAUUGUAGUUAGGCUAAACUGAGAUCCCUUCGCCGAUCCCCUUUAACCAGAAUCCAAAGUUCUAUGUGUGGUUAGGAUAAACUAAGAUCCCUUCGUCGAUCCCCUUUAACCAGAACCAAAAUCCUUUGUAGUUAGGCUAAACUGAGAUCCCUUCGCCGAUCCCCUUUAAUCAGAACCCAAAGUUUUGUGUGUGGUUAGGAUAAACUGAGAUCCCUUCGUCGAUCCCCUUUAACCAGAACCAAAAUCCUUUGUAGUUAGGCUAAACUGAGAUCCCUUCACCGAUCCUCUUUAAUCAGAACCCAAAGUUCUAUGUGUGGUUAGGAUAAACUGAGAUCCCUUCGUCGAUCCCCUUUAACCAAAACCAAAAUCCUUUGUAGUUAGGAUAAGCUGAGAUCCCUUCGCCGAUCCCCUUUAACCAGAACCAAAAUCCUUUGUAGUUAAGCUAAACUAAGAUCCUUUCGUCGACCCCCUUUAACCAGAACCCAAAGUUUUGUGUGUGGUUAGGAUAAAUUGAGAUCCCUUCAUCGAUCCCUUUUAACCAGAACCAAAAUCCUUUAUAGUUAGGCUAAACUGAGAUCCCCUCGUCGAUCCCCUUUAACUAGAACCCAAAGUUCUGUGAGUGGUUAGGGUAAACUGAGAUCCCUUUGUCGAUCCCCUUUAACCAAAACCAAAAUCCUUUGUAGUUAGGCUAAAUUGAGAUCCCUUUGCCGAUCCCUUUUAACCAGAACCCAAAGUUCUGUGUGCUGCUCGGUCAACCUGGAAUCCCAUCUGGUGAAUCCCUUCAACCAAAGCUAAAACAUUCAUGGUGGUUAACCUGGGAUUCCUUCUGGCAAUCUCCUUUAACAAAAAAAAAUGUUUCUUCUUCAAGAUGAUUGGGUUAAAAUUAAAGACUCUUCUUCAUUGAUCUUCUUAUUUCUUUGAGAUUUCCUUAAUGUUAGGGUUUAUCUCAUCUUCCUCCCAUUUCGGGGUCAAAACCAUGAUUCUUUGUUGUUCAUCAACUCAAUGAUUCUUUCUUUGUGCCUAAUCUUGCUCGACUAUAUUGAGGAUUUUUCCUGCAACAAAUCAAAAAUAUAUGGAAUACUUCGACGUUAGAUGCAUGCAUCCUUACCUGAUUUGAAAUAUAGGUCCCCCCCUCUUCAAUGUUCCAUCAUCAUAGCACCUUUGUUUGUUAUUCAAAGCUUUCUUUAUUCUUUCAGUGCAAUGGUUCAUUCGUGUGCUAGCCUUCCACUCUAAUGUAAGUGUAGUGCCUAUCGUGGGUUGUCCAUGACAGUUACUACUCUUAUUGCUUCUCAAGCUUGACCAUGCUUCCAUGUGUGAUGUAGCUUGAUUCCAUAAAUUAUCUUAUCUCUUGGAUUCUUCCGAGAAUUGUUCUUUGUUUGAAUAUGUGCAUCGUGCCAAUGCCCAUUAAAAUUGUCAAUCAAUCAUGGACUUGCCCCCAGUUGAAACAAUACUCUUCAAGUAUAUGUUAUCAUCAGUAUUCUUGGAAACUAUCCAAUCAUCCAGACAUGCAUCUCAUAGCUUGCAGUAUAAAGGCUCAUGGUUGUAUGCUCAGUGUUCUUCUUAAUAGAUUCCUUUCAACUCUUCUAAUCAAAUUGUGAAAAGAAAUGUCUCGGCCUCAUUAAUGAUGUUGCUUUUAUCACCCAUAUUCAUGCGGUGAAGUGCUCAUUUGGCUUCAAAACAGAUGGUACCACAGUCAGUCUUAGUGGGUGCAUCCUUUCAACAUUCAUUCAAAUGCAAUUAUGCGAUAACAUCAUUCAAAAGUCAUAGCCAUGUUGGAGAUGAUAAACCAAGAUGAAGAUAUGAAAAUAUCCUUCAAGUGCAGCGUUGCUCAUCAAUUGUUGCUGAAAUGCACUAAAUCACAGACUAUCUUUAAACAACAUUGCCCCCAGUCGAUUUGAACAUGCUCAUUCUUCAGUCUAUAAUCAAAUGGCUUUUGUGAUUGCCAAGAAUGACUUUGAUGGACUUUGGUGACUCAUCAUCUGAUUCUUUCUUUGCCCCCAGCUGAUAUGAAUACUUUUUGUUUUUCUUCUCAAGGUCCACUAUAUUGCCCCUAGGUGAUCAACUUUUCAAGGAGUGUCGAGAAAUGUUGAUGUCAUUUUUGUCAAGGAUUUUGCCAAUUUGAUCGAUAUUCUUCUUGUUUGGCAAUCUUUCUUGUUUUGGAAUCAAAUCUCAGAUUUUGAAGAUCAUGUCUAUUCAAAGUCUAGUUGUUGAAAUGAAAUCAGAGAUGUUGGUUUUGGAAAAGAUUUUGAAAAUCAAACCUCUUUGAUCAAAGACCCAAUACGCCAUUCAAUGUAAUCAUUUGAUUGUCUUGUAAUUUGAAAGCAGAAAUUGACCCGUUGUGAGAUUAAAAUAGCUUUUUUGGUUCUUUAUAUCUAUUUUAAUAUUUGAUCUUGAGUGUAUCAUUUGAUGGUCUGUGAUGAGGUGACCUUUUGUGAAUUUCAAGGAAAACAAAAGACUCAAGUCAAAACUUAAGGAUUCAUCAAGAAAGAUUGUUUUCUUUUUUAACACCAAUUUUAUCAGAAUGCAUAAUAACAAGUAGCUUAAUCCAUGAAGCCACGACUCUUAUGGAAAGCUCUUCAAGUUUUGAGAUCGCCAUUUAUCGGUUCAGAUUGCUUCUUGAUUAAAAAGAGCUUUUUAAAGCACGUAAUGCAGGCUAUGGUUCAUGGUUAUGAAAGAAAGGAAUUUCACAAGCUCAAAAGUUGUUUUAGGGUUUCAACGACUAGGAUCAACAUUAACUAUUCAUAAACUCCUUUUCUCUUGUUGUUGUCGCACGUGUGCGGCGGCGCGGCGAUCGUCCACCCUCAAGAAAAAAAUCGGAAUAUUAUAUUCCUGGCAAAUAGGGAGAGACAAGAAAAUUCUUGUCUCUACAAGUGAAAAUAUGGACUGGGAGUCGCCACCUAGUAUUCUGGUUACUUGGAACCUUAACUGGUCUUCUUUAGCGAUCGGGUACGGAGACUGGUUGCGUAAAGGGAAGGUAUUAGCACCCCAACUACGCCCUACCUAAGGUAGGCUGCAUUGUUUUAAAGUCUGAUCAAAUCUAAAAUCGUGUUGUGGUUUUUUUAUUUGUUGGUUCGUUUACGGUUUAAGAAAAGUCCUCCUCUGUAAGGAGAUCCUUAUCUUUAUCGGGUAAAAAACUAACUAUUCGAAGUCGUCAAAAGAAAAUAUCUUUUUAAUAUCAGGAAUACGAUUUACGUAUAAAUUCAUAAUCCCUGAUACUAAAAUCAAACAAAAUAAAAUAUUUUGUUGUUUUUGAGAUUUUGGCCAAUGUUCUCUUGACUUUAAUAAACUGGUUAUUAAAGCCAAAAUGCAUGCUAAAAUAUUGUUUUUUGACAUAUGAAAAAUACGAUAUGAUUUUUUAGAUUUGAGACACUUGGCCGUAUGCACAAAAACAUUUUUUUUCUCUUUUUUUAAUUUUUUUUUUUGUAUUUUUGGAAGUUUUUGCCGAAAACCGGGUAUUUUAAUACCGGAUUUGUAUUUUACGAAUAAAAAUACUGCCCGAUAUUAAUCAAAAUGACGCGGAAAAAUUAUAAAAUGCUGAAACAAAUAUUUUUGAUUUUUUUUGUGUGAACAGUACCGUGUGAAAGAUAAGUGCGAAAACCGGGUAUUUUAAUACCGAAUUAUAUUUUUACGAUGUAAAAUACAUACCGAUAUUAAGCAAAAUUGAUAAAAAAAUGUGCUGGAAAAAUUGUAAAAAAAAAAUAAAAAAAAUAAAUGGGCCGGACCAUAUCAGUUGGGCUAAAUGGGCUGGUUACUGUGCAUAAGCACAGUAACCAGCCUCUCAUCAGUUGCAGAACGUGAAUUAAUUCACGUUCUGCAUGAAAAAAAAAGAAGGCAGAAAGGAGAAGGAGACGGGGCAGGGGUUACCUGCGGUGGCGUCGAGGCGGUGCUGCUGGUGGCAGCGGAGGCGAUGGUGGCGGAGGCACGGUGGUUCUGCGUUUUCUUCUCUCUCUCGUUUUCUCUCUCUUUUUUCUUCUUUUCUUUUCUUUUUUCUUCUUUCUUCUCUCUUUUCUUCUCCUCUUCUUCUUCCUCUCUCUCUCUUCUCCUUCUCUUCCCCUCUUCUUUUUUUUUUUCCUCUUCGGUCUCCCCUGUUUUUAUAGGCAAAAACAGGGGGGGACGUCAUGGUGGUGGCCGUUGUGCUGCCGCCCGUCCAACGCCCGUAACGUGGAAAGUGGUCGGCAAGUCGGCGUCUUUUUUCGCAAAAAACGGGAAAGAAAUUAGGCGAAAAGGGGAAGAAAAAAUCUUCUUCUUCCCCUGCCUCGCGCGUCCAGGGGAAGAAGAAGAGCUACAGUGCCGUCAAAACGGCACCGUUUUGCCCAGCUUCUUCUCCUCUUCUUUUCCCCGCCGGCGGUGACACUCACCGUCACUAGCAAAAGAAGAAAAAAUACAAGCAGUCGAUUUUCUAGGUCCACUCGAUUUUGGAUGGCGGCCGAACUAAUGGUUGUGGAAGGAGUGUUGGAUGGCCAGAGCAGCGGUGUCACCGUUGGGGAAAGGGACAACACUGGAUCUGUGGGCGUUACUGUUGAGGAAACCGAAGGGGAAGCAACCGUUGCUGAUGGGGAAGGAUACGCUGUUGUUGGAGGUUUAGGGUUCGGUGGAGGCCGGUUUGGCCGCUAGUCUGUGGGGGAUGAGAGAAGGAAGAGGGUGAGCGAUGGGGUUUUGUUUCUUUGCAAGGAAGAUGGAGAUUUUCGAGCAGCAACUCUUUUAGGGCAAAGAGAGAGGAAGUUCAAAAUGAGGGUGGUGGCUCUAGUGAGGCCAAGAGGGAAGAUGAUGGGGAGAUGGGGGCUCUGGUUUUCUUUGGCAAGGCCAAAGGGAAAAAAUGAGUGGCUGGCUGUGAGAGGGAGAACCGGUUUUGGUUUGGGUGAGCGACUGUAGAGGUAAAACGAAAUGGCCAAGGGAGAAGGUGGCCGAGAGUGGUAGAGGUCCACCGACUGGCUUUUUGUUGGUUGGGAGUUGGGUUUUUAUGUUUUUGAUAAAAGGGGGCGCGACGGCUUCUCUUGGAGAAGAUAGAGUUAGGUCUCUUUUCUUUUUAGGUUUUUUUUUUUUUGUGUUACCUCCCCCUGAAUGUUCAAAAUUACCCCCCCCCCUUUAUUUUGAGUUAUGCACCUAUACUUAUAGGUAAAAUGUUGCUCGGGCUUCAAAAUUGGUCUCUCAGCUCUCUUUUUUUUUUUUGUAAAUUUUGAUUUUUUUUGUAUUUUUGAAAACAAGCAACAUCAACGUCAACUCAAUGAGAUAAAUCAAGAAUUUUAAAAACGACGCGUGAAAAGUCAAACGCGUUCGAAAGAUCUUUGAAAAUUUAAAUUUUUUUUAGAUGAUGUUGAAAAUGCUAAAAAUGAUGCAAAUUUAUUAAAAAUAUAUUUUUUGAAAUUUUGUUGUUUUCCGCUAUUUUUGUAUUUUUUAAAAAUUUUAUCAAAUAGGUGGGUCAAAAAUCGGGUAACAACAAUAACCACCUACAUAAAUAAAUUAAGACUUCAUGUAAUGUUUUCUUAAAAAAAAGAUAUUGUUGGAUUUAUUUAAUUAUGAUCGAUUAAGAGGUAUGUUAUUGCUAUAGUGACGUCAUGUAAAGAGGUUGAGGCGGUGAAAGUAUAAGUAAAAGGACUAAUUGUUACAGUGAUGAUGUCAUGAUUAUAAAAUAUUAGUAAUGUAAUUAUAUAUGUGAAUAUAUGAUAUAAAUGUUAUAAAUAAUAAAGUUUAAAAGAUUAUUUAAAAAUAUUUUGUUUUUCACAUUGAAAAGAUAUUAUAUUAGUAUGUUAUCCUUUCAAGUUAAAGUAUUUAAACAAAAAAAAAAAUUAUUCUAUAUUGAAAAAACAUAAUUUUUUUUCUUGUUAAUAUAGAGUAUAUAUAUUAAAGGACUUCAAAUCCCACAUUGAAAAAAUAAUUUUUUUCCUGUGAACAUAGUAUAUAAACUAAAAAACUUCAAAUCCCAUAUUGAAAAAGUAAAAUAUUUUUCUAGUAUUUAUAUAGUGAACUUUGAAAAGGGUUAAUAACUAACUAAAAAAUAUAUAAAAAAGAGGUGUCUCUUACCAGGAGAAAAAAAAACAUUUAAAAAAAAAAAAUGGGGUCUCAACCGGGUUUUUCCAGGUCACUAGUCAACCCAGUGGGUCAACCCAGUUUUGCUUACCCCGAUCUUUUGCCUUAACCUACCGAUCCAGCCAUCGGGUCGACCGGGUCUCGGGUCAACCUCCUAGGCCGGUUCGGGUUUAAUAACUAUGAUAUAUAUAUUCUUUUUAUAAUGCUUUGAAUCUGAAUAUCUUUUAGAAAAAAUAUGGUUUUAUUUUGUUUUGAAUUUUUUUUUAAUUUUAUAUCUUAUAAUUUGAUUUUUAUAUUAAUUUUGGUCAUUAUUUAGUUUUUUCUUAAUUUUUUUUAAUUCAAUUUUUUUAUUUAUCAAAUUUCAUUCUUAUUCUUUUGAUCAAUAUUUAUUUUAUUUGAAAUAAUUUAUACGAUUACAAUUAUUUUUUAAAAUUUUAUCAUCUUUCAAUUAUUUUUUAUUUUACAUGCCAUGCACAGCUUAGGGACCCAUCCCUUUGUAUAAAAAAUGAUUUGACGGUCCUUGGGUUGGGUGUAUGCCUACGUACUUAGUUUUCUAAAUAGGCCUUGACUCUUUUUCUCUCUGUAUGUUGUGUUAGUGUUAAAAUCUUAGUAUAUUAUACAAUUGGAUUUAUUUUUAUGUUUCACAAACGAGUAUUAUACAUUUGUGUCUCGUUUUUUCUAAUUAAAAACUUGUAUUGAUUUAUUUAUUUUUUUGUAAUUUGAAUACUUGCUCUUAUGAAUUUUUAUCAAUCAAGUCUCUAAUAAUGUUUGUUUCCCAAAAAAUAGUUUCUGAAAAACCACUUUCCAAACUUUCCCGUGUUUAUUUGUAAUUUGGCUUCGUUUUCAACAAAGUGUUUUCCUGAAAAAUUUGAGCGGAAAACACUUUCCGGAAGUUAUGAAAAAUUUAGAAAUGUCAUAUUAUUUGUUGAUUAUAUCAAAUUUGAUCCUCAAACUUUUGAUUGUUAUAUAUAUUUUGUUUUGAAUAUUUAUUUUUCAAUUUCAUCUCUUAAAAUUUAAUUUUUAUAUUAACUUUGGUCCUCAUUUUUAUAAUUGUUAUUUGCUUUUUCCUUAUUAUUUUUUUAUUAAAAUUUUUUAUCUAUCAAAUUUGGUCCUCAUUCUUUUUUAUUGUUACUUAUUUUAAUUGAAAUAAUUUAUGAAAUGUUAAUUAUUAUUAUUUUAAUUUCUUCAUCUUUUUUUUUUUUAGAUUUGAUCUAUAUUAUUUUAAUCAUUAUUUAUUUUAUUUGAGAUAAUUUAUGAAAAAAACAUUUUCCAAUUUCAUUCUCAUUUAACCUUUAAUUUUGUAAGAUUUGUUCCUUAUUAUUUUAAUAAACUUGAGAAAAAUAAAACAUUAAUAAGUUAUUUUCCAGCUCAUUUUCCAUGACAUAACCAAACACUAGAAAGUGUUUUCAACUUAUUUUCCAUUAAACUACCAAACAUCAGAAAAUAAUUUACUUUCCCGGAAUUCACUUUCCAAAAAAAAACUAUUUUCCAACAAACAUACGGGGCCUCUGUAUUAGUUUUGUUGCCAGAAUGCAAAUAACAUGAUUAAUACUAUUUUAUUUUCAAUUUUUUCAAGGCCUAAAUUUUCCAAACCUAAUUUCCAUAAAAAUAAUAGCAAGUCUUAUAUAUCCACAAUCAUCAUGUGCCUAGCAUUAACCUUUUAUUCAUGUUUUUUCCAAAAACAAAACUUGACUUUCGGUCGACAACGUUUUAAGAUGGAAUAUAAGUUUCGGUUAAUUACUUAAUUUCAAUUUUUUUUUGUACUCUAUGCUUUCGAUGAACAUCACUUUCUUAAGCUAGUUGCAGUAUAUAGAAAUUUCUUCUAACAUUUUAGAAAUAUAAUUCACAUCUGAAUUGAUAAAUUCACAAAUUAAUAUAAUAGGUUUUACCAUUUAUUUUAAUAUAUUUUUGGAAUUUAAUAUUAAUAGUUAUAAAGUUUAUUUAGUUAAUAAAAAUUGUUCCACUUUUGUUAUAUCACUUUCCUUUUAAAUUAUUUUAAAGUUUAUUUAUUUUGAAUUUAAUAUAUCAUUUUUUUUUGGAAUAGAUAAAAUUUAUUUUUAAAAAUAAAAAAACUCUUUUCAAAUAAUAUUUCAAAUAUAUGAAGCCAGGCAUAUUAUUACUAUUUUUUAUUUUAUUCAAUCAAUUUAUAAUAUGUGUGUCUAUUAUUAUUAUUAUUUCAUCGAAUUUUUUUUUUAGAUGAAUAUCACUUUCUUAAGCUCAUUGUAGUAUAUAGAAUUUUUUUUAAAAUAAAAAUAAAAAUAUUAUUCACAUCCGAUUAAAUACCUCCACAAAUAUAAUUCCAUUCAAAGUUGCAUCAUGUAUUAAUCUAAGGUCCAUUGUCCAUUAAUUAAUCGGUGGUUGCGUUUUAACACUUGAGAUUUAUUUUUUAUGCAUAACCAUUUAAUUUAUUUUUUUGCAAACUAAAUUGAAAUUAAAGCAUAUUAAUUAUCCAUUCCCAAGCUUACGGGGCAAUGGUCUCAUGGACCCAUCUCGUAGAAAAAACGCUUGAUAGCAAUGGUCUCGUGGACCAUCCCACCGGCCUAUAUCGUGGAAAAAAAUACAGAUGGCAAUGCAUGGUCUCACAGACCCAUUUCGCACUGCAAAUUGCUAUCCAUCUUACUUGUUGAUUGUGUUAUAUAAAAAUAGACUGACAAGUACUUUAGAAAGAAAAAGAAGAAGACUUGUUGUCAUGACAAUGACAAGAAGUAUUUUUUAAAAAAAUAUUAUUUGUGGUUCAUUUUAUCAACGAUACUCUUUGAUUUUGUCAUCACAAUCAAAAUUAAGGCAUGAUUUUUGAAGAUUUUAGGUAAAGAUCAUAAUUUUGAGUUAUGGUUUGUUUAAAUAAUGAAUUUGAGUUAGAAAUCUUGAUAUAUUAAUAAGUGAUCUGUGUGUAUUUAAAAUUAAAGUGCAUAAAUUUAAUAUUGAAAUUUAAUUAAAGUCUCUCUUACAAUCCAAAAUUUAUUUUUAAUUAAAGCGCAUAAAAUAAACAUAGUUAAAGUUCUUUCUUUCUCUUCCUCUCUGUCUCUGUGUAUGUUAGACGGAGUUUGCAUUAGAUAAUCAAUAAUAGGAGGAGAGUCGUCCACAUUCCAUUUGAGGCUAUUAAUCAUAGGAGGAGACCAUAUAUUUUUAAUCCUGAAAGAGUGAGCAUUGGACCACCGAAGCAAGCCAUAUGCCGAUCUGAUCAGAUCUGUAGAGGAGUAUGGAAAAUCUGAAUGGAUAGCUUUUAGCCAAAGACAUAGACGGGUGAUAAUAAGAAAGAAAAUUGAGUCAUAAUCAGGUGUCUUCUGAUGGAAAAUGAGAUCAUUUCGAAGGAGCCAAAGAGACCAUGCCACUGAGAAGAACAACAUCAACCAUGCCUUCCUCUGAAAAUUACCAUGCACCAUGGAAGACCAUUGAGACCACAUAUCUGAGAAGCUCUUUGGGCAACACCAAACUAAACCCCACCACUUAAUGAUUUUGGACCAAAUGAGCCAAUGCUUAUGGCAGUGAAGCAGAAUAUGGUCCACCGAUUCUGCUUCAACAAGGCAGAUAGGGCAAUUUGAUUCCGAGCAACUCAAGAUACCUCUUCGAACCAACAUACAUCGGGUGUUGAGUCUGUUAAUGAUAGCCAUCCAGCAAAAGAUCUCUACUUUAGGUGGGACAAUACCUUUCCAAAAUCCAGCAAACGAGAAGGCACUUACAGAGAGUUAGUGACACUUACAGAGAGUUUAUACAAAGAGUUAGUGACACUUACAUAGCAUUUUGUAUCUUGUUUUUUCUAAUUAAAAACUUGUAUGGAUUUAUUUAUUUAUUUAUUAAUUUGAAUACUUGCUUUUAAUAAUGAUUUUUUUAUCAAUCAAGUCUCUAUAUUAGUUUUGUUGUCAGAAUGCAAAUAACACGAUUAAUAGUAUUUUAUUUUCAAUUUUUUUCAAGGCCUAAAUUUUCCACACGUAAUUUCCAUUAAAAAAAGUAGCCAGUCUUCUUUAUCCAUCAUCGUCAUGUGCAUAGCAUUAACCUUUUAUUCAUAUUUGUUUCAUAAAUAAAUAAACUUAACUUGGGGUCAACGUUUCAAGAAGGAAUAUAAGUUUCGGUUAAUUACUUAGUUUUUUCCCAAAUGUUCCACUUUUGUUAUCUCUCUAUUACUUUUCCUUUUAAAGGGGUUAUGUACAGCCCUUGUAUAUUAUUUUGAAUUUAAUAUAUAAAAAUCUUUAUUAUAGAUGAAUUUUAUUUUUAAAAAUAAAAAAAUAUAUAUUUUCAAAUAAUAUUUUUAAUAUGUGCAACAUUGCAUAUUAUUUUUUCUCCUUUUAUUUUGUUCAAGCAAUUUAUAACGUGUAUGUUGUUUUUAUUAUCGUUUAAUCGAAUAAAAAAAUUAUUUUAAUUUGAAUUUUUAGAAAAUACAAUUGUGUAAAUGUCAUGUCUUGUGAAAUUAAAUAUUUUGAUCUACACAACCAUCUAGGUGGUGGCCCAGUGGUAAAAGCUUGGGACCAAGAGGUUUGCUCCCUCUGUGGUCUCAGGUUCGAACCCUAGGUUGCUCAUAUGAUGGCCAUUGGAGGCUUACAUGGUCGUUAACUUCAGGACCCGUGGGAUUAGUCGAGGUGCGCACAACCUAGCCCGGACACCCAUGUUAAUCUAAAAAAAAAAAAAAUUGAUCUACACAUGUCUUUCGAUUUUUUUAGUUUUAAUUUUGAGUCAUCAUUUCUGUUUUUUUUUUCAUUUAUUAACAUACAUGAUUCUCGAUUUAUUUCACAAUAUUUGUAUAUAAAUUUUUUAACAUCCACUUAAUUUUUUUUAAAAUUAAAAAUUUAUUAAAGAAAUCUAUAUAUAUAUUUUUUAAUUAAACAAAUUUAACUUGCGAUGAAGCUUUGGUCGAAUAACUAAGUCUAUGUACUCAAAUGAGUGGCACUCGAAAGUUCACAUACCUUAUCUUCCAAGCAAGAAGAGACAAGAAAAGCAGUAGGUGAUGUUUUUUUCUCCGGCUGUAAAUGGAUGAAGGGAUUACUACCAAAAACAUGGACAAAAUUUGAUGUGGACCCGCACCACUUUGAUUAUUCUUCACUCUUCCUGUGUUUCACUACUUGAUGAUUCAAAAGUUAUCUAUUUAAAAAAAAAUUAAAAUUUUAAAAUAUUUUACAAUAUGGUUACAAUAUUUUUUUCUUAAGAAAAUAAAUUGAUGUCAUGUGUUAAUAACAUUUACGGAUUUUUUCCAAUAAAUUAAUCAAAUUUAUUUUAAUAAAAAAGUUUCCUAUCAAGAACAGCAUUCCUAGUUAAACCAAAGUUUUUCCACGAACCCAUCUUGUGGAAAAAAUGCAUGAUGGUUGGAAGAGGACGUCUCAUGGCCUCUCCUCAAGGAAAAAUGCAUGAUGGCAACGGUCUUAGGGACCAAUAUGUAGAUGGAAAUGUUCUCAUGGACCCAUCUCGUAGAAAAAAUGCAUCUGAGUAAGUAGAAUUUUUUCUUUUUCUUAGAUGAACAUGACUUUCUUAAGCUCAUUGUAGUAUAUAGGAUUUUUUAAAAAAUAAAAAAAUAGAAAUAUUAUUCGCAUCCGAUUAAAUACCUCCACAUAUAUAAUUCCAUUAAAAGUUGUGUCAUGUAUUAAUCUAAGUUUCAUUAUCCAUUAAUUAAUCGGUGGUUGCGUUUUAACACUUGAGAUUUAUUUUUUAUGCAUAAGCAUUUAAUUUAUUUUUUUGCAAACUAAAUUGAAAUUAAAGCAUAUUAAUUAUCCAUUCCCAAGCUUACGGGGCAAUGGUCUCAUGGACCCAUCUCGUAGAAAAAACGUUUGAUAGCAAUGGUCUCGUGGACCAUCCCACUGGCCUAUAUCGUGGAAAAAAAAUUAAGAUGGCAAUACAUGGUCUCAAAGACCCAUUUCGCACUGCAAAUUGCUAUCCAUCUUACUUGUUGAUUGUGUUACAUAAAAAUAGACUGACAAGUACUGUAGAAAGAAAAAGAAGAAGACUUGUUGUCAUGACAAUGACAAGAAGUAUUUUAAAAAUAAUAUCAUUUGUGGUUCAUUUUAUCAACCAUACUCUUUGAUUUUGUCAUCACAAUCAAAAUUAAGGCAUGAAUUUUGAAUAUUUUAGGUAAAGAUGAUGAUUUUGAGUUAUGGUUUGUUUAAAUAAUGAAUUUGAGUUAGAAAUCUUGAUAUAUUAAUAAGUGAUCGGUGUGUAUUUUAAUUAAAGGGCAUAAAUUUAAUAUUGAAAUUUAAUUAAAGUCUCUCUUACAAUCCAAAAUUUAUUUUUAAUUAAAGUGCAUAAAAUAAACAUAGUUAAAGUUCUUUCUUUCUCUUCCUCUCUGUCUCUGUGUAUGUUAGACGGAGUUUGCAUUAGAUAAUCAAUAAUAUUGUAUAUAUUCUUUUUGGAGAAGUAACUCAUUUUCACACCCUUGUUGUAGUUUUCCAUUCAUUUUCACACCCCAGUUGCCACCCUGCUUUUCUUUCCAUUCACGCACACAGAUAGUGCAUCAAAGCACUACGACAAGAGUUAGUGACACUUACAGAGCAUUUUGUAUCUUGUUUUUUCUAAUUAAAAACUUGUAUGGAUUUAUUUAUUUAUUUUUUAAUUUGAAUACUUGCUUUUAAUUAUGAUUUUUUUAUCAAUCAAGUCUCUAUAUUAGUUUUGUUGUCAGAAUGCAAAUAGCACGAUUAAUAGUAUUUUAUUUUCAAUUUUUUUCAAGGCCUAAAUUUUCCACACGUAAUUUCCAUUAAAAAAAGUAGCCAGUCUUCUUUAUCCAUCAUCGUCAUGUGCAUAGCAUUAACCUUUUAUUCAUAUUUUUUUCAUAAAUAAAUAAACUUAACUUGGGGUCAACGUUUCAAGAAGGAAUAUAAGUUUCGGAUAAUUACUUAGUUUUUUUCCAAAAUGUUCCACUUUUGUUAUCUCUCUAUUACUUUUCCUUUUAAAGGGGUUAUGUACAGCCCUUGCAUAUUAUUUUGAAUUUAAUAUAUAAAAAUCUUUAUUAUAGAUGAAUUUUAUUUAUUCAAAUAAAAAAAAAUUAUUUUCAAAUAAUAUUUUUAAUAUCUGCAACAUUGCAUAUUAUUUUUCCUCCUUUUGUUUUGUUCAAUCAAUUUAUAACCUGUAUGUUGUUUUUAUUAUCGUUUAAUCAAAUAAAAAAAUUAUUUUAAUUUGAAUUUUUAGAAAAUACAAUUGCGUAAAUGUCAUGUUUUGUGAAAUUAAAUAUUUUGAUCUACACAUGUGUCUCGAUUUUUUUAGUUUUUAUUUUGAGUCAUCAUUUUUUUUUCCAUUUAUUAACACACAUAAUUCUCGAUUUAUUUGACAAUAAUUGUAUAUAAAUUUUUUAAUAUCCACUUAAUUUUUUUAAAAUUUAAAAUAUAUUAAAGAAAUCUAUAUAUAAUUUUUUUAAUUAAACAAAUUUAACUUGCGAUGAAGCUUUGGUCGAAUAACUAAGUCCAUGUACUCAAAUGAGUGGCACUCGAAACUUUACAUACCUUAUCUUCCAAGCAAGAAGAGACAAGAAAAGCAGUGGGUGAUGUUCUUUUUUCCGGCUAUAAAUGAAUGAAGGGAUUAAUACCAAAAACAUGGACAAAAUUUGAUGUGGACCCGCACCACUUUGAUUAUUCUUCAUUUUCUUCACUCUUCCUGUGUUUCACUACUUGAUGAUUCAAAAGUUAUCUAUUUAAAAAAAUUUAAAAUUUUUAAAAUGUUUUACAAUAUGGUUACAAUAAUUUUUUCUUAAGAAAAUAAAUUGAUGUCAUGUGUUAAUAACAUUUACGGAUUUUUUCCAAUAAAAUAAUCAAAUUUAUUUUAAUUAAAAAGUUUCCUAUCAAGAACAACAUUCCCAGUUAAACCAAAGUUUUUCCACGAACCCAUCUGGUGGAAAAAAUGCAUGAUGGUUGGAAGAGGACGUCUCAUGACCUCUCCUCAAGGAAAAAUGCAUGAUGACUGUUGUAACCCAUUUUUGGGUCCCUAUAAAAAAAUAAAAUAAAUAGCCAAAAGAGUUUAGAAAAAAUAACAGAAGGCAGAAGCGCUCAGGAAACAGUCAGAAAAUUGGUCAAGAAAUUCAAAAUACAAGGAUUAAAUUUUUGACAGUAUAUUCUUGAAGGAUGAAAGCCCUAUUGAGAAGGAAAAUUUGAAUUUUAAGGAGAAAAGCCCAAAUUUGGAUGUUUAUGGACUUAAUUGGAUUUUUAUUUGAAUUUAUAGAAGAUUUGAUUGCAAGAAAAAUUGAUUUUUAAGUCAAUUUGGGCUUUAAUUUGGAGAAAUUUAAGUUCUGGGGCCAAAAUAUAUUUUUUAGGAAUUUAUUGGGUCAAAUCAGGGGCUCAAUUGCAUAAAUAUUGAAGUUUAAGGGCCAAUUAGGGACUUAAUUGUGAAAAUCCGAAACCAGGGACCAAUUUGGAGAAGGCGCAAAGAUAGAGGGGGCUGUUUGGAUUUGUUUCAGGGGCUUAAUUGAAGAAAUUGGAAGUUUAUUGAUCAAUUAGGGGCUCAAUUGCAUAAAUCAGAGGCCAAGGACCAAAGUGAAAAAGGCGGCCAACAAGAGGGGCGGGGACCGAAUUUGGGGGACUGAUUUGAAGUUUAGCCAUUUAAAUGAAACGGCGUGUUUUACCCAAAACGACGCCGUUUCAUAAAAUAAAAAAAAAAAUAAAAAAAUUCGAAAACGACGCCGUUUUGAAAGACACUGUUCAUCUUCCUCCUUCCCCCCGUUUUAACAGAAAGAAGAGAAAAAAUUCGAAAAUCUUCCCGCGCCUCUCUCUCUCCUCGCCCCCACCACCUUUAGCAUUGGCCGACCAGCCGUUGCACCGCACUAACGAUGGUCCCCCACGGUUCGGCCCCUAUAAAUAGAGAAGAAAACCGAAGCUGACGGAAGAAGAGAAAAAAAAAAACCGAAGGGAGGAGAGAGAGAGGAGGCCAAGAGAGAGAGAGAGAACCGAACACCGAAGAGAGAAGGAGCCGCGCGCCGCCCGGGAAGCCACGCCACCGCAGCACCGCCUCCUCCACGCCAGGUCACCUCUUCUCCCCCUUUCGUUAGUUUUUUAUUUUUUUCCCUGCAUGCAGAAUGAACAUUCUGCAUGCAGGGAGGAGGGGGGAAUUAAUUCCCCCCUCUCUGUUGAUGCGUAGCUGGGCCAGGUGGAUCCUGGCCCAGCACAUUUUUUUCUUUUUUUGGGCCAGACUAAGUCUGGCCCGGCCUUGUAUCUGACGGGCCAGACCAGGUCUGGCCCAUACCAGCUCUCUAGGCCAAGUCCGGCCCAGAUAUUUGGGCCAGCCCAGCCCGAAUUAUUUUUAUAUUAUAUAUUAUAUAUUAUAUAUUAUAUUAUAUAUGUGUAUAUAUGUAUAUAUAUAUAAAAUAUAAUAAUAAAAAAAUAAAUAUUUUGAAAAAAUCUUAAAAAAAUAUUGUUGAUUUUUCUGCAUAUUUUUAUCAAAAUGUUUUAAUUCUGGUUUGUAUUUUUAUACCGUAAAGAUACAAGCUCAGUGUUAUAAAUACCCGGUUUUCGUCAAAACAUCAAAGAUUUUGAGAAUAAAAAAUGUUUUUGCUUUCAAAAAAAUUCUAAAAAGUCCCUAAAAAUAUUGUUGAUUUUUCUGCAUAUUUUUAUCAAAAUGGUUUAAUUUUGGGUUGUAUUUUUAUACCGUAAGGAUACAAGCUCAGUAUUAAAAUACCCGAUUUUCGUCAAAGCAUAAAAAAAAUAAUACUUUCCAAAAAUUGUUUUUGUUUUAAAAUACGGCCUAGUCUCUUCAAAUAUAUAUAUAUAAAUAUUAUAACAUCGUAUUUUCACACAACAAAGAAAAUUUUCAAAAACAAUAUAUGUAUUAACAUGCAUUUUGGCUUUAAUAACCAGUUUAUUCAAGCCAUGAGAACUAGGCCAAUAUUUCAAAAAUUCUAAAAAAUCUUUUUGUUUUAUUUUAGUAUUUGGGAUUACGAAUUUAUACGUAAAACGUAUUCCUAAGUAUUAUUAAUAAAAUUUUGGUAUGGACGUUAGAACGGUUAGAAUUUUUUACCCGAUAAGAUAAAGACCUCCUUACCGAGGAGGAUUUUUCUUGAACCAUAGACAGACCAACAACUAGGAAAACACAAUAACACUUUAGUUUUUUUUAUCAGACAUUAAAACAAUGCAGCUUACCUUAGGUAGGGCGUAUUUGGGGUGCUAAUACCUUCCCUUUACGCAACCAGUCUCCGUACCCGAUCUCUGAGACCAGUUAGGUUCCUAGUGACCGAAAUACUAGGUGGCGACUCCAAACAAAAAAAUAAAAAAAAUUUCGCUAGUCGAACCCGCAAUUGAUGAAUUUGAAUUUUUUUUUGGGGUGCGACAAUGACAACGGUCUCAGGGACCAAUAUGUAGAUGGAAAUGUUCUCAUGGACCCAUCUUGUAGAAAAAACGCAUCCGAGUAAGUAGAAUUUUUUCCUUUUUUUAGAUGAACAUGACUUUCUUAAGCUCAUUGUAGUAUAUAGAAUUUUUUUUUAAAUAAAAAAAUAGAAAUAUUAUUCGCAUCCGAUUAAAUACCUCCACAUAUAUAAUUCCAUUAAAAGUUGUGUCAUGUAUUAAUCUAAGUUUCAUUAUCCAUUAAUUAAUCGGUGGUUGCGUUUUAACACUUGAGAUUUAUUUUUUAUGCAUAAACAUUUAAUUUAUUUUUUUGCAAACUAAAUUGAAAUUAAAGCAUAUUAAUUAUCCAUUCCCAAGCUUACGGGGCAAUGGUCUCAUGGUCCCAUCUCGUAGAAAAAACGCUUGAUAGCAAUGGUCUCAUGGACCAUCCCACCGGCCUAUAUCAUGAAAAAAAAUGCAGAUGGCAAUACAUCGUCUCACAGACCCAUUUCGCAAUGCAAAUUGCUAUCCAUCUUACUUGUUGAUUGUGUUACAUAAAAAUAGAAUGACAAGUACUUUAGAAAGAAAAAGAAGAAGACUUGUUGUCAUGAAAAAUAACAAGAAGUAUUUUAAAAAUAAUAUUAUUUGAGGUUCAUUUUAUCAACGAUACUCUUUGAUUUUGUCAUCACAAUCAAAAUUAAGGCAUGAUUUUUGAAGAUUUUAGGUAAAGAUAAUAAUUUUGAGUUAUGGUUUGUUUAAAUAAUGAAUUUGAGUUAGAAAUCUUGAUAUAUUAAUAAGUGAUCUGUGUGUAUUUAAAAUUAAAGUGCAUAAAUUUAAUAUUGAAAUUUAAUUAAAGUCUCUCUUACAAUCCAAAAUUUAUUUUUAAUUAAAGUGCAUAAAAUAAACAUAGUUAAAGUUCUUUCUUUCUCUUCCUCUCUGUCUCUGUGUAUGUUAGACGGAGUUCGCAUUAGAUAAUCAAUAAUAUUGUAUAUAUUCUUUUUGGAGAAGUAACUCAUUUUCACACCCUUGUUGUAGUUUUCCAUUCAUUUUCACACCCCAGUUGCCACCCUGCUUUUCUUUCCAUUCACGCACACAGAUAGUGCAUCAAAGCACUACUACAAUAGUUGACUCCCAGUCAAUACGGUCAAGAUAAGGUAAUCAAAAACUAAAUUUACUUUUACUACUAUUUUAAUUUUUAAAAAAUAUUUUUAUAUUGUUUAAUGCAUUAAUUUCAAGAAAUAAAUUCCUUUUAUCUUAAAAUAUGAACUUGAAAAACCAGAUGUAUUUUAUAAUUAGGGAGAAAACUAGAAAAAAUUAUUAGUCUUCUCAUUGUAGUAAUAUAAAUCGUAUAUCUUUGACUCGAUUGAAUUGAAAUGUAAUAAAAACAAGUCAAGAAUACCUUUCCUAACAUAAAAACAAAAUAGUGUGUGUGUUAUGUAUUUGAAGUUUUUGUAUAUAAUACUAUAGCCACACAAUCCACAGGGAUAAGAUCAUUUAUAAUUAUUCCGUGUUUAUUAUUAUUGAUAAUUUAUGUAUUUAAUUAUAUAUAUGAUAGUGAGAUGACACCAUGCAAGUAGGCUCCUAAAUGAUUCUAAAUUAUGACGAGAGAAGUACAAUUAUAAAGUUAAAAAGAUCUUACGCGGAAUCACACAUGAAUAUUCGAUAACAAUGUUUAAGUACUACAACAAUUUUUUUAUUUUAUUUUUUCAUAAAUUAGAUAAUUAGGAAGCAAAAUGUAAUUAAAUGCAAAUAGACUAAAUGCUUAACAAUAAAAUAAUAUUCAAAUCCAAGAAUAUUCCAAAAAGAAAUGAAAUAAAGAAAACAUCUCAUAACAUAGAAUCUGCACAAGAUAUGCAGAUAAAGUCAUGGAAACGGCCAGAGCAUAGUAUAAAUAGGACCUCCAUGGUUACCCAAAGGCAGAUAACAAACAGCAAUAGUUCAUAGAAUUAUCUAAGAUGAUGAUGAAAAUAAUGGGGGCUUGGAUGUUGCUAGCAUUAUUGACUUUGGUUGGCGAAUGGUAUGGUCGUUGUUAUGGGUGUUUGGAGGAAGAGAGGAUUGGUCUCUUGGAGAUCCACUCUUUGAUCGACCUAGAUGGCUUUUCCUUGAGAGAUUGGGUGGACAGUAGUAAUUGUUGUGAGUGGCGUGGGAUCAAGUGUGAUAACACUACAAGGCAAGUGAUCCAACUCUCUCUUCAUGGAGUAAAGGGUUUUCCGCAGUGAAGUUUAUGUACUAAAAUAAGUGGCACUCAAAGGUUCACAUACCUUAUCUUCUAAGUAAAAAGAGCCAAGGGAAGCAGUAAAUGAUGUUCUUUUCUCCGGCUGUAAAUGGAGGAAGAGAUUAAUACCAAAAAUAUGGACAAAAAUUGAUGUGGACCCACACCACUUUGAUUAUUCUUCUUUUUCUUCACUUUUUCUGUGUUUCACUACUUAAUGAUUCAAAAGUUAUCUAUUUAAAAAAAAUUAAUUUAUUCAGUUUUUUAAAUUAAAAUAAAAUAUACCUAUCAUUCUUAGACGUUACAUAAUGAAAUUAAAAACCAUAGCUUUUAGAGCCCCAAGCGCACGGCCCCAUCUCGUGGAAAAAAUUGCUUGAUGAUAAUGGUAUCACUGACCCAUCUAGUGGAUAAUUUGUUGCAAUGUUCUCUCCAUCAAAAUCCUUUUUGUUUUGAAAAGGAAAAUAUAUAUAUAUAUAUAUAUAUAUAUAUAUAUAUAUAUUAGUUUUCAAGUUUUGAGAUAUAAGUUCAUAGCUCUUAAGAUAAGAAAUAUACCACAAGAUUUAAAAAUAUUUUAUAUUUCAUUAAAAUGAAUAAAUAAAUUACUUAUAUGGUUGCAAUAUUUUUUUCUUAAGAAAAUAAAUUGAUUUCAUGUGUUAAUAACAUUUAAGGAUUUUUUUCCAAUCAAAUUUAUUUUAAUUAAAAAGUUUGCAAUCAAUAACAACAUUCCCAAUUAAACCAAAGUUUUUCCACGAACCCAUCUCAUGGAAAAAAUGCAUGAUGGUUGGAAGAAGACGUCUCACAGCCUUUCCUCAAGGAAAAAUGCAUGAUGGCAAUGGUCUCAGGAGCCAAUGGACAGAUAGAAAUGGUCUCACGAACUCAUAAAUGCAUUUAUAGUGAUAUUUUCAUUGUUAGAGACAUACAGUAGUUUAGGGAAUUUUAUCAAGGAACGAAGAUAUUUUCGGAGAAUAACAUUUAUAAUGAUACUUUUAUGCAAUUCAAUUUUUUCUUUUUUUUAGUCUAUGAUACUGAUGAACAUGACUUUCUUAAGCUAGUUGUAGUAUACAGAACUUUUUUAAUAAAAAAAUAGAAAUAUAAUUUGCAUAUGAGUAAAUAGCUUCACAAAUUAAUAUAAUAGGUUUUAAUAUUUACUUUUAAUAUUUAUAAAAUGAAAGAUAUUAAGAGUUGCUUAAUUUGUAGAGCUCCAUUUGUAUAUCAUUCUAUUUUUAUUUUUUUUUGCAAAGAAAAACCUCGUUUUGCAUAACUGUUCCUAUGUCUUUUUAUUAUUGAUGUAUGUUUGACAUUUUUAAUAUCUUAGAAGAGCACACAGAAAGGUUUACGAGGAUUCCAAGGGAGGCUACUGAUUUUUGCUCUCCAUGAGAAGAGCAUCAUGGAACUUCUAACUGAGCAUUGAAUGUCAUAAUGAGAAAGAUUGGCAGUUGCACACCCAAGAGAAUGCUUUUUUUUAUCUUUCUUUUUUUUCACAAGAUAAGGUAAUUGGCUGUUGUGUGUUUUGACUUUUAGCAUUCUUCUUCUUCUUAUUAUUAUUAUUAUUAUUAUUAUUAAGAUGAGUGUCCGGACCAAUUUGUACGCAACUCGACUUAUCCCAUGGGCUCUAAAGUUAACGAUCAUGUAAGCCUCUAGUGACUCUGAGAUUUAUGAGACUCGAACUAAUGAUUUUUAGGAAGCAAACCUAGAGCCUAGGUAAUUGAGCUACACCCUUAUUAGAAUUACUUUUAACAUUCUUUUAGAUUGUCUUGUGGCGGUCCUCCAAGAUUCCGGAGGACCACCUGUAUGCAUAAGGAAAUCACUGCAUGGUUGUGUUUAAAAAUCAAAAUGGCACACAGCAAGUCAAGCAUCAAUUACUUAAGAUUUGUGGAAGAUAUGAUACAAGAGAUAAGAAAAUGAUUGCUAUUAUCCACAAUUUCUUUGCGGAGUUUCCAUUAGAUAAUCAAUAAUGUAUACAUUUUUUUUUUGAGAACUCAUUUUCACACCCCCAGUUGCCACCCUGCUUUUUUGAGAAGUAACUCAUUAGAUAAUCAAUAAAGUUUUUUUUUUGUUCAUUUACCACUAAUUUACAUUUCAAUCAAAAACUAAAUUUACUUUUACUACUAUUUUAAUUUUAAAAAAUUAUUUUUAUAUUGUUUAAUGCAUUAAUUUCAAGAAAUAAAUUCCUUUUAUUUUCUCUUUCUUUUACUAAUAUUCUUUUUUCUUCUUUUUUUGAACUGCCUUAUCUCUCUUUCUUUUAUGUUUUUCAUCUUUCAAUCCUUCAAGAUUUAAAUUAUGUAGCAAUUUACAUUAGGAAUAUUGAUAACAAAUUAAAUAUAACCAGAAAAAAAAUGCAAAAAAAAAUAAUAAUGAUAUUCUAGUAAAACAUUUACAUUUCCAUUGAAAGAUGUGUCAUAUAUUAAUUAGUGGUAUGUUGUCCAUUAAUUAAUCGGUGGUUGCAAUACUCUAAAACUUGAGAUUUAUUUUUUAUGCUAGCUUAAGCAUUUAAUUUAUUUAUUUAUUGUAAACUAAAUUGAAAUUAAAGCAUAUUAUUCAUUCCCAAGCUUACAGGGCAAUGGUCUCAAGGACCCAUCUCGUAGAAAAAACGCUUGAUAGCAAUGGUCUCAUGGAUUCUAUUGUGGAAAAAAUGAGAUGGCAAUAGUCUCACAAACCAGUCUCAUGGACUCUAUCUUACUUGUUUAUUUUAUUUUUUUAAUUUUUUGUGUUCUUAAUAAUUUUAUAAAUGUUGUUGUAGGAUUUAUUUUUCAUGUGAGAUCAAUUUUUAGUUGAUUUACUUAUAGGAUUUUUAAAUAGAUUUUAAUUAUUUAAUUAUUUUUCUAGAUUUGUUAAAUAGAUUUUUUUAAAAAUAUAUUUUCUAAAUAGUCACUACAGAAUUGCAUUUGUUGGUUACAUGACAAGCUUCCCGAGAAAAAUACCGAUGAAAUGAAGGAGGUAAAUUUUUUUAGCGUGUUUUACUCAUUAGUAAAUCUAUCAGUAAUAAUAUAUUUUUAUUACUAACAAAUAAAAAAUUACCGAUAAAAAAUUCACAGACAGAACAUUUCUGUUUGUGAUCCCGUCAAUAAUUAAUUUACCUAGAAAAUUAAAUAAUAAAUCAAGAGGGGGGGCCUUUCCUUGACGAAUAUCCUCAAUGGCCUUUGGAAUCGAAGCAAAUCCUGUGGCCACAAUUUAUUGUUAGCACGUGUUUGCAAUUUACGACAUAUAUUUUGAUGAGCUACUUGUAGAGUAAGGCGCUGUUUUUGUUUCUACCUUUAGGUGAUUGCACCAAACAUAGACUAAACAAAAGGGACAUACAGUGGUGGAGAAAUUGGUUCCAGUUCCUUUUGAUACAUGUAACCAGUUUUGUAUUCUUGCUCACUUUUCAAUUUGGUUUCGGUAUCGUGUUUUGUAAUUAUUACUUACUGCUGCUGUUUUGAAUUUACUAAUCAUUUUUUUCCUUCAACUUCCCAUAUCUUUUUGUUGGAAGCUCCAUUUGUAUAGCAUCCUUUUUAGAGAAGUAACUCAUUAGAUAAUCAAUAAAGUUUCUUUUUAUUCAUUUACUAUUAGUUUACACUUCAAUCAAAAAGUAAAUUUGCUUUUACAACUAUUUUAAUUUUUAAAACAUAUUUUUAUAUUAUUUAAUGCAUUAAUUUCAAGAAAUAAAUUUCUUUUAUUUUAAAAUCUAGACAUGAAAAACCAGAUGUAUUUUAUAAUUAGGGAGAAAACUAGAGGAAUUGAAUAGUCUUCUCAUUCUAAUAAUAUAAAGAUAUAUCUUUGACUCGAUUGAAAAAAUAUAUAUUUAAUAUUGAAAUGUAAUAAAAACAAGUCAAGAAUACCUUUCCUAACAUAAAAACAAAAGAGUGUGUAUGUAUGUUAUGUAUUUGAAGUUUUUGUAUAUAAUACUAUAGCAAAUUACAAUUAUAAAGUUAAAAAGAUCUUAUACGGAAUCACACACGAAUGUCGAUAACAAUGCUAAAGUACUACAAUAAUUUUUUUAUUUUAUUUUAUUUAUAUAAAUUGGAUAAUUAGUAAUUAAAAUAUAAUUAAAUGCAAAUAGACUAAGUGCUAAACAAUAAAAUAAAAUAAUAUUCAAAUCCAAGAAUAUUCCAAAAAAAAAAAAAUCAAAUCUCAAACAUGAAACUCUAAAUUAUUACGAGAGAGAAGUAUAAUUAUAAAGUCAUGAAAACAAUCUUACGAAUGUCUACAAUAUUUUUAUUAUUUAUUAAUUUAUUUUAUACAUUGAAUAAUUAGUAACCAAAAUAUAAUUAAAUACAAAUAGACUAAAGACGGAACUGAACAAUAAAAUAAAGGCCGAACUGCACAAGAUAAUAUUCAAAUCUAUAUUAUCGACAAACACACCAUAAAGACCGAAGUGUCAGACUUUGGCACUUUCUAGGUUAAUUCCGUUGGAUUAUGUUGAAUAGUCAACAAUGGUGCGAGGUACUCUAGGAUACUUAAGGGCCAACUGACGGACAAAAGUGAUGUUUACAGUUAAAAAUUCAAGUGCCUAAGGGCCUUUAAGUGCCUUCGAUAAGCCUAAGGGCCUUUAAGUGCUGAACAAUAAAUAAAUAAAAAUAUUCAAAUCCAAGAAUAUUCCAAAAAGAAAUAAAAUAAUAUUCAAAUCUCCAAACAUGGAACCUGCACAAGAUAUAUAGAUAAAAUCAAGGAAAUUAAAUGGCCAAAGUGUAGUAUAAAUAGGACCUCUAUGGUUGCCCAAAGACACAUAACAAACAACAAUAUUCUACGUAGUAAUUCAUAGAAUUAUCUACGAUGAUGAUGAAAAGAAUGGGGGCUUUGAUGUUGCUAGCAUUAUUGACUCUGGUUGGCGAAUGGUAUGGUCGUUGUUAUGGUUGUUUGGAGGAAGAGAGGAUUGGUCUCUUGGAGAUCCAAUCUUUGAUCGACCCAGAUGGCAUUUACUUGAUGGAUUGGGUGGACGACAAUAGUAAUUGUUGUGAGUGGUAUGGGAUCGAGUGUGAUAACACUACAAGACGAGUGAUCCAACUCUCUCUUAGUCGGGAUUACAGCUUGGGCGAUUGGGUUCUCAACGCAUCUUUGUUUCAGCCUUUCAAAGAAUUGCAAAGUCUUGAUUUGGAAUGGACUAGAUUGGUUGGUUGCAUGGAGAAUGAAGGUUAGUUCAAUGUUUCUGCACUUAAUUAUAAUCAUAAAAUAAAUGAAGGUUGGUUGGUGUUUAAUGUCAAUUAUCUUGCUUUGAUGAUUCUCUUCCAGGCUUCCAAGUCCUAUCAUCAAAACUGAGGGAACUUGGCCUAAGUUUUAACCGAUUUAAUAAUGAUAAAAGCAUUUUGUCAUGCUUCAAUGAUAACCUUUCCACUCUCAAGUCUUUGGAUCUAUCAUAUAAUGGGUUGACAGUUGGAUCAGGAGGUAGCUUCUAUGGUAACCUUUUAGUUAUUUAUUUAGCUUUGAAACCUUUUCUUUUCUCCUCCUCAUAUCAUUUUUUUCUAUGCGUUUAAUUAUUUCCUUCCAAUAUGCUCUUGAGGAACAUCAUGCAGGUUUCAAAGUCUUGUCAUCAAGGUUGAAAAAGCUGGAGAACCUUUAUCUAAGUUAUAAUCAAUACAACGAUAGCAUUUUUCCAUCUCUUACUGGAUUUUCAUCCCUCAAGUCUUUGGAUCUAUCGACUAAUGAGUUGACAGGAUCAGGUAUAAUACACAGUUUCUACCUAAAUGCUUCACAUGACAUUCUCUUAAUUAUAUUGUUUCUUUAUCAACAAAAAUGAGGACUUUAUAUCUAUUUAAUAAAAACUAUCAACAAAACUCUCUAAUACAAAUCACUAGACAGCCAACAAGAGAUUGCCAAUUUCUUUAUUAGAAAAACUCUCGAACUGUUUUAUCAAUGAAGACCACAACAUAAAACCCACAUAUUUGAUAUUUGAUAUUUAAUUCUUGUUUGUAGCCAUUUAUUAUUUCCUCUCUUUUUAAUUAUGGUUUUAUAUUAUUUUGGACCUUUGUUUAAUCAAAAUAUUUUCUGCUGUGGAGGAUAUAUUGCCUUAUGGUCAUGGUGAAUGGUGAAAUAUUUGGACUGAAAUAAAAUGUGAAAAAGUUUAUAAUUCUUUAAUGCCUUGGAUAAAAUUAGGAAAGUACUUGCUAGAAAACAGAGGCAGUUAGGAACAAAUUAUAAUUACUAAAUUAGUGACAACUAAGCAUCUUACUAACUAAAUAGAUAGAGGAAUUAAGUUAUGAUUAUUAUUCUUGUUUAACAGUUAUUAUUCUUGUUUUAAUUACCGAUGAGGUCUUAAUUAUAAGUUUCUUUAUCUUGUUUUGUAAGUCUAUCAUAACUUAGCUUCCAUCUUUUUAUGUAUAAUUUGAGAAUCAUAUAUCAAUUGAACAACAUAUCUCAUCAAUUCUAAUUAUCUUUAGUUUCUAUCUAUUAUGCAUAUCAUGAGCUCAUAAUUAUGACUUACUUUUAGAAACAGGUUUUGAGAUCAUAUCAUCACAUUUGGGGAAUCUCGAGAACCUGAAACUGAACUAUAAUAUAUUCAACGACAGCAUUUUCUCACAUCUGCGUGGACUUUCAUCUCUCAAGUCUUUAGAUCUUUCACACAAUCAGUUGACAGGAUCUGCUGGUAUCAAUAGUAAGUUAUAUAUAAUUUCUACCUAACUACUUUACAUGACAUCUUAUCAAUUCUGAGUGGGCUUUCAUCCCUCAAGUCUUUGGAUCAAUCAAACAAUAUGUUGACAUGAUUAGGUAUAAUACACAGUUUCUACCUAAAUGCUUCACAUGACAUUCUCUUAAUUAUAUUGUUUCUUUAUCAACAAAAAUGAGAACUUUAUAUCUAUGGAAAGAUAAAUUGUGUCAUCUCCUGAGUCCAGAUCUAUUAUCGGCAAUGCAGGAGCGGUGUUGAGAGGACACUUCACUUAUGCUAAGCCUCAUAACAAACAUAUCAAAAAAACAAGUUAAAAAUACACAAUAAGUUUUGAGAUCAUAUCAUCACAUUUGUGAAAACUCGAGUAAUUAGAUUUUUCACAAAAUCAGCUGACAGGAUCUAUCACUAGUAAGUUGCAUUCUCUAUAUCAAGAAAAUUGAGGACUUUAUAUCUAUUUAAUAAUCAAUUUAAUUAUAGCAUUUUAUCAUUUUUUAUUGAGCUUUCAUCUCUAAGAAUUUAUAUCUAUAUGCUUUCAUGUAUCAUUUUAAUAUCUAAAAGAUACUUUCAUCACUAUUUUGACUAUUUCGAGAUAAAUUGUACAGGUUGGUGUGAAUUGAAGAAUUUGAAGCAGUUAGAUCUCUCUGGAAAUAAUUUUGGAGGUUCGCUCCCAGAUUGUUUGGGGAAUUUGUCAUCUCUACAACUAUUAGAUGUUUCUGAAAACCAGUUUACUGGAAAUAUUGCCUCUGGUCCUCUUUCCAACCUCAUAUCCCUUAAAUUCCUCUCACUAUCAAAUAACCUCUUUGAAGUUCCCAUUUCAAUGAAGCCUUUUAUGAACCACUCAAGCCUCAAGUUCUUCUCCAGUGAGAACAACAGACUAGUAAGGGAACCUGCUGCCUUUGAUAAUUUGAUUCCAAAGUUCCAAC
rnacentral:lncRNA from 1 species